rnacentral:lncRNA from 1 species
UUUUUUUUUUUUUUUUUUUUUUUUGUAGAAACGAUGGGAUGGGAUUUCUAUAACUUAAACUAGCCUAUUCUAGGGGGGAGGGGAGGGGAAGGGGACUCGAUAUGAGUAGAAACUCCAUCGAAGAUGGCCAAAGAAGACCGUCACAUAUUGUGACAAAUUUUUGAGGGAGGCAGGGUUCGAAUCCAUAAUCUCUUUGCAUCACCAAAGCUUAGAAGGCUUGGGAUGACCACUGGACCAAAGGCCCAAUGGCUCGUGUUAUCAGUUAUUUGUGUUUUGGUUGUUGAAAUUAGCGGGUCACCUAAAAUUUGAAUUGUUGAGAAGGACAAGGUUACUUAAUAUAUCUGAAUUAAAAUAAAUAUGUAAAAUUGUAGGAAAAAGAUAUUGGAAUUUUGGAGGUUUGUGGAGACUUCUAACAAAAAUACUUAUAGAUAUAGAUGAGACAGAUAAUCAAAUCAAAUGGAAGUGAAAAGACAAUGUAGUAAAAAAAAAAAAACAUUUGCUGUUUGGACACCCUUUUUUUUUCCAGGAAAAAGAACUAGCGAACGUAAAGGUGUUGGUUGGUUCCUGAAAUCUGCAAAAAUAUGCUGCUGCUUACCACUUGUCGAGUGCUUCUCUUUCUAUCCAUUAUUACAUGCGACCUUCCUCAGUUAGCAUGAGAUUUGCGUGGCCACUCCAUCAAAGUGACGGCGUGCUACACAUUCAGACUCAGGCCAGAUAGAGAUUUUACUCGAGUUUGAAACGUAAUUCUUUCAUAUAAUAAUUCAUCAACUUUUCUCUUUUCUUUCUUCAACGGCCUUCAUCAUUGCAAAGUUGGUAAGUAAAAGUGGAGACAAAACAAAUUAACUGGGACGACGACACACGGAAAGUUUGCAAUUUCCGCGAGAGAACAAGUGAAUGGCAAAGGCGUGUUAUGCACGUACAUUUUGCUGCGGAUCAAUAGCUCAUACGCGAGGCUUUCAAUAGGAUUAGAAUUCCACCCAAUCUUCUCUUUCUCUGCGUUGUUGUCUCGACAAUUUGUGGUUCUUUUCUGAAUUCCAUCUUUACUACGGCGCCAAACGCGAGAAUUUCUUCUCAUCUGCCUCCACCCAAAUUUUAAUAAAGGCGCCAAACCCCACUAAAGGUUGGUCUUAUUUGCACUUUUUUCCCUAAUAAUAUUUUUGUUGCAGUUCCCCCCCCCCCACCCCCAACUAAUGGUCAACACAAUGGCUUAAUAAGGAGAUAAUGAUCUCAAAAUAACAAUUAGUAGAAACAAUACUUGAAAAUGAGAUUUGAAUUUUUUUUUGUUCAUUUCAAGAAAAUGCCAUUAAAAAUGAAUUUCAACCACUUAAAAUAAUCACAUGCCCUUGGAAUCUAUUGUAGAAUUUAAAAUAAAACCAUUCUAUGUACAAGAAAAAUCAUAAAUUAAUUAUCAAUAAAGAAUACUAUGCUAUUUUAACAACAACAAAAAACUCAUUGAAAUCUUCAAGUGUCCAUGACACCCAUAUGAGAUAUAUUUUUAUCACAUUUGUAUCUCACCUCUACUUAUUGACUUUAAUUAUUUUAAUUAACACUGUGAGAUUUAAUUUGAGGAGUCAUAUUUUGAACAAUAAAAAGGUUUCAAGAUGCGAUUUUUUAUUUUUAAUAAAAGUAAAAUAUUUUGGGAAUUUAGUUCUUGAUUCUCUCGAAAGAAAAAAAAAAUUUGCAUUAAGGUGAGAUGAGAAGCUUGGGCACGGAAACGAAGGAUGGAGAAAAUGGAUAUAGGUAGGACUAAAAUUGAAACUUUUGAUAUUCUUUAACUAUAAAAGAGGAUGUGGCUUAACAGAGGGAGUAAAGUGCAACGAAAAAAAUAGGUAGGGGAGAAAGUACAAAUAACACCAAAUAUUAUGGAGACUUGGUACCUUUAACCCUUGAACAAAAUGAUUGAAAAACAAAAAUAUUUAACUCGAGGAUAUGAUUAUGGCUUUAUUAUUAUUUUUUUUGCUCAAUAUUCAAUUAACUUCUACUGAUGGAAAGAUGGGUGCAUCAGAGGAUAGGAUAAGAUGGAAGGAACUGUAAAUAGAAGGUAAGGUAUGGAAUUUAAGAAUUUCCACUUUAAAAAAAAAAAGUGUUGAUGGAAUUGUUGGUUGUCAUUGGUAGCACGAUAGAAGGUGUAGACACGGCUUUGACCAUGUCAAAGUUCGAGUACUUUUUCUUUUCUAAUUUCUACUACUAAUAAAACCAUCCAGUUUUCCCUGCUGUAGCACGAUGCUCAUGAAAGUUUCAACCACAUUUCUUGGUGCAAAAUUGAGGUGCAAUGACGUAGUUAAGGAAAAGACAGAGUAAGAAAAAAGUUUAGUGGAGCCCAUUUCAGAAGUUAACUGCCCCGGAUGAAUUUUCCCGACUGAAUUCACAUUGAUGUCCAUUAUAAACACAAGCAAUGAGUUGGAACUCGUUGAUCUUUUGUUUCUUGCGUACUGUCACUUGAGAAGGUUGGAUGCGUUUUAGUUAAACCAAUCCAAAUUUUCUUCUGAAAAGCUCUCUUUAUCUGCAGUUGGAUGGCACACGUAAACGAGUUCAAACAAAUUCUGAGAUGAUCAAAUGGCACCAUACUUGCUACAGGAAAUCAAAGCUUCAUAGCUGGCAGCAAUAGCCGUCGUACAACAAUUUCAGUGAGAUUUUUCAACAGGCUGAUGUGUUAUCCAUUAUGGAAAUUAAGCAGCUUCAGAGUUCUUGCGGAGGAGGUCAGCAACAAUAGCAUCCCUGACUGAUGGAUGCCAGAACAGAUUAAUUAUUUGAAACAAAAAUGCUGUUGGAAAAAAAGGGGUCACACGCGAAAAGAUCGCUCAAUGAGGUGCAACAUGAAUAAAAUGACCAGACGAUAAAUCUAGGGAUUAGUAUUUUGAACUCCCCAGCCUGAUCAGGGGUGUUCUGCAAAUGGAAAUCCACGCGGCUUCCAUUACCUCUCUGAAAUACGAGUGUGUUUGGAUAGGAGAUUACUAUUUGAAAUAAUUAAUUAUUGUAGUAUUUUUUGUGAUAUAACAGAUCAUAUCGGAGAUUGUUAUUUGAAAUAAUUACUGUAACAUCUUUUAUGAUAUACUCCCUCCGUCUCACUUUGAUAGUCUUGUUUUCCUUUUUCGUCUGUCCCAAAUUGUAGUCCACUUUCCCAUUAAGAAAUGUAGUAAUUUUUUAAAUUGUCUAAAAUACCCUUAUUAAAUAUCUUGUUAUUAAUACAUUGUUAUUAAAUACUAACCCACUACAUUGAAUACAUUGAACUUUUUCAAUACUAACCCAUUAGUUGUAACUGAAAUUAAUUGGCACUCUCUGUGAUUAGCAUAAGGGUAUUUUAGGAAAUUAUUAAUCUAAAUUUAUGUUUCCAACCAAAUUAAUUACACUUUUUUAAUCUGUGUGGGAAAAAAAAAUCAAGACUAACAAAAUGGGACGGAGGGAGUAAUAUUGUAUCACAUAAGAGAAAAAAAUUAUUGAAAAGAUAAAGAAUUGAUUAUUAAUAUUUGGAAGAAAAAAAAAAGUCACACACUCUAGGUCUAGGCUAUGCAAGCAUGAAAAAACUCUGCCACCUUAACACCCAAUUUCUUUAUUGCCAAUAAUUCGUCCCGGAACAGGUAGCGAAUAUUAUUACAUGCAUCUACAGAAAUGUCCACUUCUGCCCAGCCAAGUUAAUGGGAGUUAGUAUGUAAUUUGGCACAAAAUCCAACCCUUUCGCGUACCUCUAUUGAAACAGUUAAUGGUUUCGUGUUCUUUUAUCGAUUGGUUAUUCCUCUCCAUUUUUAUAUCUUUUUUCAAUUUUGGUCUCGAUUAGUUCACAAGAUUGAAUGGCAAAUUCUAAGACCAGCCAAGAUGUUGAUUGAAGUUGAUGCUGGGAUGCCCGCAUUACUUCAAGGAGCUUAGUUUUAGACAACCACACGGCCCAAAAGAAACUAUGACAAGAAGUUAUGAAUCUGCUGUAAAAAAAAAAAGGGGGUUUGAUGUGGGUGCUUGCUCCUUGUCCUAUUUGUCGGAGUUGCCUCGUUUCAUACUCUUAUUGAUCUUUGCCCGGACAAAAUUGCAGGGUCACUACGCGACGCGACCGGGGAUGCGGAAGGAUGUGGAUCUCCUGCAGUUGGUAGGAGAAAAUGAGCUACACAAAUAGUUAGUGGUGAGGAAUGGCAACUGUGGCGAAACAGAAGAUGGGAUCCCCAUACAGAAGAUGGGAUUGGGCUUUUCAUCUCAUCUCGUUGACUCAUUUUCGCCCUUCUUUUCUCGCAAUAGUUGGCAUUAAUAUUUUUUGGCCAUGGCUUUUCCAGGGUGGUUGUUUGUUUGUUUCUUAGGUAGUUUGGACGAGAACGAAAAGAACGGGUUGUUGGAGAUGAUGAUGCUGUUGGAAAUUAGGAGUUCUUGGAACGAUUUUUUACUCUCUCUUUUUUUUUCCAUGUUUUCUUUUUGCUUUCCUAUUUUCCGUUAUUACUCUCACUUUUUCCUAGCAUUGUUGCUCCAUGGCUUUCAACAUUUAAUUCCCUUCUCUUUACUUACUAUUUUUAUUUUUUUUAAAAUCUUUCUUGCUUUAUCUUUUAUCUAUGUUUCGUCAUUCGGCUUUGUCCUGAAACAAAAUUCAUUUUGCAGGGCAUACAUUCUCCUGGAGCGAUUAAUUGUCAGUAGAGGAAAAUGAAUUACAGAAGAGAUAAAGCAUCAAUAGAGAUGCGAAACAAAACAUAAACAAACGAGGAACAAGUUUACAACAAGAAAUUAAUUCGGACUUGCGAAGAACAUAAAACAUUUCCCAUUGUGCUUGUCCCGAUAAAUAAUUUAGCUGUUUCAGCCCCCCCAAGACUAGAGUUCUCCACCAAUCCCACCUCCAGCUCCACCUCCUCCGCCAAAUCCUCCUCCUAUCCCACUACCACUACCAACGCCUACGCUCGAACCUCCUCUAAAGCUGCCACCUCCUCCUACUCCUCCAAACUCUCCGCCAGCACCUCCUCCAAAUCUUCCACUGCCACCAAAUCCUCCACCUCCUACACCACCUCCACUUCCACCACCUACACCAAUUCCUUUGCCAAUGCCAUCUCCAAAUCCUACUCCUGCACCACCUCCUAUAACCCCUGCUGAACCGCCACUACCGGCUCCAACCCCACCACUUGCACCUCCACCUCCGCCUCCUAUACCCCCUGCUGAACCACCACUACCGGCUCCAGCCCCACCUCCUAUUACUCCACCGGUACCACCACCUGCACCUCCACCUCCUAUACCCCCCGCUGAACCACCACUACCGGCACCAGCCCCACCUCCUAUUCCUCCACUGGUACCACCUCCUGCACCUCCACCCCCUAUACCCCCACUCGAACCACCUCCAAUGGCCCCGCCAAGCCCUCCACCCUUACCAGUUCCACCUCCUAUUCCUCCACCCGAACCACCCCCAGUGCUACCACCUUUACCAAUCCCACCUCCAAUACCUCCACCUUUGCCAACGCCACCUCCUAUGCCCCCUGCUGAACCACCACUACCAGUUCCAGCCCCACCUCCUAUUCUUCCAUUGGUACCACCUCCAGCGCCUCCAUCCCCUAUACCCCCACUUGAACCACCACCGAUGCCUCCACUAGAACCACCUCCAAUGGCCCCGCCAAGCCCUCCACCCUUACCAGUUCCACCUCCUAUUCCUCCACCCGAACCACCCCCAGUGCUACCACCUUUACCAAUCCCACCUCCAAUACCUCCACCUUUGCCAACGCCACCUCCUAUGCCCCCUGCUGAACCACCACUACCAGUUCCAGCCCCACCUCCUAUUCUUCCAUUGGUACCACCUCCAGUACCACCUCCACCCCCUAUACCCCCACUUGAACCACCACCGAUGCCUCCACUAGAACCACCUCCAAUGGCCCCGCCAAGCCCUCCACCCUUACCAGUUCCACCUCCUAUUCCUCCACCCGAACCACCCCCAGUGCUACCACCUUUACCAAUCCCACCUCCAAUACCUCCACCUUUGCCAACGCCACCUCCUAUACCCCCUGCUGAACCACCACUACCAGUUCCAGCGCCACCUUCUAUUCUUCCAUUGGUACCACCUCCACCCCCUAUACCCCCACUUGAACCACCACCGAUGCCUCCACUAGAACCACCUCCAAUGGCCCCGCCAAGCCCUCCACCCUUACCAGUUCCACCUCCUAUUCCUCCACCCGAACCACCCCCAGUGCUACCACCUUUACCAAUCCCACCUCCAAUACCUCCACUUUUGCCAACGCCACCUCCUAUACCCCCACUUUUGCCAACUCCACCACCUUUACCAAUCCCAUCUCCAAUACCUGCACCCUUGCCAAUGCUACCUCCAAUGCCUCCACCCUUGCCAACGCCACCUCCUAUUCCGCCACCCGAACCACCUCCAAUGCCUCCACUCUUACCAAUCCCACCUCCUACUCCGCCACCCGAACCACCUCCAGUACCACUACCUUUACCAAUCCCACCUCCUAUUCCGCCACCCUUGCCAACGCCACUCCCUAUUCCGCCACCCGAACCAGCUCCAAUGCCUCCACCCUUGCCAACGCCACCUCCUAUUUUGCCACCCGAACCACCUCCAAUGCCCCCACCAGAACCACCUCCAAUGCCUCCACCCUUGCCAAUGCCACCUCCUAUUUCGCCACUCGAACCACCUCCAAUGCCUCCAGUCUUACCAAUCCCACCUCCUACUCCGCUACCCGAACCACCUCCAGUGCCACCACCUUUACCAAUCCCACCUCCUAUUCCACUACCCUUGCCAACGCCACCUCCAAUUCCGCCACCCGAACCACCUCCAAUGCCCACACCAGAACCACCUCCAAUGCCCCCACCCUUGCCAAUGCCACCAUCUAUUUCGCCACUCGAACUACCUCCAAUGCCUCCACUCUUACCAAUCCCACCUCCUACUCCGCCACCCGAACCACCUCCAAUACCACCACCUUUACCAAUCCCACCUCCUAUUCCACCACCCUUGCCAACACCACCUCCAAUUCCGUCACCCGAACCACCUCCAAUGCCUCCACCCUUGCUAACGCCACCUCCUAUUUCACCACCCGAACUACCUCCAAUGCCCCCACCAGAACCACCUCCAAUGCCUCCACCCUUGCCAAUGCCACCUCCUACUCCGCCACCUUUACCAAUCCCACCUCCAAUACCUUCACCUUUACCCUCGCCAACGCCACCUCCUAUUCCGCCACCCGAACCACCGAAAUUGAAGGAGUGGCCGAGGCUGUAGCCCUUCGAAAUACCACCACUGCCUAGACCCUCAUUCCCACUCCAACUAGCAGCAGCAGAGCUACCACCACCAACAAACCAUUCUGGUAAAUUCUUCUUCACACUCGCUCCCACUUCCACAUCACCGUCAUUAAUAUUCUUUGACUCCCAACUACUCUCUGCACAUAUUGCGGCCGCCAACGUUAAGAACAAAACGAGAACCAGGACAAUUAGCCUCUUCCCAACCAUGUCAGAAUCCUUGCCACUAGUUAUACAAGAAUCAGUACAAUCUAGCUAGCCAGACACGAUUAGCUGUUUAUAGAUGAACAAAAUGGGGUGAUGCUCUGGCGUUAGUUAAGGAGAACACGACGUUACUCUCCACUUCUCAACUAAAUGUUCUCUUUUCCAUCCAACUUGUUAUUCCCUACUUAUUCGCUUUUAUGGCAAUUGUACGUAAGAAGCCAAACAAGGGAAACCAUAAACUAUUCUAGAAAAAAGGUUCUGGGUUGACGGGGCAACGAUCCUUGAACAAAUUCAUUGCCUGCUGUGAUCAAUAUUGUGCUCUUUACAACAAGCAUCCGGCUCGCUCAAGUCAUGACCAAGUGCCCCCUCCGUGCAUAUACUACUCUACUGUACCAGUACGUACGUGACUGCUCUAAAUAGCGCCGUAGCCAGGCAUGGUCUCCAUGGCCACCGCGCCGUGUUGGAUCAUGCAUGUCCAUGCUAUGCUGUUAAUAUUUGCUCCAUCUCUUACAUCACACGCAACCAUGCAAGUAUGCAUGCAACUGGCUAGCUAGCUAGGGAGCAUAUGAUGCAAGUCCAAUUUCCAAUCCUUCAUUACUAACUAAAUCUCCAAUUUUGCUUGUCAAGAUACGGGGUUGAAAAGUUUCCAUUUUCUAUCGUUACUAUUCACCAAAAAAAAUUAUAAGUGCAAAUUUCUUUUCACCUUUUUACGCAAAAAAAUUAAUCUGAUAAAUACGUUAUACCAUAUUCUGGAGUCAAUUGAUUAUUAGAUCAAUUUUAACUUGAACUAUAGUUUCAUUUUCAUGUAGUCUUGAUCUCUUUUUCCUUCUCUAAGCCAAUCAAAAGUCCUUCUCAGAAUUUGUGAACUUAUCAAACAUUAAUAUAAGUAUUCUGUCUAACUUUUGAAUUUGUUUAAUUUGUCUUUAUCAAGUAUUUAUAAUCCAAAUAGAAUUGUUGCUCAUAUUUCAUUACAAGCGUAGCGUGUGUCGCCUUUUUCCUGAGGUUAAAUGGACCGGGGGGGGUUUGGGGUUGCGUCUAUGGUGGAAAGCUGAGUCAGCUUUGUACCGUAGGCAGAACAAAUGGAAUCAGGACAGCACAUGAGCAUGGGCCAGGCAAAGGACAGCGACCGUGAAAUAGCUACCGAAACCGGGCAGAAGGAGUUGUAAAGAUGGGACCCACUUUAGUAUAUGAACUGUAUUAUUGUAAAUAAACAUGCACCCGCACAAGUUGUGGGCAUGUUUUAUGAAUCCCAAAACAAACUACGGUUACCUGAUGAUGAUUAACAUCAGGUAAGCAUUUAUAGUUUAAGAUUGGAGUACACAUGGCUUAAUUAGAUGAUUUAUUAGAAACAUAAUUAGCACAGUACUUCAAGAAAUUAGAAUCGUGACAUAAUUGACCCAGUAGAUUUUAAUUUAAAUUUAGAAAUUAGAUAAAUAAUCUUAUAUGUAACAUGGUGACUUUUAAAUUAAUAUCAAAUUUGUAGAUGGUAAUCAUAAACUUAAUUAACAUAGCACUUCAAGAAACUAGAAUUGAGAUUGUAGAUAAAAUAAUCAUAAAUUUUAGAAGAAAAUACUCUCCUCUUUGAAUAAUAAAAAAUUUAGAGUGGCAAGUAUUAAUCUCUUUUUCUUGGUAAUCUUAUUAAUAUUGAAAAAUAUAUAUAAAAAGAGAGAGAGAGAGAGAGAGAGAGAGAGAGAGAGUGAGAGAGAGAGAGAGAGAGACCUAGAAUUUGUCUUAUGCACUAAUAUAAUAUUAAGUACCAAUCAUUCAUUGACUUUUCUUUCUCUUUACUUACAAUUGAUCAUUAAUUCAUUUUGCAUACUCUCAAAACAUUAAGUUUAAAAAAAUUACUCAUGGUUUGGGGAUUGCAUCACAUAUUUCAUUAAUUUUCACAACAAAAUGAUCUACACAAAUUAUGGCAUGCAUCUAGGUAGUUAGUUAUACACUAUCAAUUUAUUUUAGAUUAAUCUUUUUUUAUACCAUCCAUCCAAUAUUUGGAAUUUCCGAUUUCAAUUUCGUUUUAUAAUAUAUAUAUUAAUAUUUAUUUAUUUAUUUAUAGAUAUAAUAAUAUUUUUUAUUUCAAUUUCAUUUUAUAAUAUGUAUAUUUAUGUAUAUUUAUAUAUAUAAUAAUAUUUUUAUAAUAUUUUUAUAUAUAAUAAUAUUUUUAUAAUAUAUUUAUAUAUAAUAAUAUUUUUUAUAAUAUAUGCAAUAUAAAAUUUAUAUUAUAUAACAACACAUCUAACAAAAAAGAAAAAAAAGGUUUCCGAAUUCGGUGAAUUAAAAAUUUACCAAAUUCCGAAUCGAAUUUGGAAUUGAAAUCGAAAUCGGAAUUGGUGAAUUCGAAAUUGAAAUCGAUCGGUAAUUCCUAUGCCAAAAUUCCAAAAAAUUUCGAAUUCAAACUUCUGAAUUACCGAAUUCGAAUUCGAUGCACACCCCUACCAAGAAACUAGAAUUGAGAUUAUAGAUAAAAAGUUCAUAAACAUAAAUCACAUAAUACAAAAGUUUCAAAGAUUGAACGUUUGAACUAUUGAAAUAACUAGAUAGUUACCAACUUAAGUUCUAACUCUGCAACUAGUUGUACUGGACAUGACAAACUAUAAAUCACAAAAUUGACUAGUAAAAUAGUGUCAAAAUUUGAGAAUUUUUAAAUAUUAACAUUAUCUAAUGAUAAGGAUAACCAAUUAUAGCAAAAAUCAAAAUUUACUCUUAAAAGUAAGUACUGAAUUAAAAGAUUUUGUUGUGAUAAGGAUUAUCUAAUAAGAGCAAAUCCAUUGAAACAAACAAACAAUGACAUCUAUAUAAAUGUCAAUUACAAUCUCGUAUUCAAAUUAAUAUACAUAUCCAAACAAUGCACUUGACGAUAAAAUAAAGAGGUGAGAUCCAACACAUUAUUUAAAACACCAACAUUGUUUAGAGUAGUUACAGUAGUUAUAUUGGCAAAAUGUGAUUAAGUAGUCAGAGUAAAAAUUAGUUUUUCUUUAAGGAUAAAAUAGAAAGUUUGAAAAAUGACAUAAAAAUGUUUACACUAACUGCGAUCUCUCUAACUUUAUAUGUUGAAUAGAUAGUAGCUUUUUAAUUAGAAUCAAAAUUAUAGAUGAUUUAUUAGAAACAUAAUUAACACAAUACUUCAAGUAACUAUAAUCGUGACAUAAUUAACCUAGAAGAUUUUAAUUUAAAUUUAGAAAUUAGAUAAGUAAUCUUAUAUGUAACAUAGUGACUUUUAAAUUAAUAUCGAAUUUGUAGAUGAGUAAUCAUAAACUUAAUUAACAUAGUACUUCAAGAAACUAGAAUUGAGCUUGUAGAUAAAAUAAUCAUAAAUUUUAGAAGAAAAUACUCUUCUCUUUGAAUAAUAAAAAAUUUAGAGUAGCAAGUAUUAAUCUCUUUUCCUUGGUAAUCUUAUUAAUAUUGAAAAUAUAUAUAUAUAUAUAUAUAUAUAUAUAUAUAUAUAUAUAUAAAGAUUAGAAUGGAGAGAGAGAGACACAGAGAGAGAGAGAGAGACCUAGAAUGUGUCUUUUGCGCUAAUAUAAUAUUAAGUAUCAAUCAUUCAUUGACUUUUCUUUUUCUUUACUUACAAUUGAUCAUUAAUUCAUUUUGCAUACUCUCAAAACAUUAAACUCGUGGUUUGGGAUUGCAUCGUAUAUUUCAUGAAUUUUCACAAAAAAAAUGAUCUACACAAAUUAUGGCAUGCAUCUAGGUAUUUAGUGUAUACACUAUCAAUUUAAUUUAGAUUAAUAUUUUUUUAUACCAUCCAUCCAAUAUUUGGGAGCAUCACUAAGUGUUGUUAAUACACAUUUUUCAUCUAUUAAAUUCCUUUUGUGUCUUACUAUUAAGAGUAUUUAAUAUUUCCUCACAUAUAUAAAAGUUACGGUUUCUUGAGUAGUUUUGUUAAUUAAUUAUUUACCAAUUACUCACCCUCCUUUCUGUGCCUUUCUUUUGUUUUUAAGCACUUCAUUUGUAAAUUUUCAGUUAAUGUUAGUAAUUACCAAAUAAGUAAAUACCGUACAAAAAUCACCAUAUCAUAAAAAUUCUUUUACAAAUUAAAUUUCAAAUUGAAAAACCAAUUUUCAUGAAAAAAUACAUUUUUAAAUGACCAUAAAAUUAAUUAUUUCUACAUACAUAGGGAAACUUAAUGCAACAGUGGUAGAAUUUAAGUGAUUCUUUGACUUUGUUCUUUUAUUUAUUUAUUUAUUUAUUGCUUAAGUUUAUCAAUUAUUGAUCCAUUUUUCACUCUCUUAUAAUAUUAAGUUAAAAAAAAUUAGCAUCUACACCAACCAAUUUAUAUCAAUGUUGCUGUCCACUGCUUCAGGUAAUAUAAACUUUGCCGGUUACCUUUGGGACCCAAACAAAUAGACAAAGAUGCCUAUGCUGAGUUGUCAUCUUAGCAAUAGUUCUGCCUACGGUGCAUAGUUGAUCCGACUUUCCACCGUAGAAGCAACCGGGGGUUUGGUGUCUAAAAGGGAAACUUGUAUGUAUGCCCUGUUCUUUUGUCUGCAAAUCUUUCAGGCAAUCCGAUCGUGACCUGUUGUGCCAGAAGACUCUGAUCAUCGAUGUCAGGUUAAAUAGUAACAACAAUGGAAGCAACUUUACAAUUUUUGGUACCAAAAUAUUUUAUUCACGGCCAAGGCAUUAGUCUUCUCCUUUUUGGGUGCAUUCCAAAAAGAACAAACGUGUCUUGAAUACUUUUCAACCAAAGUACUACUGUAAUAGUAGUAUUUUUGUGCCACGUCCAAGACGUUUUUAGAAAUGUUUGCAAAUACAGGCAUCGGCACAAGCUGAUAAAUAAGUUUCCCAUUCGAAACCAAUACUAUUUAAUGAAAGUGUAAAAUAACAAAUUGUAUAUAUAGAUAAGAAUAGAUGUAUGCCUGCUUAGGAUAUAUUAUACAUAGCUCUUGCAAAAUUGUAUUCCCUGAAGGAAAAUAAUUAAGUGGACUUUCAUGAUAUCCGAAAAUAAUAAAAGCAUCAGUUUGCCUUUAUUCCAUCGUAGCAAUUUUGUGAUUUUGGUUCAAAUACUUAAAGUCAAGUCCCCUAUUUUAUCUUUCUCAAUUGUAAAGUUCAAAAAUAUCUUUUAAAAUUUUUUUUUUAAAAAAAAAGAAAGAUAUUCUUGUAAAAAGCAUACCCAGUGGCAAGUCACCCAUUGAAAAAUAGCAAAUCCUAUACGCCAGUCAAAAGCUUACGUCAUCUUCUGUCUAUUAUCCUUCCUGAUUUAUGCCUUUCCCCGCCUCUCACUGAUCCUCAAAACCCUAAUCAAAACCUCAAAAAAUUGAUGAUAUUCGAGGUUUACAUAAAAUUAGUAGUUUUUUCCUCUUUUCUUAUCUAAUCUAAAUCUAAUCGUUUGAGCAAUGGAUGAUUCCGAUGAAGAAGGUCCGUAUUUAACAAAGCCCACAUUUCGAUCAAAGCCAGCAAUUCGAAACCCUCACUCUUAUCCGCUCAACACCCAUUACACCACAAACGACGCCAUCUUUGCCCAGGAAGAUGACGAAUUUGAGGAUGACGAAGAAAGCCCACAAUUUCAAAAUGCUCAAAGCGGGUAUUAUUAUCAAUCUUUCUAUGAGGAUGAGCCCAAGCGAAGCAAAAAGAAAAGAAAGUUGGAAUCUUUGGUCCCAAAUUACGAGCUUGCCCCUCGCGCUGGGCUGAAUGCACCAAAAAGUUCCAAUCUUGGUGGUGGGAGCUCGAGGGAUUCCUGGAAUGAAGAGGAGAGCUUUGUGCUGUUGGAGGUUUGGGGGGAGAGGUAUUUGGAGCUGGGGAGGAGGAGUUUGAGGGCUGAGGAUUGGGCUGAGCUGGCCGAGAAAGUCUCCGAGAUGAGUGGAAGGGAGAGGAAUGAGAUGGAGUGCAGGAAUCAAUUGGAUGUAUUAAAGCAGAAAUACAAGAAAGAGCGGGCGAAAAUGGAGAAAGUUGGAGGUGGAUUCUUGAGCAAGUGGGUGUUUUUUAAGAAAAUGGAUGUGUUAUUGAAUCUGAGGAUGAGAGGGCAUGUUGGCUUGGGUUGUGGGGUUGAUUCUGGGGAGUACGUGUUUAUGAAUCCGCGGGUGUAUUUGGAUAAGUCUAAUGUGUUGGAUGAGAUGAGGGAUAGUCCUGGAGUGUCUGAUGAGGAGAAUGAGGAGGAAGAGGAGGGUUUGGGACUAGGGAAGGACGAGGAGGAUGGAGAAUCGGCUAGACUGUUGGCUGACUCGAUUCAGAGGUUUGGAGAGAUUUAUGAGAAGAUUGAGAGUAGUAAGAGGAGACAAAUGAUGGAGCUGGAGAAGAUGAGGAGAGAUUUUCAGAGGGACUUGGAGUUGCAAAAGCAGCAGAUAGUUGAGAGGGCACAGGCUGAGAUUGCUAAAAUAAGAGAAGGGGUUGAAGAGGAGGAUGAUGACGAGGAAGAAGAUGAUGACGAGGAGGAGGAAGAUGAUGACGAUGUUCAGAAUGAGAAUAUCCAGGUGUGAUACAGGUAAUGCUCAGCAAAUCACUCAAGUGUGCCUGAUUAAAUACUAUUGUCUACAAGGCUUCUACAUGUGUUAGUAUAAGAGUGUGGAUGAGUGUUGCUUUGACACUACCUAUUCAGUUCCUGUUUGCCUGCUGCUAGUUUUUGAUUAUUUGGAAACUUUAGUACCUUUUCUGUCGAUAGUUGUAUGCAUGUAAGAGUUGUGCUUGGCAUUAAACUAUAAUCUUCAUUAAUUGAAGCUGAUUGCUUUUCUAUUUGUUCCAAGUUGGAAAAAUCCUAUACGGCCUACGAAAAGACUUGAACUUUGUCUUCUCAAAAUCAAUACUCCUUUGACAAGUGGUCUGUUGCAUAUGAUUUCCAAGCCUGUUUCGUUGUGUACCAUAGAAUUUUGUCUGAUCAAAUUAUUGAUCAGAAUCAAUUCCUCUGCUGUAGUAAAGAUUGAAGUUCAGAGAAUUUUUUUUGUGGUUCUUUUCUUCCUUUUUUUUUUGACAAUUCUCUAGUAAAACCUUUUCUUUUUCAUAUAAUUAACUCUUCCGAAAGGGAAGAAUAUCUUACGAAGAUAAAGAGAUGAAGUUGUUAGGUUGAUUACAAAUUGUAGAAAAUUCAAAUUCUACUUUCUAUAGUUCUUUGCUGCUAUUAUGAGGGCAAUGAGUUGGACAUCAAUAUCAGAAGAGGAGAAGUUGAAAUGUCAAUUCCUCCUGGCAUUGUCUCUAUGAUGUACUCGUCAUGAAAUUUAGGGAUAUUGAUGACCAGUCUUAGCUUUAUAGAAAGACUUGCUUGAGGUUUCAGCAUAGCAAGUUAUAUUUGUGCAGGGUUGUAAGCUUGUCAAAUAUUGAAAUAGCCUCGUAAAAGAGCAAUGUGGAAAUAUUUAUGAACUGUGAAGUGAUCAGGGUCAUCGGAUGUCUUGCACCUUUAAUCUUUUUUGUUUUUAUAGGCAUAAGAUUGUCUUUAGUUUAAAUUAACAAUACGAGAAGGUUCCUUAUUGUCUUUGAAAUUUUUGGAUUAGUUUUGGUGCAAUGAUGCUCAAAACCUUGUAGUAAAUUGGUAGCUUUUCUGUAUCUUUAUCACAAAAAGUCUGUUUAAAAAGUACACUUGGUUAUGCAGUUUAUGUGCAGCGCUCCGAGGCAAUCUGCUCGUUGUGGUCAAACACAUAAUUGCAGCAUCACCAAUUAAGUGUUGCUUUUGUCCUACUAAGACUUCGCCUGAUAUUUAAAUUUUCAAAGAACAGUUUCAUGUUGAAAGGACACGCAUAUGACUGUACUUAUUCUAUUUGCAGGAGGGAGAGCGUUUAUGAGAAAUGAAGGUCACCCUUCUACUGGACUUCAGCAUCGAUGGCCAACUGCCAGAGUGGUUGUUUUGGGAAAGUUUUGGCUCUUUUUGAGUACCUCGCCAUAUACCUUUUGUUUCUUUUUUGGUGCAAGGGUAAUUUGGAAUUACUCCAUCUUGCAAGUAUGACAAUGAAUUUCUGUAUCUACUGUUAGGCUUUAGUAUGAAAUCUGGUAUUUUUGGUUAGGUACAGUAGCUUUCUAUUCUCUAUCUUUCUAAUUACCACAACAUGUUAGCUCAAUUUUGUUUUCCACCAGCAUCUACUUCUUGUUUGAUAUGAAACAAUAAAAUGGGAAUCCAUGUGAAAACACAUUCUUGAUCACCUUAUUAUAUGUCAUACAUUAAACUAUCAAAAUACUGUAACAUUAUUCGAAAAACAUUUUUCCAGGUGAUGGGCAGCCCAAAUGGAUUUGCACCACUGGCAAUAUUCUGUUCCUACUUGACUUUUAUCAGCACAUUCUCGUCGGAAUUAAAGCCUCACUCACAUGACAUCUUAUGAAGGGAACUCAUUUGUUGCUCAUCAGUGCCAUUAAGAUGUGCAUCAUUAGCCGUUUCCUUUUCUUUGUAUUACCCUAUUUAUCUACGUUGUAAUUUAGCGUCUGACAAAUUCAAGUUUAUCACACAGAAACUGGUCAUGCUACAAACAAAUGCAAAAAGUUUAACUCGAUUCUGAUCUGUUAUCAUUCUCUUUCAAAUGGGUUGGUUGCGCAGCUUUGGGUAAUCGGUCCAACGGCAUAAACACAACUCGUUGGGCAUGAUAAUUUCUUUGGUUUGAUAACUCUCUACUCUCUCUUAAAUAAAUUAACACUGCAUUGAAAAUCUAACGAACAAAAUAGAUCCACUCCUAGACAGUAGAUACAUUUGGCUGGAUCAAUCAACCAGCGUAAAAAAUGGAACAUGGUAAAAUGAAUUCCCAACUACGGUGCACCAGGAAAUAGUUCGUCCUUGAGUGACGGAGCAAUCCACUGUAUCUGAACAUAGGUUAUCUCCCACAGGUCAUCACCUUCUUUGGGAAUUAACAACUCGUUUUCCUUCAUUAUUGAGAUAAUCCUUUUUAGUAAAUCCGGUAUUACCUCUUGCAUAUCUGAUUUGCCAUACCCUCCCAAAUCUACCUUCAUGCACGUAUCCAUUCUUCGCAACAGUCCCAUCCAGAAAGGCCUAAAAUGAGGACUUUCUGAUAUCGGUUUCAAAAGCUGCGAAUAAACUUCCACUAAGACCUCCAUUGCACGCUUCAAACUUCCUUCCAUGCUUCGAGUUUCUCUUUCUGCAUUCUCCCUCCUUGAAUAUUCCAGCAUCUUCUCGUGUAUAUCAUCAACCAUGGCAAAGAUCAAGCUGUUAAAACAGUAAAUACAGUUUGCCGGUGUAAAACACAGCUCCUCAGCCAGGAUGAAGCUUCUCUGAAGAGAAAUGACCGCAUGGUUUCUCACUUCUUCUCUCCUGGCUAAGCAUGUCCGUCGAAGGGCUUCACCUAGUUUGACAAAUAAGUUCAUGAUGAAGCUGGCAGAGCUGCCUGAUCUUGCAUUGUCUUCCGUGGAAGAGGCGCUUGCGUUGCUUCCCGUACUAACAUUGCUACCCGGAUCUGAGUACCCACUUCUAAACCACUGAACCAACAAUUUCACUGAAUCAGACAUGAGGUCCAUAAUUUUUAUGUUCUUUUCAACUGGACUAUUCUUGAGUGCAACAAAACCAAAUGCACAUUCAAUACAGGAGGCAUAGUUAGUCCGCGAUAUGUGCAUUCCAUCAGACAUCAAAUUGAUGAGUGACUCAACUCCUUGAUCAUAUGUUUCAGGAUGACGUCCAGUGACUGACAACAAAUGCAGGACAGUCUUCCAUCCUAGGCUACUCUGCAAAUUUGCAGGGUACUCGUUCAGGAUUCUGCUCACCGACUUUACUAGGAACUCUGAGCAAGUGUCAAGAAUUUCUUUUUCCAACUUCCACAUUAGAUUUAUGGAUUUAAAGAUGAGUUCCUCAGAGACUUUAUCAAGUUGAUAUGCAGAAAGGAUCUUGAGGCAGAUUUUCAUCUGAGCUACAAUGGCUUUUUCUGCAAAUGGGAUUGGUGAAAACAGAGGAAAUUGGGCAACUCCAAGCAGAUAAUCAUGGUAGUGAGGCCAAAUGGUUGAGAAUCUGUGCAUAUUAACACAAGAAAUGAUGACAAUCAAAUCCCAACAGAAUGCCACAGUUUCUUCCUCCUCAACGGGAGUGCUGAACUUUUGGCCUUUCCCAGCUGAUGCAUAUAUAAGAGCACGCCCAAGAUUCAGUAAUGAUUCAUCGGGUAAACUUGAACUGGUGGUGAAAAUGUUUUCAAUAUGGCAUUGCUGGAUAAUGUUUUGAUUCUGUUCAAAUUCACUGACUCCAAGGUUUAGAGAUUCUUCCACGCUCUCCAAUGAUAAGAAGUGUGAAAAUCGACCAAUUAAGCCAGAGGAACGGCGUAUAUGGUUGAAUUUUGUAUUACGGGUUGAAAUAGAUGCUGCUGACUCAUUUUUAUCAUGCUUCGUUCCAAUAGAUGCAUCUGAAGCAAUUUCAAAUUCGACAACCGAUUGUGGAAGUAACUUGAGCCUUCUGAGUUUCAACAAGCACUCAACAAUAGUUCUCCAACUCCCUCGAAGGGAAUUUUUGAAAGUGUUUGCAAUAGUGAAAACUGCGAGUGUCGCCAUCCUUGGCUUCAUAUCAUUGCUGAAAGCAUACAGGGUUUCUUCUGCUGAUGCAUAAGGAUUGAGCAAGGUAGUGAAUUUGCAAAACGAACAAAUAAGCUCAUCAAGAUUGUCUUCUAAUUCAUAUUGAGCUAUUCUAGCUAUUGCAAACAAUAACUCAAUGCAUUCAUGGAGAAUUUCCUCUUCUUCAGUUUGCUCAAAAAUUGCUGCAAGAGUUGCAACUGAGGGUCCAGCAAUAGCAGCAAACAUAUCUCUUCCUAAUCGACGAUCAAAAUUACACAAUACAUAUGGCUUCAUGAGUUUGGCUCGGUUGACUAGCUGAAUCCAUCUACUCGGAUUCAUUUCUGCAGGUGUACCUGAUUGACCAAAGAGUGUGAUCGCUUUGGAUGAUAUAGAAUGAAAAAGCUCAGAUAAAUAUUCUCUAGGGAGAUCACUUCCGCCAUUGAUUUCUCGAUUGUUCCUGAUGAAUUCCUCUUCUGUCAUCUUUUUCUUAACUUGCGGGUUGUGUUGAUCAGUGUUCAGCAUGAUGAGAGAAUAGCAAAGAACAAACACGGCAUCCUUGCUCACAAAAAGUUCCGAGGACUGCUGAUCAUAAAAUCUUUCUGAAAAUGCUUCAAGUAUUCUGUGAAUCUUCUGAGACUCUCCCGGUAAUCUGAAAGUCUCCAAAUAAUUCCGUAAAGCUGAAUCCAAUAUCAUACCUGUAAAUACAAAUGUAUUUGUAAAUUCAUUGAGGACUUGAAUAUGGAAUUCAUCAGGAUCACCAAGAUAAUCCCCAAUCAUGGUCUUGUCAAGUCUUGGGGUGAAACGGAAAAACAAAGCGAAAGCUUUUGGAUCAGGAGGAUCAGGGAUUAAGUGAGAAAUUUUCAGAUACUCCAACCCUUUCUUGUCAUCUUGAUUGAAGUGAUUUCCAGCAAUGAGUAGCUUCUUCUUUUGUGCCUUUCUUACUCUAACAAAAGUCACCCAAUCCUCUAGACCAUCAUCUUUUGAAAUCUCCUCCCAGAAAGGUGUAUACUCAGUGAUUUCAACUGGAUAUGGUCCAGAAGGGCAUGUAUCAUCUUCCUUAUCGAUGUUCUCUGCAAUAUUAUGAAUGACAAGUACAAGGCCUUCAAAUGCUUGGACCUGUAAACUUGUCAAAGGGCCACCAGUUGGGAAUGCAUGCUUGCAAAGCAACCUGCCUAUUUCUUCAAACGCAUUCCCAAAAAUAGGAUCACAAUCAUAAUUCACAUAGACUUCGAUUAUGAAGGUAGAUUGCCGACAGAAAUUCACGAUUGCUUCAGUUGCAAGUUCUUGGAGUUGGGGAGAGCUUCCAAGAUUUGCAGCUCUGAACAAAACAAAUGAGAAGAAAGCUUCUAAUUGUAGACGAACGGACCUGCAAUUGGCCGAGGCAUUUCGGUUAAUUAUUGAUUGACCUUUAUAGAAGCCCAAGAAUUAAGUUUGUGCUUGAUUUGGAUAUGCUAACCUGCGAAGGAAGUGAUAGAUAUUCAGAACAGUACUGCAGAUCAUUGACAAAACUAGUGGGCUUGAGUACGUCCCGUAGUAUAUUAAAUGGUGAAAUAAGUCAUCUUGGACCAUCCUCAAAAGCUUUGGGUGCUUACCUAUGCUGUCACCACUCAAUUCUAUCGCAGAAUUGAUCAAAGCCAAGGCAAAAAGCUGAACGUCUCCAUCAGUUGUAUGAGCAUGCAAAACCUCUGACUCUGCAAUUUCAACCACAUUAAGUAAAGAGCAUAAGAAUUGAAAGAUAUCCACAGCCGAGCGAAUUCCAAACCCCGAAUCCAAAUUGCUAUCUUCUGUAUCUGAUUCAGAGUUCUCCCAAUCAUUCACCUCAAUAUCUGGCAACCGAUAAUAUAUUAUUUGGAUCAGUUCCUGCAUUGUGUACCUUGCACUGCGCUGAAGCAAGUUGCCACGAUGGGCCGACUGUUGGACAACCUGAAAGCAUGUAUUGACCACAGUACAAACUGCAUGAUCAGUGAGCAAAACAGAAGCUUUAUGCCUCAUAACAGCAGUCAAGACGUGCAAAAUUCUCAUCAUGACAGCCUCCUCAGAAACAGGAUCAGUUUUCUCCAGGCGACAAGCCGUGAUUGCAGUCACAGUUGCAUCCAUAACAUCUUUAGCCCCAGGAGUCUUCUCAUCAAAUAUAUCAAGCCUGAGGAUCUUCAGGAUGGAUGAAAGGGCCACCCCCGUUGCUGCUGCAGGAAUGUCAUCGCUUUGUAUUACAUCAAGAAAAGGUGACAGGUAGAGAGACGGAUCAAUCUUCCGCCAUUCUUGCUCAGCAUUGAAGAUGAGUGACCUUAAUGAUUUUAAAGAUUGGAGUAUCGUGGAAUCAUAAUUUUCUUCAGAAGGGUGGUGAAAUUGGGGGUUUGCUUCAGGUAUUCGUCGAAUCACAGCUAGAACAGCUCCAACCUCAGCAUUCAACAUGCAAGACAAUCCCAGCUCCUUUCUUUUUAUCUUAGUCAUGUUGUUGUUGUUUCCUCCUUCUUGCUGAUCUUCCAUUAAUCCUGUUUUGCAGAUUUAGUGCUGAUAAAAAACAUCUCUUGAAGUUCGAAAAACGGUUUGGAAAUAAUGGUGGUGACGGGGGAUGUGUCCUGUUAAGUCAGCGGAUGAAGUUACUUCUUUAACCAUGUAGAUCAAUUGUGUAAAGGACUAAGGAUGCAUUGUGAAAUGUUAGAAAGAUAGGCGGAAUGUUUGCUAAAGAAAUGGCUGUGAUAAUUCACUGAAGUUAUUAUUUGGUUUGUAUGGUUAAAACUGCGUGCUUUGAAUAUGUCUGCCACCGACCUCUCCUAGUCUUUUUCCUUCUUCUGUUACACUUGGCAAUAAAUUAUGUAUGUUAAUGCAUAUGAUCAAUUAAGCGUGAAUUAUUACCGAUUUUUUUGUAUGUAAAUUGGAGAUUGUUUCGAACAGUCAAUUAGUUCAGAUUUGAUAUAGUUUACUAAUUCGUGUACCGUUUAGGUUCAUUGUACCUUCCUUAUUAAUUGUAAAUCUAACCUAUGAAUGGAGAUGCUGUUCGAGUGCAAAGAUAAUAAUGAAACGUAGACAAUUUCUCGCAAUUUCUGAUGUUUUGUAACCAAAUAUUUUUCAUGUCAGUGACCUUCAUUCAUAUAAAAGUGGUGUGACUUACUAAAGAUAAAUGUGAAUAUAUUUAAAGAAGUUUUUUUCCGCGUUCUAAAGGACUAAGGAGGAGAGGACGUGAUUGCUUUGAUCUGUUUUUCAACUGAAAAAUAGAUCAUCACGAUUGGCCCACAAUAAUUUGUCGUCCGCAUUUUCGAUUUCUUCAUUUUGGCAUUACUUUUGGUCGCCUUUGAGAUAUUAGACAAAUGAAGAAGGAAACUUUGUGACAAUGACCAGCAUGCCAUGCAGCAGAAACAAAUUCAAGAAACUUUGUGCUACCGGCAUUCGAGUUUGCCUCUGUCCUCUUUGUACAUCCAUCCGGCAUCCUUCCUCACGGCUACACAUUGGAAACAAAUAUUCAACGAGUCACUCAGCAUGUACGAAUUAGUUUUAAAAAUGAUGGAAACAUUCCUGUGCAAGUCAAAAUAAACAGAGAGUUUCUUCUACUGUUGUGUUAAAUAUUUUUAAUUGCUCCCAUUUUCUUUGAGCUCUUGAGCUCGUGCCACAAGCAAAACAAUGUAUCAAACUUAUCGUCAGAAUCAGUCUCAGGUGCCCUGGAUAUCGCCAGCAGAGUUUUGAGCCACUGUUCAUGCAGGGUAGAGAAGUUAGCCCUUUGUUCGCUUGACUUGAAACUUUCUCCUAUUAACUUCUUCAUGAUUUGAGCAGCCCCUGAAGCACUUUCAACAACCAUCUCAGGGACCCCAGCCAUUUUCGCCACUUGCAUACCAUAGCUCUCAGGACAUGGUCCAGAAGCUAGCCUAUAUAGAAAAAUCAGUUCCUGCUCACCCGGAGAUGACUUCUUGGACUUCAGCUUAAAAGAGCAGGCCAUAUGUUGCAGUGAAACACGAGGAUGAGAAGCAAAUUCCUUCGUGAGAGGAUGAUAAUGUGUAGCAAAUAACAAACGGCAGUUCACUGUUUCAACAAGAUAACGGAAUACCUAGACAAAAUUGGAAAGAUAUUACAAAUAACAAGUCAGCCACAGUAAAAUAAUUUACAGUAACAGAUAACUAGAUCUAAAACCAGCUCCAAUUUAAAUUUUCAACAACAGAAUCAUUUGCAGUCAACUUUUAAAGUUUCAGGCUCUGAGCAACAUCAAAUCCCCAAAUUUUUCAUUUCUUUUUAAUGUCAUAGUCCCAGGUCACUACCAUUUAGAGUCAACUUAAGAUUGUUAACAAAGAAUAUUUUGCAGUUUACUUUGUCUUGAGAAUAUAAAAGCAAGAUUUAUUGCAGCUGGUAAGGUAAAUAGCAAGUGAAAAUGAAUCUCACAGCAUAUGCAAUUGCAUAGCCAUCAAAUGUGCUAGUUCCUCGACCCAAUUCAUCAAGGAGGACAAGGGAAUCUUGUGUGGCAGUUUGUAACACUGCUGCUGUCUCAGUACAUUCAAUAAGAAAGGUACCUACAAAACAAUCAAAGUGCAUCAUGCAUUGUAAGAAGCAAGCUUCCUUGUAGAACUAUAGCUACGUUAAGAAAAUAAAACCAAAAGAUAAAUUAUUUGACCAACAAAAUAAACUUUCAGAUUAAUGAUCAAGAACAACUCAAUCAAGAAUCAAGUAGAGUCCAAUUGCAGAGCAUACUCUCGCCUGUCAUAAUUCUAUCAGUGGCUCCAAGCCGUGUAAAUAUGAUGUCCACAAGUGAAAGGACACAAGUCUCACAAGGCACAAAACAGCCCAGCUGCAAAGUACAAAUUUUAGGCAAAGAAGCAAAAUCAGCAAAAAUUAAACAUCAGGAUAGCAAGGAAAUCAAGCAUAUUUUAGUUGACAAACAGUAGGAAAAAGAAAGUUGAACCUGAGCUAGUAUAACAGUUAAACAAGUUGCACGUAUAAGGGUUGACUUCCCACCCAUAUUAGGUCCAGUCAAAAGCAAAGUACAGGGAUUAUAAAUACUAUUGUUGCCCCCAAGAUGCAUGUUGUUCGGAACAGGCAAUCCUCCAUUCUCACCAAGGGCAUACGGAUGCCAUAAACCUUCAAUUGAAAGUAUUGGUCCUCCUGUCUCUGAAUCUACAGAUCUUGAAUGAGGUAAAAUUUUUGGUCUACACAUAGCCCCAGAAGAAAAACUUGUGGUUACAGCAAAUGAUCUUAGUACAUCUAAGCAACUUAUAGCAUGGAUUACUUGAGACCAUUGCAUAGCCUUCUCUAGGAAAAGUUCCAUUAAAAUUGAUAGCGUUUCAGCACUUGAAUCUGUAGCAUCAUGGUCCUGUCACCAUGCAAGGAGAGAAACAAAUCAGGCUGCUUAUUCUCCUAUAUGCAAUUCAUGAAAUAAAUCCAGCUCAUGGGUACAGGAAAAAAAUUGUCAAACAGGUAAAUUUUAAAAUUAUCAUAUUGCAGAUAAACACUAAGAUGAAGACCAACAAAGGGAGUGGGACACACUACUAAAUUUUAAAACUUGAAAACCUUGCCUAAAUAUCAGCAGACACUUCCCCUGUAACAUUUCUCCAGAAAAGUAACAUUGCAUCUUGAGGACCAAAAAUUGGAGACCAUAUCAAAGUAUAUAUCCCGUGUUAUGGAAGAUGAAAAUUCAGCUAGGUAUUCCUACUAAAAGCUACUAUAUCAAUAACUGGCUUCUACAAUUUUUUGACAGUACAGAACACCAAAACUCUACAGAUAAAACAAGAAAAAGUAAAGCAUAUGUACUUCUGAGCACAUGCAUCCAGCACUCCCACUUUCAUAAUUCUACAGCAAAAAGAUGCCUAAUCAUGAAGCUAUAAGGUAGCAGAUAGAAAAAUACAGCACAAAUCAAUUGAAAGCAAGCAGCACAAUUCAUGGAAUGUAAGAUUUUGAAGAAAGUCGUGACCUGAUAAUUGGGAAAGUCACUGUCAAUUGCUGCCUCAAAUUGUGCAAGAAAUUUAUCAAGCCCAUCAUUACCAAUUAACAGAGGAAGACAAAGAACUUUUGCUAAUGAAGAUGUCAUAAACCCUUCCUUCUGUAAUAGCAAUAACAAAUCCAUUCCAAUACGCAGGCCUUUAACAAGUGAUCCAAACGCUUUAACCUGCAAGAAGACAAAAUUUUGAGUAAACAUAUUGGUUGAGUACUGAGGAUAGAUCUUGAUUAUACAAGGCAAAGAUUAGAGAGGAUAUUUGCCCGUAAACACUACUUGAUGAGCACCUAAAACAGACAGUCACUGACCACCCAUGAUCUCCCCCAUUGAGGGAACCAAGUGUCUUUGCACUUUAGCACAAGUCUUAAACGAAAACAUUGUCCCUGACAAGGCAUUCUCAUGACAAUGCUUUUUUGAUUCCACUGUCUAGAAGAUGUGAAAGAAUAAAUAGCAUGAGAACUUAAUUUAAGCAUUGAUGGGGAAAAAGUAUUAUCAUUGACUAGCAACUUCAUAAAGACUCAAGCUAACUAGGAAUUGCAGUUUGCACUACUGCAUUCUCAGAAAUAAUAUUGCACUGUUCAUCAAGAGUUAGCCGAAAAGAAACCACCAAUCUUGAGCUACCGAUGAAAUGAUGCAAGUGUGCACGCACAACAACAAGAGUACAUACACAAGCAAAAAAACUUAUUGAGAAAGCUUACUCGCUGUUUCAAUUUUUUGCUGCCAAUCAGUGGCAGCAAGAGCACAGCAGAAGAGUUAAUGCUUGCCUUAACACGCCCAAGCAACCUCUCUAAGUCUGGAAUCUUGCGAAGAUAUUGAGCCACAAGUAACAUGAUAUCUGAAUGUGCUAUAAGCUCCUCAACAACAUCAAGCCUAUGAUUGAUUUUCUCGACAUCUCUCAGAGGAUGACAGAUCCAGUUCCUUAAAAGCCGUUUACCAGAUGCAGUGACACAAUUGUCAAGAUAUUUGUACAAUGUACCUAUAUAUUAAUGUUGCUUAAAUUAACAUAGGAGGAAGCAUAACCUUCAGGUCUUAUAUUCUAACAUAACUCUUUGAUAUACACUAAAUUAUACACGAGCACUUGCCUGCCUGAGCACCAUCAGCAUUGUUAUUAAAAAUCUCAAGAUUGACAAGUGUCUGCCCAUCCAUUCUUAGACAACCCUUGUAGAGUUGAUACGAGUAAACGUCUCCAUUAUGUAAAGUGUCAUCUAACUGUUCAACAAAAUAACUUAAUUCAGAACAAAAGACAUUGAUGUUGAAGGUUGUACUACAAACAAUUUUCACAGGCCUACCAUCAUUCGGGAUAAAUGGUUAGUGAGUCCUCCAAGAGCACAUAACGCAAGAUCCUGAUGCAUAAUCCCCUCAAGAAUGUGAUCCCACCUGUUAAGAGAUUCUUUGAAGUAACCCUUCAACUGAAUGAAGUUUCUCACUUCUGAUGCAUUACCAAAAUCAGCAUGCAGAGCUGGAGUCAACAUUGAUACAGUAGAGCCUACAAGCCAAAGUUAAAUAGGCUUCUUAUCCAAAAGAUCCAAUCAUCAAUAACAGCAACCUUUGUAAAUAGCCAAAACUAAAGAAAGAGACAUCAAGCAGUUUCACUAAAAAGAAAAGUUGUAACUGAUAAUUGCAGUACAGAAGAAUGUGCCAAUUUGCAGAUGAGAACUUAAAAGGUUAAACUGUUGUCACCUGUUAGCGAGUACUUUUUCAAUGCUUUCUGUGCCUCUUUGGACAGUCCUAUAACAGAUUUGAGUAAAUGACCAUCAGGCUAGGGCUCAGCAAGAUUAAUAUUUCUAACAUAUGACAGCUUUUUGCCUGGUUUCUAGAAACUCCUUAAAAGAAAAGUAAAAGUUGGAUGUGAAAGCAAUUUAAUAGACUUACCUUGACUAUCAUAGAUCACUUCCCUAGGUGACACCUAAAAGUCAAACCAAAAGAAAAAGAAGACCAAUCAUCCCCACUAAAUAUUGCACACAGAGCAUAUAACAGAAAAUUAAGACCAAGGAGCAUACUUGCAUCAACAAAGCCCCCAAAGCUGCAUAAGAAGCAUCGUCACUGAUGGAACCAACCCAAAAUUUUAAUGCAGCACAGUCGACAAAAGCAAACCCAAAAGAAGUUGAACCAUUAUCUGGACAAAAGCAAUCCUAGAUACAGAAUGCAGCAAGAUGUUAAUCAUUUUAUAAUUCUUAUUUGCAAUGAAACUACCCUAUCUAGCUUUACUUGUACAACUUUACCAAAUUUGAGAGCUCAUGACACAUUUUUUCCUACACCAUCAGUAAGAACAAUAUGGUAAAGUACGGAAAGCAAAGAAAAGGUUUUCAAGCCAACCUCUUUUAUUGCAAGAAGAUGUACAGCGUUUGGCCCAAUGUUGCCCUCAGUUGUGGUGGAUGGUGUGAGAACGCCAAUUAGCUUCCUUUCAAUAACCUAAAACCAGCAUUGUAAGCCAUGAUUAGAUUUGAAUGACUAUCACCUACAGUUUGCCAGAGACCAUACAAUGACAGGCACAGGUCCAUGUGGAUAACGGAACUGCACAAACACAGGUCCAUUUCAAACUUACAGAAGCAGAACCUCUUGAUUUUGCUUGUUCUGAGGUCUCCAACUGCUCAACCCGUCCAACUUUGUAGCUUUAAAUAAGAAAUGACGAGUAAAAAAAAAGGACAGGAUCAGAAUGCAGCAGGAAAACAAAUAGGAUCUCUACACAAAUAUAUUAAUAUGAAAGCACCAGUAUAUCCAGAAAUUAGUAAAUACUGAAUAGAUGUUCCACAAGAAAAGAAAACCAAUCUGAAAACUAAACAAAUCAGGAUGCUUGAUUUAACGUAUUGAUACACAUUAGCCACAGAACUUGCUUACCAACCCCUUUGACAAUUAUAAAAGAUAAAAGAAGCAUAAAACAAGAAAUUAGAUAGAGUAGUGAAUAAUGAAUAGAGGCUCAAUUACCAAAGAAAAUUAAUAUGAAACCAAACAAAUCAGGAUGCUUAAAUUAACAUAUCAAUGCACAUUGACAACAGGAAUUUGCUUACCCACGAUCAAUCAAUUUCUGAACAGCAUCAUCAAUCCCACUCUCAGAUAUCCCAACCUAAUAGCAGCGCAAAGGAUCAGUAUAGAUAUGAUAUUGAGUAAAACCAAACACCUACCACUGCAAAUGCCUCAGAAAACACUAUAACAGGAUGACUAUAACUGUAGAUCGGGACAUUACCUGUCGACAUUUACCCACCCCGCUUAAUGUCAUUUUCCAGUCAAGUUCCUUGUGACCAAUUUCAGCAUCAAGUUCAUAGAGCUCAUAAAACUUUCCCUGAAAUAGAAAUAUGAGUGUUUUAAAAGAGUAUUGCAAAAGACAGACAUGAAGGGCAUAUUUUUUUUUAUCUUCAACAGAGUUCUUCAUUCACAUUUUGCAGAAUAAAUUCAUAAAAAAUGGAUAUAAAUUGGAAGCAUGAUAAUCACAAAGCAGUAUGGCACCAAAAUUAGUUUGGACAAUCUAUAAACCAAAGAAUAGCAAGUAAUGUAAAUCAAGCUUAUAAAUCUAACUGAAGUUAGAUGAUCCCUGUACCCUACUACAGUUCACUCAGAAGUCACAGAUUCCUAAUCAUUAGUCUUAUUUCAUUACACAAUGAAAUCCCACUGGAAAUCUCUGAUAAGUUAUAAACUGAAAGUCUUUGAUUUUUGAGAAAGUGCCUAGAAUAUGAAAUUAAUCAUCAAAAAUUUUGAAGUUUAGAAAUCAUUCAGCAGUCACCCAUUUAACCUAUUGCAGAAGCUCACCUGUUAGGUGACUCUUUGAAAUAAAUGAAGUAUGACGAAUAAAUUAGAUUCACCAAAAGAAACAAGGAAAAAAAAACAUCCUUAGUGCACUGUAAUGAAGGUAUGGGUUCGAAUGGACUGACCACUUUAAAGAAAAGCACCACAUCCAUGUAUUGACAUUUAACUUCCCAAUAUUGCUUUUGUGAUGCCGACAUCUUUCUUAGAGCAUCUGGUGGUAUUAAGAGUGUUCUUUGGUCAUAUAGAGGAUCACCUGGCCUUUUUCCCUUAGCAUCCUUGAUUCUUGAAGGAUGAAGCCAUUCAAACUUGCUAGCCAUUUCAGAAUCCUCUAGAUAUUUCUUUUCACCAUCUAAAUCCUGAAGAAAUUUCACCCUUUUGGUAGCAUUUGACUUGGAGAAACCACUCUUUUGCUCGAAAUUACAAAUAUCAUCAUGUAACCUUUUUAACCGAGGGACUGAAGGUCGCAUGCCUGGCGUGUCUGGUCCAAGAACAUCAAUGUCAUCAGUUCCAACAACCAAUGGGCAUCCCUCACUCUCUUGCUUUGUUGUCCCAUUAGUAUGGCAAAUACUUUGCCUCCCUAUUUGCUUAGAAGUCAAGUUUCCAUCUUCAAACUCUUUCUGCGACUUCGAUUUAUCAAGAACAGAACAAAUAUUGUUUGAGACACUUGCUUCCUUCCUGCCGUUUUGCAGUCAAUAUGCAAUAUGUGGGUCAUAAGCAGACAAAGAAUUUAAAUGCUGCUUGGCAAAAAACAAAGGAAAAAGUAAAAUAGCUAAUUAACGAAUUGAUAUAGUUAACUUUAUGCAGUAAUGCUACCUAAAAAGAAUUGCAUUGAGGGUAUAUAGAAGUUAUAGGUCUCUUUCUGUAAACAGUUGAAUUUCCUCAAUAAGCUAGUGCAACGACUAUCAAAUGAUCUACAUUUUUAUCAAGAUAAUCGUAGUAAAUUAUCGAGUUCAUAUAGGUUAUAUACACUGCUACAUCUACCUCAAAAGAGAAACAGUUUCUCUUCACCUUCCAAGUACACCAGCUAGUACAACACUUCGGAACGUCACAGUAUAGUCGCGAAAUAAGAACAAAAAUAGUGAAUAUAGACAGAUGUACACUCACGAGUCAUUUAUCAGAACAUAUAUUCAGAGGCUAUCAAUUUCUUACCGCAAAAGUUUACAAAAGUAGCUACUUAAUGCUAGCAACAUACAAUUAAAUUAAUCCAACUUUACCAACCUAUCAUCGAUGAGUAUUUCAGUUUCAUAGUCAAACAUUUAAAAGAAAGAAAUAAAAAACCAAAAAAAAAAAGGGGAAAGGAAAAGGAAAAGCAUGAGAAACCUACUCAUUGCAAGAUAUUUUCGUAGUAUCGAAUCUCGCGAACUUGUGCAUGAUACUGGAGAAGAGCGAAUUUUUGCUUCCGCUCUCAAUGUCGUUGACGGGGAAAAUCUGACGCGGCACUUUUUCCGGCGGAGUAUCGGUUCCUCUGACGUCAUCAACCGAAUCGUCAAUUGUGGAGGUAGAAAUAGCUUUGGUAAAUUCAAUACCAGCUCCAAUCUGAUUCUGAUGUUUGGGAGGAAAAUGAGGAGCUCGGCCGCCGGAGUUCUGUUGCUCCGCCGACGGUCUUUUGAGAAAUGAAAGAAUCGACUUCUGACGCUGCAUUUUUUUUCCCCCCUGGUUGUCAGCGAUUAGGGAGAAGAGGAAAGCCACUGACGAUUUUAAAUCAGAGAAAGGAGACAGUGAUAAAGAGAAUUGGCGCCAAGUUUUGGCUCCAAAAUGGGUAACAUUUUGGAGGUUCUCAGCUGGGCGGUGUAUUCGUGGCCGUUCGAUCCGUUUUUCGGAUUUUACUGUUACCAGUGGCGCGUGGUAGACCGCGGAGAAAUUUCCACUUGCCCCAGUAACGAGCGUCAGAUGGGGAAAUUCUAGGGCAAUUUGGCUCUUUGCACCAAUCCAGCCAUCCAUCCUUCGAAGGUGUCAAUUUAAUUAUGUACCAGAGAAAAAAAGGGAAAAAAAAAAAAGAUGUCAAUUUAAUUUAGUCUUAUACACGUUAACUCUUUUUUGAUUUCCUGAUUAAAUAGUAUUUCACGAUAAUGGUGUUCCAUACCAAUUUACGCACGUCUUAAAUCAGUCCAGUGCCCUGAAAUACCUCAAAUUACAUGUUAAGUAUAUCAUUCACACGAGUUUUAUAUGAUUAAACCAAAGUGUAAGUGUAUGCUUCACCAAAUUACAUCAUUUCUUUUUAUUUGACAAUUAUUCAGUUUUCAACUAUAAUGACACCCAACAUGGUACAAACCCGAGAACAUUUUGCAUCUAGUUGUGUCAUUUUAAGCAAUAGUCUGAGGCCAAUUAGGCAGAUUUCCCAAUACGAGUAGUAUCAAUAUCAAAAUAUAUAUAUAUAUAUUGUAGAAUAACAUGUUUUGCAUCUAGGACUAAUUGCAUUUGUUGGCUUAGACACGGUUAGGUAGAUUAAUCUCUUAUGAGGCCUAUAAUCGUUCACUGGGCAUAAAGGGGUUAGUUUACAAUUUACAUAACAUUGAUACCCUUUUGCUAAGUUCGAGCUCAGAUCCUUGUUUUGUCUUGUAUUUGUAAUCUUUGACGUGUAAUUUUGGAAUCCACAUGGAUGAAUGUAAUUGCAUAGAAAGAGAUAAACGAAGUAGUAAACUUUUAAUCAAAGGUUAAUUUUGCAUGUGUGUGUGUGUGUUUAACCUCAUGUAAUUUCUUGAUUAUCGUAUACAGAUAAUUGAAUAAGGGAAAACUUGUAGAGAAAAUACGGAAAACUUUAAAGUAAUGAAAUUUGAUUAUUUCGAAAGUUAUUAGACAAUUGAUUUUGGUUUGAAAUAGAUUUCUUCUUCUUUUUUUCCCCCUUGGAUCAAGUGGAGCCAGAAGUGUAGAUCCGAUAUUAGGAGAACGGAAAGACAUACGGUAAUUUUUCCUAAUAAGGGUAAUUUUGCCUUCAAGAAUUUUGCAAUGUGUAUAAUCUUCUAGAUGUGGACACAUUUUGGCUUUCUAGAAUAAUGCAAACGCCUUCUGUGAGCUUCAACUAGGGCUAUCAAUGAGGGGUCGAAUUGAUUCUAACUCGACCUGUUUGCCCCAAAACAAAAGGGGUCCAACCACUAUAAUUAUGGGUUGGGUAGAAUUUAGGCAUACAUUCAUAACUCGAUUAAAAUGUGUGUCAAGUUUCGGUUUUUAUAGGAUCAAAUUGAUUAGAGCCUGACCCGUUGUUAUAUAUGUGCGUGCAUAUGUAUUCUAAUGUAUAUAACUAUAAAUAUCUUAUUUUUAAAUACAUAAUGUAUGAUUAGACUAUUAGUAAUUAAUAUUGGUUUUGAAAUGAUUUAGAUUCAUUAAAUAAUUAUAUUUAAAGAGAAAACUCUAUUAGUAUUGACUAUUAAUCAUGUAUUAUUAUUAUUUUCAAGUAUUUAAAAAGAAUUGUUGACAAAAUUUUUAUUGAUGAACUCUUAAUGAAAUUUAAACUAAUUUAUAUGUAAUUUUAAUAUUGUAUAUUACAAAUUAACUUUACUACUUAAUGGGUAUAGUAAUUAUAUUAAAGAAAUUAAUGAGUAAUAAUUGAAUAUGAGCUAAACUUGAAUUAAACUCAAAAUUCAAAUAUAUUGUGAGUUUAAGCAUGAACUUCGCACAUAUUAGCCCAAAACUCAUUAUUUGAAAUCCAAAUAUCUUAUUAACUAAAUAAAUCGAGCAUGAGGUUGUUAAAAUCCAACUUGGAUGGCCCGACCCAACAAAGGCCUUGCUUGGAUUGAAGGUUUUCGUCGGAAAAUAUUAUCGUUUUCCGUGAUCACAUUUCCCUAUCACCUUUUUCCCUCACAUAUAUCAAAUCGCUACAGUAAUUUUUCCAUGAAAAAUGACGGAAAAUGCAAUCCAAACACAACCUUAACUUCAACUAGGAUGUAUGUAUUAACUUUCAAUUUUUAUUAGUAGUAUUUGAAACUAGAAUAUCUAUUUUCACGAGGUGAGUCGAGCAGUGAAUCCUUUAAACAACCUCUAGAUAGAUAAUUAAACAAGAACAACUUGUUGUCAGAGGCUCAAAGAAAAAUUUAAAGAAAUUUGUUCAAUAAUACCUAUUUUUUAAUUAUUGAAUGUUGUAAAACUAAUAAAUGAAGUAAAAAACUGCAGAGAAAAAUGUUAUAUUAUUCAUCAUUUGAGCAUUCGAGCGAAUAUAAUAAACAUUCUCUCUGCUUUUGACUACUUCUAUCUAUUCUAUUAUAUUUUGUUAUUUCAUUAGUACUAGUUUCACAACAUAUUUAUCAACAUGAAUAUCCAACUUUAAGCAAAAGGGAAACAUGUGUAUCUAAGUUUGAGCAAGUACAGGUUUCUACAUGUGUUCAACAAUCAUUUAAAAUUGAAACUUGUAUUUGAUAAUUCAAAAUUAUAAACUUGUACUUAUUGACUAAAGUUAGAUACUCAUGCUUCACAUUUAUUCAAAGUUAGACACUUAUGCUAAUAACGUGUUAUGAAAUUAAUAAAACAUAAACUAAUAAAUGAAGUAAAGAAAUGUAGAGACAAGAGGAUUAGAAAAAGAGAUUAUAUUCAAAUAUUUUUCCAAAGAUUUCAAAUAAGACUUGUGAACUGUCUAAGGGUCUGUUUGAUAACAUAAAAAAGUGCUGAAUUUGAAUUUUUUCAGACAUUCAGAUGUUUUGAGUAUUUGAUAAAUAAAAAUCUAUUUGCUGAAUUUGUUAAGCAGUGCUGAACCUGUGUGUAUUUUUUUCAGCACAAGAAUCCUAACUGAAUGCUUAAUUCUGGUAAGAAUCAAUUGAAUUACUUCAACUACCCUAUCUUAUCUACCAAAUCUACCCUUGUUGUUAAUUAUGUUCAAAAUUCUUAUAUAAUUAAACAAUAUAAUAUUCUCUAUCUAACGAUUUUUAGUUUAUCUUUUCUCACUUUCUAAUGACUUUCACAGCUUCUCCAUACUCCUUUAUAUAAUAUAUUUCACAUUUUAUAUUAAUUUGAUUUAAAAAUAAAUAUUGUCAUUUUCAUACCUAACAAUUUUAAACUAAUUAAAUGAUAGAUUCUAUUUCUUUUUGGAAUGAAAGGAUAUAAGGGCAAAAUUGUCAAAUUAAACUUAUUAAGCAUUCAACUAUAAAUAUUUAUCAAACAAUAUAAAUAGGUUUAACAUUAAAAUUCAGACAUUUAUAUAUAUUUUUUAGUGCUUAAAAUUCAACAAAUUAAUUGUUUCAGUAUUCAGAUUUCAGAAUUCAAACUUCAAAAUUCAGAUUCAGUUUUAUCAAAAGGAACCUAAGUGAUACAAGACUAAAGGCACACGUAUCAAUAUUAAUAUAGAUAUACGAAUUUAAUAUUUCAAAUACAUAAAUUUAUCAAUGAAUGUACCAAAGGAUGAAUGCUUAAUGCAUCUCCUAGGGAGAUGAAUAUACAUCACACAUAUCAUUUCAUUAAUUUCAUAAAUUUGAAGAUGUAUUUGUAGUUCUUCUAACAGGAAAAAAAAAGGUUAAUCACAUUUUGUCCCCUUAAAAAAUAUCUCAUUUCUCAGUUUACCCCAUAACCUUUAAUUUUGCUCACUUAACCCCCUUUAGGAUAAAAUUGCCCUUGCAUUAUUUUGACUUUUAAUUUAUCUUAUUUUCCUUUCUUUUAUUUUUUUUCUCUUUUUUUAAAUUAAUAGUUAUUAAAUCUUAAGAAAAUAAUAAAGAAUUAAAAUAUAAUAUUUAUGAAUGAAAAAUAAUAAUAUAAUAAAAAAUAAAACAAAGAAUGACACGCAAUGUGGGACAGACUUUCCGCGCGAAACGGGACAAAUGGCACAUCUCAUUCGCUAAUAUCCAUCGUUGACCAAGAGCCAAAGAGGCCAACCCUUUUUAGCGUUUUACUUGGGCACCAAGUUCUUGCAAAGACCAACGUGGCUUCUUUUCAACCAAUCAACAGCUGCCAACUCACCAAUCAGAGAACUGGAUAUUCACCACCACACCAUCCUUGGACAACAAGUUUAGUAGUACCUCCGCGAACCUUCGAGAUCCAUAGCUAUCACCUCGUGCCUUUCCUUUUUCCCCUAGCCGACUCUUCCUGAAUCCCAACCCCAUAUAAAACCCGUCCUGGCCCUCCUCAAAAAAUCGCUUUUGAUGGUUAGUUUGAAAGAAAGACAGGAGGCAGAAAGAAGAAGAAGAAGAAGAUCAACCUGCUAUUUUUGUGAAGGAUGCCGAGUAGAUUUCAGGGGGCGAUCAAGCAGGAAUGGGAGCCGGUGGUGCUGCAAAAGUCUAGACCCAAGGCUGAAGACCUGAGGGACCCCAAGGCGGUGAACCAAGCUUUGAGAACAGGUGGUCAGGUGCAAACAAUCAAAAAAGCGGAUGCCGGAGCAAAUAAGAAGGCAGCCCCCCCUGCUGUAAAUGCAAGAAAGCUGGACGAAGCUGAGGAGCCUGCGGCUUUGGGGCGGGUAUCGACGGAGGUGAGGCAGGCCAUACAAAAGGCGAGAAUUGAGAAAAAGAUGAGCCAAGCCGAGCUAGCGAAGCAAAUUAACGAGCGACCUCAGGUGGUUCAGGAGUACGAGAAUGGGAAGGCUGUGCCUAAUCAGGCUGUAUUGGCUAAGGUGGAGAGAGUGUUGGGGGUUAAGCUUAGGGGAUUAAGAAAAUAAAUGGCAUAAAUAUAGGCUGAACGUUAAUGAAGUUUUGUAAAUGAACAGUCUGUCACCUUAGGUUGAGAAUUUCAACCGUUGGAUGUAAAUUAUUAUUAUUGUUGUUAUGUCGGACGGUGAUGUUUCUUGCUUACCUUGAGCAUUUACUCAGCCGACAAAUGAUGCAUGUUUAUUUUAUUUUUGUUGUCUUCUUUGAUUAACAAAGGCGUAUUUUCGGAAUUUCCAGCAAGGCACGUCGAUUGAGUAUGGACUAUCUCAAUCGGAAGCACUACUGUUUUUUCAACUUUUUUGCAGGCAAAAGGAGUCACGCUGCGAUGUAGUAGCUGGGUUUAAAGUUUCAAGCCUCCUUUCCAGGGACCACCUCAGCAGCAACCCCCCCCCCCACCCCCCUUUUCCUUCCCGGCGGCCCAAAAAAAAAAAAAAAAAAAAAAAAAAGAGGAGGCAACGCUAUUCUACUAGCACAGGCGGCCGGCGGCUCUUUCCUAUAACUAUUAGCUAAUAAAUUACUUUCGAGCUAGGGAAACAAUCAACUGGGCUUACAAUUGGAGUUUGCUUUUCGUUGUUUAGCUAUUAAAGAAUCUUAACAAAGCUAUCCUCAUUUUGGAUUGUCUGGGACUGCUGAGACAGCAUCCUCAUUUUAAAUACGACGGCCCCCACCCAAAAAGAAGAAAAGGAGAACGCUGGAGCCUCUUCGUAGUCCUUUCUCGGAAGAGUCUGUUCUCCCUUGCUUCGACGUUGAAAUCCUGUCUCCUGCCUAACCGAUGUGAAAAGAUGGUAGCCUUUUUGUCAUUUCUACCCAAAAAAGAAAAUUUUCUUUUUGCUUGGGUUGGAAAUUGCCAGAGAGAAACCAAUAUUCCAAGCUUUAAUUAACCGUUUUAACGAGCAACUUAAUCCAUCAGAACUCGGGCGAGAGAGACGUCAAUUUAAUUUUCGACUGUCUUCUUUUUUAUCAGCGUCGCAGGUAAAUAAUUUUACAGGAGAGUACGAAUAAAAAAGUGCAAGAAAUUCAUUCUCAAACUGACAUUAUUUAAUCCCGCAUGAGGAUGUAUCCUCAUUUCGCCGCCUUUUUUUUUUUUUUUUUUGUGCUUUUAAAAAUUUCCCGAUGCUACAGGAUGCUUACAGCCAAGGUGAAUUGUAAAUGGGAGUAGCAACAGCUUUAACUACAAGAUACUUCUUGAGGCCAUCCAUUCCCAUGUCUCUUCCAAAACCACUCAUUUUGUAGCCUCCGUAUGGGCUGUCCCUGUCGAAGGCAAAGUAACAAUUUAUCCAGAUAGCACCCGCACGAAUUGAUCUUGCGACGGUGUUGGCAAUGUUAAUGUCGUUAGUCAUAACGCCCGCUGCCAGUCCAUAUUUGGUCGCGUUUGCUCUCUUGAUUGCCUCCUCAACGGUCCUGCGUGUGUUAUUUAGUAUGAAAUAUUACUUAGCAUGAACACGUGUCCAGGGAAGGAAUAAGGCGUUUGAAGGCUUAUUAGUCAGUACUAAUUGACUUACUUGAAUUUGAAUACUGACAUAACAGGCCCAAAUAUUUCUUCCUGUGCAAUUGUCAUCUCAUCCUGCAAUGCAUCAAGCAAAAUAAUUAUUGAUUAAUUGCAACAGGAAUCCAAAAUGCUUUUUGCCAGUCUCAAAUCUGGAAAGUUGUUGAUUCAAGAGAUUUACCGUGACAUCAGUGAAUAUUGUCGGCUCAAUGUAGUAGCCCUUCCUGUCACCAGGCUUGCCACCAUGGAAUAAGGUGGCACCUUCCUUCUUCCCGAGCUCAAUGUAUGAAAGUAUUCUAUCGUACUGCUUCUUGUUAACCUGCAUCAGACGGGAAAUGAAAAUUGAGAAUGCAACAACCAUGGAGAACUCGUCUCUCAGCAUUGUGAGGAUGAUAUCCACAGAUGAGAUGAUGGCGAUUAGAUUUUGCUACUGGACAUAAACCAGUUUCUGAUUCACAUACUUGGGGUCCUUGAUGAGAAGUUGGAUCAAAAGGAUCACCGACCACCCAAUUUUUCACCUUCUCCUUCAACUUCAGUAGAAACUUGUCAUAAAUCCCCUCUUGAACAAAAACACGAGAGCCAGCAACACAUAUUUCACCCUGGAAUUGAUUUUUUUUUUGUUUUUGUUUUGGAAGAACAAAAGUAAGUCAGCAUUCUUCAUCUUUGAUCGAAAAACAGAUCACACAGACGAAGAAAGAAAUUAAUGAAAGACGACCUUGUUAAAUAGAGUUCCCUGCAGUGCCAGUUCUGUAACUUUGUCCACAUCUGCAUCAUCGAAGAUUAAAAUGGGGGACUUGCCUCCCAGUUCUAGACAUACGGGCUUCAAGUUGCUUGUUGCUGCAGCUUGCAUGACAAGCCGCCCUACUUCCGUAGAACCCGUGAAACUUACCUGAACAUAACAGGCACGUGUGUCAAAUGAAAUAAUCUUUUUGCACGAUACUCGUAGACACAAUUCAAGUAAAGCUUACCAUAUCAAUGUCCGUAUGAGAGCUAAUUGCCGCACCAGCUGUUUGUCCGAAUCCUGUUACAACGUUAAGCACUCCAUCGGGGAUUCCAGCCUGUUUCAAGUAGCAGAAUUCGUAAGUGCUAUUAAAAAAAAAAAAAAUUAUGGGUCGCUCAAUUGUUGUCUCGUUUAAUUUCACUAAGCUCAAAGAAAAUGCAAGAUUACCAGCUUCGCUAAAUGAGCGUAAUAGAGAGCUGACAGAGGCGUUUGUUCCGCAGGCUUGACAACCAUGGUGCAACCAGCAGCUAAUGCAGGGCCAACCUUCAUAGCAAACAUUUGACUAGGGAAGUUCCAGGGAAUGAUGUGUCCAACAACUCCGACGGGCUCAUGCAAUGUGUAUCCCUGUAGCGCGGUCGACAUUUUCAGAGUCUCCCCAUGAAUCUUAUCUGCCGCACCCGCAUAGUAGCGAAUUGUUUCUGCUGCUCCUGGAAUUUCCAUAAUCUUGCAAAGGGAAAACAAUUUUCCAGCAUCAAUUGUCUCCAGGGUGGCUAAUUCUUCAUUGUUUUCAUCUAUUAAGUCUGCAAACUUCAUCAUUAUCUUGCGCCUCUCCUGGUAACAACGCAUACAGAGAAAGAAUGCUUAGUUUCAAGCAGUCCAAACCAUGCACACUCUCAAUUGCUCACAAAGCCAUUGAGCUGUAAAAUGGACAAAUGUAAAAAGCUUUUCUGGAUUGAGACUUGCAAGUUCAACCAAGAAAAACGUUUAAAGAAACAGCUGAUUGCUUAAAUCUUGAAAAUAUGGCCAGAGCGAACGGAAAUUGAUUUGUGGAAAAUUAGGACGAUAUAUUCACAUCAUAUAGAUGCUGAACUUCCAAAAGCCUCCAAAUUAAAGCAAAGCAUCGCAUUCUGGUGAUGAUGACAGAUACUAAUGGUGAAUUGGUGAUUGAGACAAAAUGUAUACUUUUCUGGGCCAUGUAAAUCCGGAGUGAGUCAAAACUCGACGGGGAAGAAAUUUCAGCCUAUGGUCCCAUGUAUAACAAAUAUGCGUGUUCAAGUUUUCCACGCAUGGCUUAAAUUAGUACUCCUAUUAGUUUCUUUGUCCUCUUUUUUCUGUUUUAAAAAAAAAAAAAAUUAGUACUCCUAUUUUUACAUCUAUCAUAUAUCAAGUCAUCAUAAUUCAUACAUAACUUAGGAUCAAUUUUAUUACAUAAGUACAUCACAAUGUAAUUUUUGAAUGGAACACAUGAUCUACUAAUAAGCCGAUGGUGAGUAUAAAAGAGUACUAUUCUUUAAGCGCAGAGUAGGCAAUUUAUAUUUAUUUGGUGGAUCCCAGAACCCACAAGUGUAGGAAUUGUGGCGGCACCCAGCUUAGGCGGUAAUAAGAUAAUGAUAGUAUUGAAAACAACUACUCCUAGCAUUAAAGAGUUUGAUCCCAGAGUUGACUUUUUGAGUUCUCCCAGCAUUUGCCAGCGGAAAAAUAGGCUUAAGAACAUGAAGCUGUCGGAUACCAUUAAAAUAUUACCUGCUACUUGCCGCCUUCCCCUUUUUUUUUUUGGGUGUAUCCUGCACUGCACUAGAGGGAGGGGAAGGACAUGAGGAGCUCUGAGAGUAACUCAGAUAUGACUGAAUCACCGUCGAAUCAGACGGGUGUACCACGCAUCCAUCUGAUUUUUUUUGAACGGAACCACUUUUAAUGUGACAAAUUGAUGGGAGGUAAUGAUAAUUUUAAUGCAUUGGUGGUGGUCUGGUGGUUGACUUGCCCCCUUCCAGCUUAAAUUUCAUAGGCUAAAAACUGAUAGUACAACAAAUUGUACAACUAAUCAAAAGUGAAAACCUGGCAAUUAAGAGUAAAAGUUCCUGCAUCGAAAUCAAACAACAAGCAGGGCAUUUAGAUGUGCGUCACCGGUCAUAAUUGCCUUGUAGAGGGGGUAUCAAUGAUUAAUUCUACGUUGAGGUGUUCAAAUAUUCUUCUAUGCAGAAAAAUCAAAGUUCUAUCGUCCAAAGCAAACCAUAUAUUUCUCGUGGCCACUAUUUCGGUUCAAAGUCUUUAUCUUUGACAAGACUUUGAACAUGGAAGAAAGGCCAAUAAACAAAUUCUUUAACUCGAUUGAUCCGGCAGGUUAGUUUGGUUGGUCCGGAUACUCAAUCUUCUAACUUAUUAAUUUGUCAGUAAUUAACUUGGAUAUCAUGUGUAUCAUUGACUCACGUAAAAAAACAGAGAUGAAUUUUAAGGCGAUUACGGACUGUAACUACUGAAACACUAUUGAAAGAAAGGAAGCACUGGAGAGAAGAAUCUUACAAAGCCAGGUAAACGAGGCCAUGGGCCGUUGUCAAAAGCUUCUCGGGCAGCUUUGACAGCCAAAUCGACAUCUUCCUUGUUCCCCUCGGCAAUUUCUGCAAUCACCUCCCUGUUUCUUGGAUCUAUUGUCUGAAAAGUCUUUCCUGUGUGAUCAAAUUUCCAAAAAGAUUAGUCUCGUCUAAGGUCUAACAACGUGAACGAGAACCUAUGCAAUAUCAACAUCAAAGGUCUUCGGUUUUCGUAUUAUGCAAAUGGUAUGCACACUUGCAAACGACAUGUUUAGAGGUAGAGAUAUUUAUUGACCACGCCGCACCAGCCGAUCGAUAUACACAAUUGGAGAUUGGGAAAACCUAUAAUCAUAUUAUCUCUGUUUUUGAGGAUACGUGUCUCGAAUUCCAGAAGUUGGUUCCGAUUUGUUUUGUAUAUGCAUCGGCAAUGCAGUAUUGAGAAUGAACUGUUGCAAGCAGACGAAAGGUUAAAAAGAAAUGGUUAUUGUUUGGCUCAUCGACUUCUGAACUAUCUUCUACUGAAUGAAUUAUUUGGAAAUAAUUUUCCUUAGUAGGUGACGGUUUGGAAGGAAAUGAAAUGUAUGCUGUAGCCUCUUCUCUGUCACUAGUAAAGAAUUGCACCUUUCUAACGCCGAAAUUCAUAUCCGGGAAGAACGGAUUAGGUGCAUCAGAGGAUGGUUGCAACCAGCUGGGCUUUAUCACUUGCGAUGAUCAUGAUGGAUGACAAAACUAUUCUUGGCCCUCCAAAGAGAUUGGAAGAAAUCGAGGCAUAGUAGGAUUGCCAAGAAGAAGACACCAAAGUUUGUAUCAAUGACUAAAGAUUAAUAGCUUUGCUUUCAGAUAAUCUGUAACCAGUACGGAAAACAGAUGAUUUGUCCGGCAAAGUUGCAGCAGUACGAAUUUCUUUCCUGAAAAAGAGUUUCUUCAAAUGCCAUGUGCUAUAACUGAAGCUCCCUUUUCCCUAUCCGCCGCUCUUCUUUGUGCAGUAGAAAAAGAGUUUCCGUUCUCACGAAAACGUAAAACACAUGCACUUAGGAAACAUCGGAACAGACCUCUGUGUUUAUUGUUCAAUUAAUGAGCGUGACAGAAAUGAUAGGAGAACAUAAGGAAGAAAAAAGUAGGAACCUGAAACAGAAUCAACGAACUCUCCAUUGAUGAAGAGCUUGGUGAACUUUAUCUGAGGAACAGGAACCUUGACGCGAGAAUCCAAGCUUCCAUUGCCGUUACUUUGGACAGCCAUCUCUCGAGCAGAAUCAACACCUCGGUUUUUUGUAAAUAACUCACCCUGUCUCCCACGUUAUCUCCACUGAAAGAAACACCCCACGCUUGGACGACUAUAUAUACACACACACACACAAAUUAAAGAGCAAGGCAAGGCACGAGAGAACCCAUACCUCACGCGUCACUGAACUGGGUCUUUUGUUUUUUGUGCUAGUCCAAUUAAAUAUUUAGAAUACGUCACAGGCAGCCAGCCCAGUAGAGCCGCUCGGUAUUGGGCCCCCCUCCUAUUGUCAUCGCAGACAGAUUCCUCCGUUUGUUUGCGUAGUCAUACAUUUAUUAUUUCUCCAAACAUUAAUUUGCUUGCUCACAAUUACUACAAAUCUUCAAUAAAUAUGUCAUAUGUGCAUUAUUAUUUGAUCAGCUUUAUGAUCAUUAAUUAUUGGCAAUCUAGCUAGUGCGUUUCUGUCUGGUAAAACGAAUUAAAUUCUUCAACACAAGAAGAAUCAAUCACAAAUUAAUAAAAGCAUAUUUGAGUUAAAGCAUUUAAUGUUCGUAGAAGUUUUAAUUUUAGCUUUAAUAAACCUUUUUUUUCAAAAUCCUUGCACCCCUCCCCACACCCUUUCUGCCCUCUAUUAUUAUUAGGUCGAACACUGGACAUAGUAGCGGAAAAGGUUCUCCAAGUUCACCGUCCAAUAAAUACAAUUUCAAAUUUGUUAGAAUAAUCAAGUAAAUUUGAACUUUUUUUUUUUUUUACCAGUUGAAUAUUCAACGCAUUUAAUCUUAUAUGUACCCCAAAAGCUAUGGGAAUCUGGAAGAAGACGCGAAACUUUUCACCUAAAAGUUAAAACCCUUAAUUAAUCACGUUGGCUGCGGUAAAGCUAUUGACCGCUGAAAAGGCUUACACUUUACCCUCGAAUUUCCUUGCAGCUUGGCUCAUUUUGCGGAUUGUUAAUUGGGUGUUCUGCGUUGAAUUAGGAAUUUAUAUACCAUCUCUCAUUGACUUUGACAGUCUAGACCAAAGUAACUUUUUUUUUUUUUUUAAGAUAACAGAUGGCUAGUAAAGUGGUUGAAUGUUAAACGCAAUUUUUUCCUGAGAUUUUAUAUUACUGUACAAUACUUUCUUGAGCAAAGGUGUGCCAGAUUCAUAUUUAUAAACCGGAAAAUUCAUCUUCGUCGUAGACUUUCAAUCUCAUGAAACAAAUCCAAAGUGAGACGUAGGAGGAUGAACCGAUGAAGGUAGUUCAUCAUCAAGGUUUUGCUAAUUAAUUACAUUCUUGUGACGAUAAACUGAUUUUUAUUCCUUUUGAUGAGAUAGGCAAGCCACAAGAAUUUAUGAGAACAUUGAUUGGACAACUGCGCAAAUUGAUGAUACCAUCCUUUUUCCAUAUUGCAUUCCCAUUAUUAUUAUAAAUUUUUUUUUUUCGGAUAGAAGCAAUCCCAUUACCAUUAGUUUACCGACGUGUGUCGAUUUAAUCAAACAUUGCCAUGGUCAACGGGCUCAAUAGCCGCUAGUAUUCCCAAAAAAAAAAAAAAAAAAAAAACUACUACUCCCUCCCUCCGUCCCACUUUGAUAGUCCUGUUUCUUUUUUCACACAAUUUAAGAAAAAGUAGUUAAUUUUGUUGGAAAAGUAAAUUUAGAUUGCUAUUUUCCUAAAAUACCCUUACAUUAAAUAAAGUACAAUUUUAUGGGAACUUGAAUUGAUGGUAAAAAAGAUCAACUCUUAUUAAAUGGGGUAGGUUUAUAGUAACAACAACUUACAUUAAAGAAACAACUACAUUCUUCAAUUAGAAAGUGGACUACAAUUUGGGACAGACGAAAAAGAAAAACAGGACUAUCAAAGUGGGACGGAGGGAGUAUAACAAUUUGCUUGAUUUGAUGCGAACGCCCCCACUGACUCCAUGUACAUUACUACAUGAGUAGUUGCGUUUUGACUUUCAUCAUCUUCCAAUUUGUUAAAGUCGUGAAAUAUAUAAAUGCUUGCGGGGGCUUCUCUAACUUUGACAAAGUUUGGAUUAUGCUUUUUGGCAGAAAAAUUAGAGAAAUGUUAUAUACACUUUCACUAUCAUUUUUGUUAUAUAAUUUGUAUAUAUUAGAUUAUAUAAUAUAACAAAUGAUAGGAGUAUAAACAAUAAAAUAUGAAGUGCAAAUAAUAAUUUUCGAAAACUAUCGGAAUAUUUUUUAUAUAAUUUUUAAUUAUCUUUUUAUUUCAUAUACAUUAAAUCGUUAUACUAUAUCUUCUAGCGAGACAAACAUUUACAUGGGGGUUGAAACUGAUCGCUUCUAAUAUUAAUUGUCUCGUUAUUUUAGAGAGAGAGACUUAUUUAUGUAUACAUCUAAUGUUGGAUAUUAGAAGCUGGAUAAUAUUCUAGAAUGCCGCAUCAAGUUUGUCGCUGCUUCUCUCUCAUCACAAAACACUCUGCCUGUACUGCUUGACGAUCAUUUAAGAUCCACCUCUAACAUAAGCACUAAAUUGCCGAUUCACUUUCUCAUUUUGCAAUUAAUACAGGAUAUCAUAAGUCAUGGUUGUCAAAAUUCUUAUGAUAAAAGGAAAAAAUUACAAUUGGAAACCUUUUUGUAUUAUUGAUUGAAUACUUUUUUUUGUUAUAUAUCUUGACGAUUAUCUCUUAUUUACAUCGCAUGAAGAAAAAUAUUAAAGUGAAUUAAUUGAAUAUCAUGAAGUAUAGGAAUUUUAGUUACAAUCUAUUGCAUUCCUAUUUCGCUUGGAGAAUAUGGCAAUCUUGUAGAAAUUUAAAAAAAAAAUUGCCUAUAAAUGAAAAUGUUAAUUUGCAAUGAAAUUAUGGAAAAAAAAAAUGGUCAAUCAUUCAUAUAAGCUAUUCAGGUGAGAAAUGUCAAAUACACCGAAGUUUGUAAUUCCACGAUGCGUUACUUGAAAUUUUUUUUAUAGAUAACCAUACGAGACAACUCGAGAAUUUUUUUUUCCCAUUUAAAUCUUCUGCUCUAAAAAAUAAAUUUUGAGAUAAAUUUGAAUAUUAAUGUGAUAGGCCCAAAGAGCCAACAGCCAUUGUAUAUGUCUUUACAUAUAUUGAGCUAAUUAAUUGUUACAUGUUGUGUUAAUUUCAAAACAAACUUUAGCAUAAGCAUUUAUUAUUAUUAGUAUUAUUUUAACAUUUAUGGUAUGGCUAGUACUUAUUCCGUCCCUCACAUUAAUAUUGAACUUUCAUUUUCAAGAAAAACCAUUUCGUCUACGAUUAAGUAAAAUGUCUUAAAUGAAGAUUGUGAAAUCACCAUCAGCAAGUCGACUUUCCCAUUGACGUGCCACUUAUCAGAAUAGAGCCAGAGGUUUUUCUGUCUACGCAACUGUUUAACUUUUUUUUUUUUUUGCCCAUGCUCGAGCAUUUUCAAUGGGCUGCAAACUGCCAAAUCUCUUAAAUGGGACAACGUUCACAGGGUUGACGUUGACAAUAAUAUAAGAAGCUCCUGAUUUUAUCUUCCUUUAUUUUGGGGCAAAAACCUCUUUUAAUCCUCAAAUUAUUUUUCAUUAGUAAUUGAUCACUAAACAAUUUUAUCGAACUGGUAAUUAUUUAGUCGAUAAUUGCUCUUAAUAAGUGAAAUUAGCAGUAUACACAUGACAUAUUGCGGGGGUAAUUUUAUCCAACAUCUAUGCGACGCUAUUUUACAGAUUAAGUGCUAAUUUCAUAAAUUAUGAGUAAUCAUUGAGAUCAAAUGAUCACGAGUUUACUGAUCAUGUUGUUUAGUGGUCAAUCAUUGAUAAAAAAAAAUAAUUUGAUGGCCAAAACACGAUCUGAUCAAUAGUUUAGUGAUGACGGAAGUUUUUUUCCCUUUGUUUUAUCUUUCUCACGGGACUUUGGAGUCGAAAAUGGGUCGACGGUCCAGUUGGGUUAUGGAAAUCCGCAGCCGCCGUCCAAUUGAGCUCAGGCAAUAGCAAGUUGACAAAUUGAUCAUUUAAAAUGGGGUUUCAAAUUAUACAAGCGAGAUUCAUUGUACGUAAUCCGGCGGCCACAGCCCCAGACGCAGGCGAUAGUACCCCCGUACCAGCACUCACAUUUCCGCAUCCAUCGAUUCAGUCAGGGAAAAAAAAAAGGCAUUCCUCCUCAUUUGACGGACUAUUAUUUCAUGCAAUACCUCUUUGGUGAUAAGUAUAUAUAUUGGUCCGUUGCGUGAUGAUAAUGCGUUGCCUAAUUCAAUACUCCUAUCUAAGUUGACUUCACAAUUCAAGUCUUGCAUUCCAUGACAUUGGGUCAACAUCAAAAAGAACCUUUCUUUCUUUCCUUCUUAUUAAAUAUUAAAAGAGAAGCUAAGGGCAAUAUAUUUCCUUCCUUGACGCAAGACUAAUAGACGCAACAGAACACACUAAUCGGUGAGUAAAAUAAAUGCGAAUGCUUCCGUCGUAAGAUCAUCCCCGUGUUGGCUAAUUUAUUCGUCUGCUGAAAGUCCAGCAAAUGCCCAAGAAUAAUGCAGGUAUCAGAAAAAGAUAUUGCUUCGAUUUACACCCUCCCCAAGAAUAAUACGGAUGAAGAUUAAUAAAUCAAAUGUAUAUUAUACCGAAGAAGAUAUUAGGGACGGUCAAUGUAAUAGUAGUUAAUUACAAGGUGAAAGAAGUAUGUAUCGUGUGGAAAGCUCUUGCAAAGUGGACUAGUUUCUUCUACCUUCGUUUCUAGCCAGGUCCAUGCUACCUCGCAGCAUCUAUUUCUCCUCCUUAUUUGUUUUGGGUUAAUAAGAGGGAUAAAUGCCGUGAAAAGAAAACUGAUUUGAAGGAACAUCACAAAUUGACAAUCCAUCAUGAAUGAUGAGGAAAACAAAUAUUAAUCUUGCUAAGGUCUGGAAACGGACUGUUUUUGGUUUGACAUUAAUUAUGCUUUCAUUCGUGAUGUGAACCUUUCUUAUUUGUUUUAUUUUAAACAAAGCACCAAAUUUGGUUCUUAAAUCGACUUGAGCCAAAUUUGGUCGUUGCUAAACCACACGGGGACAAUCAAGAAGCCCAAAAAUGUUGGAAAAUCUGUCUUUUUUUGGGGGGCUAGUUAUAAACAAUCAUAGGGGUAAGUCCAAUAAUAUCAUGGUGUGCUUAAAUCAGAAGAACCAAAACUAGGGUUGUGGCUUUGCCCAUAAUAAAACUUUAAAAGCCUGAGCCCUGUACUUGUUUUUAGUUGGCUUUAUGUCUAUGCCAGGUAAUUUAUCCCAAAAUAAAUAAAGAAAUAAAACAUAAAACAUCAUUCAGAAUAAACAUAUGUUCCAAUUAGGAAGGCAAUUCUCGUUCACUCAUGUAACAGGAAAUGUGCCCGGCAGUCUUAAGACUCGACUCCUAGUCCUAGACGGCUCAAAGCCAAGGUGAAUUAUAGAGAGGAGUUACAACGGACUUCACUUGAAGAUACUGAUCCAGGGCUUGCAUUCCAAAAUCUCUGCCAAACCCACUCAUUUUGUACCCACCAUACGGGCAGUCAAUGUCAAAAGCCCGGUAACAAUUUAUCCAAAUGACACCUGCCCGUAUUGAUCUAGACACCGUGUUGGCUAUGUUCAAGUCAUUGGUCAAAAUGCCUGCCGCCAGUCCAUACUCUGUGGCAUUGGCCCUCCUAAUCGCCUCCUCAACAGUCCUGCAGACGUGCCCCCGAAAAUUUUAGUACAUUGGCGGCAUGCAGCCAUGCAGGGCAAAGCCCAAGUAAAACUUACUUGAAUUUCAUGAGUGAAAUGACCGGUCCGAAGAUUUCCUCCUUUGCUAUUCGCAUAUCGUCCUGAGAGGUGUGCAGAAAGAAGAGCGAAACAAUCAGAAAUCAAGAAGGUGUCCUUUUUGAAACAUCCAAGGAAAGCGCAAGCUGUAAUCUACAUCCACAGCUUACCUUGACAUUUGAGAAGACAGUUGGCUCAAUGUAAUAUCCCCUGUCGCCGCAUGGUUUGCCACCUGUUAACAAUGUGGCGCCUUCUGCCUUGCCAAUUUCAAUGUAUGAUAGUAUUUUGUCGUACUGUUUCUUGUCUACCUGCAAAAUCAUACUAUUGACUUUACAAUUACAGUGAAGGAUUGGUAUCCUGCAAAUGGAAAUUGGCAAUUAUUCAAUGAGGAAUUCAUUCCCUAAUGGAGACAAAGGUUCAACGUGUAUGAAUUAAAAUGCUCCCAGGCCAAAAUUUGAACAUGACAAGGCCAUCCCACCCUCGUGAGUUGUGACCCUCCCUCCCCCAAAAGCAAAGAAACAAAAAAAAAAAAAAAAAACCUUUUCUGCUGGGACCGCUGGCUCUCUGCUUUCGUCUGUCAUUUUUCAUAUCGAGUUGGUCGGAUGCAUAAUCACGACAAAGAAAAGCAAGGUAGGAGAUGGGACUUCUCUGGAGUUUAGCAGAUAGAGAUAGUAGUAUGAUCUAGUUGGCACUUGGAACUACGUAGAAACUGUUUCUUCUCUUUUUACUAGCCCAAGUAUGCCUUGCAUUCUUUCUGAAGGACUGUAAUCACUAGAGAUGAAUCUUACUAAAUUGGGGUCCUUGGUCUCAGCGAGGAUCAAAAGGUUCAACGUGUAUGAAUUAGUAGUAUGCCCUAGAAUGCUCUCAGGCUUUCCGCAAUAAAGAAGAAGAGAUUCAAUGAUCAAUCUUACUUGGGGCCCCUGAUUUGAGCGAGGAUCAAACGGAUCACCAACAACCCACGUUUUUGCCAUCUCCACUAACUUGUUGGAAAAUUCUUCAUAAAUCCCUUCUUGGACAAAAAUACGAGAACUUGCUACACAGACUUCGCCCUGGAGAAAGUAUUACUAACUCUUAUCAGAACUACUUUUCCGUAGAUGAUUUAGCUAAAAUAAUUGCUACAAUCUUCACCUUGUUAAAUAGACUGCCCUGAAGUACAAGAUCAGCUGCAGUAUCAACAUCUGCAUCAUCAAAGACAAUGAAAGGGUUCUUGCCUCCAAGUUCCAGCGAGACUGGUUUCAAGUUACUUCUAGCUGCAGCUUCCAUUACUAAACGUCCAACUUCUGUGGACCCGGUAAAAGUAACCUACAGAGGGAAAAAAAGCCCGAAAAUGCUUGCUAUUAUGAUGUCAAAACACAAACACAUUUAAUUUCCUAGCAGGCUUAAUUUUUCAGACGGCAUUUUUCCAUGGAAAAAUAAGCAGCUGCAGAAGUUGAAGAUUGACCUUAUCAAUUUCCAUGUGAGAUGAAAUGGCAGCGCCAGCGGUAUGCCCAUAUCCGGGUACAACAUUAAAAACGCCAUCUGGAAUGCCAGCCUGCAGAUUGAAUAACGUCAGAGGAUAAUCAGUCGUUGAGCCCAAAAGAAAAAAAAGGUUGUUACAUUAAUAGCCUGUGGUAAUUUCUGUACACAACUGAUUGAUAUUACUCUAGAGGUGAAUAAAGCUGACCGAAAUCCAAUCUUACUUUCUUUGCUAAAUGAGCAAAGUAAAGAGCUGUAAGAGGAGUCUGUUCAGCUGGCUUUAUGACAACUGUGCAGCCUGCAGCUAAUGCAGGUCCAACUUUAAGAAAUAGAAGAUUGCUGGGAUAGUUCCAGGGAAUGAUGAUUCCAACGACUCCAAUUGGCUCGCGCAACGUGUAACCUUGAAGUUCCCUUGUCAUCUUCAAAGUUUCUCCGUGGAUUUUAUCAGCUGCUCCUGCAUAGUAUCGCAGAGUCUCGGCUACAACUGGAAUGUCGACGGCUUUGAGCCAAUGGAACAGCUUGCCAGCAUCAAGUGCUUCCAGGGCUGCUAUUUCUUCUACACUUUCAUCAAUUAAGUCCGCUAACUUCAUCAUUAAUCUUCUUCUCCCCUGAUUUCAUCAUCAUCAAAUUAUUAAGGUUGUUUGCGCGAGAGGGUUCAACUUCUAAGUAAUAGCAUGAUUCACUACCGAGUACUGACAUGAGCUCAACUACUUAAAACUGAGGAUGAAACUGGUGGAGAAAUGAAUUACAAUUCAGAAGGUUGAACCGUGAUUCGUUUAAAGUAGGAAACGAAAAAAAUUGGAUGGGAAUAGAAAAGAACAUACGGGGCCUGGGAAACGAGGCCAAGGGCCAUUGUCGAAAGCCUCUCGUGCAGCCUUUACAGCUAAAUCAACAUCUUCCUUGUCACCUUCCGCAAUUCUUGCUGUUGGUUCCCCAGAUCUUGGAUCAAUUGUCUCGUAUGUCUUCCCUAUAGAUGAUAAAAAAAAAAAAAAAAAAAAAAACCUGAUGCUAGUGAUUCCGUAAUGGUUACAUAAAAAAGGAACUGAUAAAACAAUAAAAUCAUUGCGUUGAUUAUGCUUGAGCUUGCUUAGAGUUGAAAUAUAAAAAUAUCUAGAACCAUUCAUCUUAACUUGUAAACUCCAAUACCAACAAGAAGUUACAGCUCCUGCGGGUAUACAACAAUAAAUCAAAGAAACUUAGACCCAAAAGAUUUCAUAAAAAAAAAAAAGCAAAGACCUGAGACAGAAUCAACAAAAUCUCCGUUGAUGAAUAGCUUGGUGAACUUUAUCUCAGGAACCAUGAAGGAAUCCUCUAAUUUUCCAUUGCAAACAGCUGCCAUUGAGGUGCAGUAUGGAAAAAUGGUAUAGUAGGUCUGUGAACUGUUGAAGCUAUUGGAAAGUGAGAGUAAUGUAGCACUACCACAAUCCUACUCUAAAAAGCCGACGGAUGACAAUGAACUGGCACUGCCCCUGACUUACUUGUAAUGCGUGGAUGAGGCCAAACGACAGGGAUAGCGUGUUCUGUUUAAAUGUUUAAUUGCACGCAGAUCAUGACUUCUUGAAAGCUUUGGUAUAAUUUAUUCACGACCUUUGGAAGCUUAAUUGGAUAAGCCAAAGUCUAAUUGAUUGCACCUGAAUCAUGACUUUCGGAAGCUUAAUUUUCAAGUUUUCCCCUUCAUGCAUGAGCCAACGCCUAAACGGGAACCUCUUUCGUAUACCCAUUUUUCCUUCCUAGCUCUGGCUUCACGGCACUAUUGUUCUAGAUACAAUAUAGGAGUAGUUAUGCUUUUGUGACUGGAAUUUGAGUGGAAAAGACAGACAUUUGAUUUUGAGGGAACAAGAAAGGAGAUGCCAAAAGAUAAAACUUUGAAUUUUCCGUCGGAAACUUGGAAAAGUGUCACUGACAAAACCAAUUGCGUUGCGUUGCGUUGCGUUGCGUGUCAAUUAUUACGGCUCCAUUUGGAUCAGUUGUUUUUGGGGUUGUUUUUAAAAAACAACACUGUAGCAUUUCGUUUUUGAAAUACAAGCCCGUUUAAAUUAGUUGUUUUUGAGAUUAUUUUUCAAAAACUAUAUGAAAACUUUUACUUGAGAUGUUUUUUGGAUUAUUUUUAGAGGUAUUUUUAAAACAUAUUUUUUGGUAUUUUUAUAAUUUAUAAUUUUUAUUUUUAUAUACAUUUAUGCAUUUAUAAUACAUUUAUAAAUAUUUAUAAAUAAGUAUAUUUAUAUAUUUAUAUAAAAAUAUAUAAAUGUAUUAUAUUAUAUAUAAUACAUAAUAUAAAUAUAUUUAUAAAUGUAUAAGUGUAUAUUAUUAUAAAUGUAUGAAUUAUAAAUUAAUAUUAUAUAAAUGUAUAAAUUAUAAAUUAUAAAUUAUAAAUUAUAUAUUUUUUAUAUAAAUAUACAUUUAUGCAUUUAUAAUACAUUUAUAAAUAUUUAUAAAUAAAUAUAUUUAUAUAUUUAUAUAAAAAUAUAUAAAUGUAUUAUAAAUUUAUUAUAUUAUAUAUAGUACAUAAUAUAAAUAUGUAUAAGUGUAUAUUAUUGUAAAUGUAUAAAUUAUAAAUGAAUAUUAUAUAAAUGUAUAAAUUAUAAAUUAUAAAUUUUAUAUUUUUAUAUAAAUAUACAUUUAUGCAUUUAUAAUACAUUAAUAAAUAUUUAUAAAUAAAUAUAUUUAUGUAAUGUAUAAAUUAUAAUUUUAUUAAUAUAUAUUAAUAUUAUGUGUAAAUGUAUUAAUAUAAUUAAUAUAAAUGUACAAAUGUAAUAUUAUGUAUAAAUGUAAAAUUAAUAUUAUGUAUAUUAUUAUAAAUGUAUAAAUGUAUUAUAUUAUAUAUAAUACAUAAUAUAAAUGUAUAUUAUAAAUAUAUAAUGUGUAAAUGUAUAUUUAUGUAAAUGUAUAAUAUAUAAUAUAUAAUAUAUUAUACAUAAUUUAUAUAAUAUAUAAUAUUCAUAUAAAUAUAUUAUAAAUAUAUAAAAUUAUUUUUUAAAUAAAAUAAUAUAUUUAUAAUAUGUAUAAAUAAAUAAAUAAAUAUUUAAUAUAUAAUAUACAUUAAUAUUAAUUACAAAUAUUAUAAUAUUAUAAAUAUGAUGUUAUAUAACAUUUCAAUUUGUAAUAUUUAUUCUAUAUUUCAUUAUAUAAAUAUUUAUAUAAUAUAUAAUAUAUAAAUAUAUAAUAUAUAAUUUUCAAUUUGUAUAAUAUACAUAAUAUAGUAUAUAUAUAAUAUAAUAUACAUAAUAUAAUAUAUUUAUACAUAAUAUACAUUAUUACAUUAUUACAUAUUAUGUAUAUUAUAUAUUAUACAUAACAUUAUUAUGCAUUAUUAUACACAAUAAUGUACAUAAUAAUAUUAUGCAUUAAUAAUGUAUAUAUUAUAAUAUAAUGUAUAUAAUAUAUUAUGUAUAAAUAUUUACACAUUUAUGUAUACAGUAUUACAUGUUAUGUAUAUUAUAUUAUAUUAUGUAUAAUAUACAAUGUUAUGUAUAAUAUUAAUGUAUAUAAAUAUUUAUUUAAUAUAUAAUAUAUAUAAUUUUCAAUUUGUAUAUUUCAAUUUAUAUUAAUAUAAUAUAUAUAUAAUAUACAUAAUUGAAAUAUACAUAUGUAUUUAUUUUUGAUAUAAUGUUUGGAUAUGGUGUUUUUGGAGUUGUUUUGGAAAUACACAUUUACUGUAGCAUUUGGAAUGUGAAAAACAGUUUUUCAAAAACAGCCCAAAAAAUCAGGGAUCCAAACGGACCCUACAUCUUUCAAAGACGGGCGUAGGGACUAGGGACCAAUGAUGGGCCUAAAUGCCGCCAUUUACCUAAAAGCAAUCUUGGGCCUAAAUGCCUACAAACUCAUCGUCAUUAAUUGGCCAAUUUUUCCAAAACAAUCACAAAUUGUCGUGAUAAAUCCCUUUCUUUUUUAACGUGAUUGUAACUCUAAAACAAUUUUCUUUACAAUUGUGGAAAAAAUUCAAUUUAUAUUUUGCUAUUAUAAGAGUUUUCAGCCAACAUUAAUGUAAUAUUUCUUAUCUGAAUGUGCAUGUGACGUGAGACUAAAAACAAAAUAGUUGGACAUAUCAUUCUAGUUUUCAGCAACAAUUUCUUGAAAAAUUAACCAUUAAACUGGAGCCUUAGUGCUUAGUUGGUUUUUUUUUUAAAAAAAAAAAUUAUACCAUUUUAGUUCUCAGUAACAAUUUCUUGAAAAAUUGACCAUUGUAAUAAUAGUUAAUCAUUCUUUUGAGAUCCUAUCCCCUUAAAAAGAAAUCCCGAUCUAUCCCAUAUGAAAUCCGUAAACAUCACUGAGAAAUUUAGGCCUUGUUUGGAUUGUGAUUUUUCGUCGGAAAAUUAUAUCGUUUUCCGUGAUCACAUUUCUCUAUUACCUUUUUUUCUCACAUACAUCAAAUCGCUAUAGUAAUUUUUCUAUGAAAAAUCAUGAAAAAUGCAAUCCAAACACAACCUUAAACAUCCGUAAAACAAUUACAUCAUCUCAAGGAAGGCAUUUCGCGUUUCCUGCAACAGGAAAGCCAUUCACCCAGUGGUCAAAGCCAAGGUGAACUAUAGAGAGGAGUUUCAAUAGACUUAGUAUGAAGAUACUGAUCUAGGGCUUGCAUUCCAAAGUCUCUGCCAAACCCACUCAUUUUAUACCCACCAAAUGGACAGUUAACAUGAAAAGCCAGGUAACAAUUUAUCCAAAUGAUUCCUCCUGCCCGGAUUGAUCUUGACAGGGUGUUGGCUAUGUUCAAGUCCUUGGUCAAAAUGCCUGCCGCAAGUCCAUAUUUUGUGGCAUUGGCUCUCUUUAUCGCGUCCUCAACCGUCCUGCAGAUUCGCAACACGGCCCCAAAUUUAAAAACAAAAUCAACAGUCCGAUAAAAUGGUUAUAGUGCUGAUUUGUUGAACUAGAUUGCAUUAGAACUUGCUGCAAAAUAUUCCAUUUGGAGCCAAAGCCCAUGUAAAACUUACCUGAACUUCAGGAGCGAAAUUACAGAUCCCAAGAUUUCUUCCUUUGCUAUCAGCAUAUCGUCCUUAGAUGCAUGCAGAAAAAAGAGCGAAACAAAAAGAACUACAACAUUAAUCAAGGCGUCUUUUCUGAAACAUCCGGAGAAAGAGAGAGCCUAUAAGUUAAUUAAAGACAAAGCUUACCUUAACAUCUGAGAAGACUGUUGGCUCAAUGCAACUAAUAUCCCUUCUCGCCGCAAGGUUUGCCACCUGUUAACAGCGUGGCACCUUCUGCCUUACCAAGUUCGAUGCAUGACAGUAUUUUAUCAAACUGUUUCUUGUCCACCUGCAAAAUCGUUUGAAUUUUAGAGCAUCUGAAGGAUCUUGUUAGGCUGUUGCAGAAAAUUGUGUAUAAAGGUUCUGUAAAUGGAAAUUGACAAUUAUUCAAUGAGGAAAUCAUUCCUUGAUGACCAAAAAGCUUCAACCUGUACGAAUUAAGAAGCUCUCUGGGUUUCCAUAACGGAAAAGAAAGUUUCAAAUGAUCAAAUCUUACUUGGGGUCCCUGAUCUGAGCGAGGAUCGAAAGGAUCACCAACAACCCAAGUUUUUGUCUUCUCCACUAAUUUCUUGAAAAAUUCUUCAUAAAUCCCUUCUUGGACGAAAAUACGAGAACUUGCCACACAUACUUCGCCCUGGAAAAAGAAUUUAACUCUUACCACACCUACUUUCUGUAGAUAAUUCAGUCAAUAUAGUUCCUACAGUCUUCACCUUGUUGCAUAGACUGCCCUGAAGGACAAGACUAGCUGCAGUAUCAACAUCUGCAUCAUCAAAAACAAUGAAAGGGUUCUUGCCUCCCAGUUCCAGUGAAACUGAUUUCAAAUUGCUUUUAGCUGCAGCUUCCAUUACUAAACGUCCUACUCCUGUGGACCCAGUAAAAGCAACCUAUAGACCCCAAAAAAAAAAAAAAAAAAAAAAAAAAAAAACCAAAACUUCUUCAAAUUGUGAUGUCAACGUGCAAACAUGUAAUUUUCAAACCAAAAAUUUUCCCGGAAAAGGAAGCAAUUCUUUAGAAGUUGAAAAUUGAACCUUGUCAAUAUCCAUGUGAGAUGAAACGGCAGCACCAGCGGUGUGUCCAUAUCCUGGUACAACAUUGAAUACUCCAUCUGGAAUGCCAGCCUGUACAUCGAAAAUGUACGAGGAUAAUCAAUCAUUAAGGCCAAAAGAAAAAAGAGGUUGGAUAAGUAGCCUGCUAUGAUCUGUAUACACCGUUCCGUUGACAUUACUCCUGAGGUGAAUAAAGCUGACCAAAAUUUGAUCUUACUUUCUUUGCUAAAUGAGCACAGUAAAGAGCUGAAAGCGGAGUCUGUUCAGCUGGCUUUAUGACAGUUGUGCAGCCUGCAGCUAAUGCUGGUGCGACUUUAAGGAACAGAAUAUUGCAGGGAUAGUUCCAGGGAAUGAUGAUUCCAACAACUCCAAUUGGCUCGCGCAAGGUGCAACCUUGAAAUUCCCUCGUCAUCUUCAAAGUUUCUCCGUGGAUUUUAUCAGCUGCUCCUGCAUAGUACCGCAGAGUCUCAGCUACAAGGGGAAUGUCAACGGCCUUGAGAUAAUGGAACAACUUCCCAGCAUCAAGUGCAUCCAGGGCUGCUAUUUCCUCUACAUUUUCAUCAAUCAAGUCCGCGAAUUUCAGAAUCAAUUUUCUCCUCCCCUGAUUGCAUCAUCAUAGAGAAAUUAAUCAAAAUUCAAAAGGCUGUAAUAUGUGUUACUUUGCCUUCAAUCAGGAAAGGAAAGAUCUAAGGGAACAGAAGAACAUACGGGGCCUGGCAAACGUGGCCAGGGGCCAUUGUCGAAAGCCUCUCGCUGCAGCCUUUACAGCUAAAUCAACAUCUUCCUUGUCACCUUCUGCAAUUCUUGCCGUUGGUUCCCCUGUUCUUGGAUCAAUCGUCUCAUACGUCCUCCCUGUAAAUGAUCAGAACCGAUACUGUAUCAUCUCAUAAAAUUUUUCAUUAAAAAAUAACUGAUAUAAGAAUACCAUUGAUUGAUCAUAAUCAUAUGCUUGAGCUUGCUUAGAGGUACAUAUACUACAGUAGCAUAUUCAAAAAUUAGAACCACAAAACUUGUGAAUGUAAACACUACCAGCAAUAUGAAAACUUAUAAUUCCAAAAAAUACAAAAUGAAAUCACAGAAACUUAAGCCAAAAGAAUUCAGGAAAAGCAAAGACCUGAAACAGAAUCAACAAAAUAUCCAUUGAUAAAUGGCUUGGUGAACCUUAUCUUUGGAAUCACAGAUGAACCCUCUAAUUUUUCAUUGGUCUCCGCAGCCAUUGAGGUAUAGCAUGGAAGCAUGGUAGCAGGUAUACGAAUUGCUAAAGCUAUUGCAAAGCGAAAAUAAUGUUGUAGGACACUGAACUGACACAAUUCCCAGAUUAGUUGGAACACAUGGACGGGGCCAAAUUAUACGGAUAGUGUGUUUUGUACUGAACUUUGCAUGUGAAUCAAUAAUCAUGACUUCCUGCUCCUGGAAGCUCCCUUCAAUCAUAAGCCAAAGUCUUGUGUACCCGCAGGAUCACGGGUCUCACGCGUUCAAUUUCAGUCCAAUUGAGGGCAAAUUAGUUUCUUUUAAUUUUCUUAUACUAUAACCUUUGCUUGUUUACACUUUGUCUAGAUUUAUUUGACGGUAUACCUUUACCUGUUUGAACUGGAAGUUUUGGAGCCGCUGGUGUGGUGAUUAUGGCACCUCUUGCAUCUUUUUACGCAGUGAUGAUAGUAUAGCUGGUUCACGUACUCACGUCACUACUGCGUCGGCUAAAAUAGAAUUUUUACGUUUUUUAUUUUCAAGCUAGUGAAUUAAAUUUGUUAGUCUACUCUUAAAAUCAUCCCAAAUCCCUUUAAUUAUUUGAAUUAUUUAGGAGGUAUUUAAAUAUAUAAAUUACAAAUUAUUAUGAUAUUUGAAAUAUAUUUUGAUAAUUAGUGAAUUAUAAAUUUGAAUACCUCUUAAAAAAAUCCAAAUAAUUAGAGAGAUUUGGGCGGAUUUCAAAUCUUUCAUUAAAUCCCUUAAUUCGAACGAAGGAUGAAAGUUCUUGGUAAACUAUUUGAAAUUCACUCAAAAUCGCUCUAAUAGUUUGAAUUGCUUAAGAAGUUUUAGAUUUGUUAUUCAUUAAUUAUUAAGAUACAUCUUAAAUAAAUAUUAUAAUAAGCAGUGAUUUACAAAUCCAAAUGGCUCCUAAGUAAUCUAAACAACUAGAGGGAUUUGAAAAGAUUUUAAAUCUUUCACCAAAUCUCUCAAUCUAAACGGAAGCAGAGAUAAUUUUUUGAUGUUUAGUUUCGAUAAAAUAACAAUGGAAAUGACGUUCAAAACUGCAAUAUUAGUUGGAAACUUGACUAGUCCGAAGCCGGGUGUAAGGCAGUGGAGAUUUCAAAAGCGCCCCAACCAACAGAGCGAAAUUCAUUUGGGCUAUCAUUCAGCUGAAAAUGAUCUUGGGCCCAAAUCACGGAGACGGAUCCUAACCGGGUUGGACUACCAUUUAUGGCGUUACGACUCUUAAACUGUUUAGCCGUCUGUUCCCUCAAGGGAAGUCUGACAACGACUGAUAUCUGUGGGCCGAAAUGGAUUCCGGGGUUAAGAAAAUCAUGAAUGUAUAUAUUUAAACCCAAAUCCCGUAAGAAAAUCAUGGGUUUGGGUACAUGUGAUCAUGUAAGGUUUGUACUCGUAUAAUCUGAACCCAUAUUCAGACCGAGAUUCAUGAUUAGUUGAUGAUAUUUUUUUAUCAAGAGAGUUAAUUGACGAUGUUUUACGCUUAUUAGUUCAUAAUUCUUACUUUUAACAUUCUUGAACGUGAAAUUCAUUUCUGCAUCAAAUCGCCUUAUGGAAUUGCCAGUCCAAACUUCUUGGAUAUCAAUAAUAUUGGUAUUUAUGUCAUUUAAUUAGUGCCUUGCACAUUUGGAAUCAAAGUCAAUAUAACCACAGUGCAAGAGGGUAAUAUGUCAUGUUUAACUUCAGAAGGGUAAUUGCCCAGAUUUUGACUGCAACUUUUUCUUUCCUUCCUUUUUCCUCAAUUUCUAACUCCUUCAAACAUAUCUUCUAUCAGAAUAAUGGCCUAGCACCCUUAAACUUUUUUUCACUCAAUGGCCUCUCAAUAUGGAAGAUGAAUUACUCUCUUUAUCUAUUCUACACAAAUAGGUUUAGAUUUGUAGUAACGUAACCUAAUAAUCUCAGAAACUCUUUGUAAAAUUUAGUUAUGCAUGCUUGUGGCAGUAAUCUAGAUUUCAACCGAUGGUGUGCAGAAAAUCUUUUGCUAAAGUCAUCCAUUAUAUACAGGCAACCAAUUAUCUCUGAUUGAUUAACCAGGUCUUUUGAGUUUCUAUUUGCUCUAGAUUAACUCCAUCUCCUACUUUUAUCUAUAAAAGACAAGGUACAUACAAUACGGUUCAGCGAAAUGGAAUUCAAAGUCGUAUUACCAUCCAUGCACUUUUUUAACACUCCUCUCCAUACAAUACACCCCAUGAGCUCCCCAUGUUUGAAGAACAAGCCUACGAGCUGAGUUUCUGUGGAAACCAUGCUCGAUCAGUUGAAACUGAGUUUCCACCAAAUAGAUGCAUUGAGCAUAAAGAUAUGACUCAAGAUUGCCAUAAACCAACAUCUUGAUCACCACACUACUUAUGCCUUCUCCACAGAACAUGAUCACUAUACAUUAAGCCACCACUAAAACGUACUAAUCAAAGUAUUCUUACACGUCCGCGUCGAUCCUUUUCAUGAAAAAUGCUUGGAGGGAUCAGCAAAGCGCAUCGAGAAAGAUCGAGACAGGAGAUCAUUCUGAACUGGUUCAUCAUCUAACAUCUGCCCAUCAUCAAAGUUCUGCAUAUAACUUUGUGCAUCGUAAGGGGACUUCACCUGCACCCGAGGCUCAAGUAUUUUCCUCUUUUCCUUCAGCAACUUUCUCCAUAAUGCCUUCAAGGACUGCUUCUUGAAUCCUGGGGAAUUAUUUUCCUUAGCUGCAGCGAACUUUUCGAGCUCGUUGUAAUCGUAGGGCCGUCCCAGAUAGAUGUUUCGUGUACUGCUCGACCUGCGCGGCCAAUUGCCUGUGACGUCCAUAGCUGUACAGAGCAGCCAAGAAGCAAGUUACGCAUCACCGCAGGGAGAAGGCCGUCAUAUAGGAGGGCCUAUCUAACUAAUAGAGGUGGGGUGGUUUUUGAUGACUAGAUUAGUCCAAAUUGACUACCAGAAUUUGCUAUCAUUGUUGGAGUAUAAAUUUCUUCGAUCAAAUUUGACCGGCCAACCAUAAAAGAAUUGUGUUUGGUCAGGGAAAUUUAUUAAAGAUUGGGAUUUGACAAUUGGUACAAAGCGGGUGUGGAAUUUGUAGCAGCUUGCUUAUCCAAGUUGUAUUUGUAUGGGUCCUCCAUAUAUAAAUAUAUCCUUUUUGACCUUCAACUAGAAGCACGUGAUUUGCACAAAGGAGGAUCGUUUUGGGCAAUUUGACACAGCUAGAGCUUUUUCUACUAAGCUUCCAGGGUCCUUAACCAAAAAAAAAAAAAAAAAACUAAUAAGCUUCUGGGGUUGGACUUUAGCCUAAAAUGAUGCCCAAAAAGAUCCUGUUCAAAGGUUGCUCUUAUUGACAUCUAAAUAAUAAACCGGAGCUAAUUCUUGAUUUGGCCCUUCAGAAUAACAAAUGUGUCAUCAAAAUAGAGGAUUGCGUACAUCAAUUGAAACGCUCAACUAAUUGUACUAUUUUUUUUUUCCAUUUUGACACUCCCAAGCUCCAAAAGUGUUCGAUAUCACUCCUAUAACCGUGCAAUUAGUUUCUGCCGUUUUGGCCCUUUAAUUACAAAAAGGCUUUGAUGGAUCAAGUGAAACCUUCGGUAUUCCAGGGGCUCAAACCACAAACAAUAGAAUGCUAAUGUUCAAGAUGAAUAACUAAUUAUCAAAAUGGUGAAUUGGCACGUUCACAAAUCACAUGUUUUGGAAGAGUAGGCCUGUUGUAGACGGAACAGAAAUUAAGCAAGACGGUGAUAAAGAAGAUUGAUAGCAUUCCUUUGGUGCAGGGAUAUUAAAUCUCAAUACAGUGCGCCCCAAAAGAAAUGGGAUACGGGCUGCAACCGUUUGUGCCGAUUGUCCUCAUUUUGCACUGCGCGUAAUAUUGGUUAACACGAUGUAACUUUUUUUUCACAGGAUGUAUUUUUAGAACAGAUAGUGGUAGACCCCACACUUGGCGCGGAAAUCGAGUUACAUGGUGUAAUCUCAACCGCACAAAAUUUUGAGGGCAAAUCUUGGCCCUUAACCGUGCAGGGACGGUCAUCAGUAUGACCGUCCCUGCCCCAAAUCCAAAGAAAUGAGGGAGGACUGGGUAUUGUUGAUUUGACAUUAUGGAAUAGGUGCUUGGCGUUAAGGGUUAUAUGGAAUAUUUGCAGCAAAUAAGAGAUUCUUUAUGGGUUAAGUGGGUAUGUGCAGUUUUGCUCAGGAAUACAUCAUUUGGUGCGUGAAAAUACCUUGAAACUGCUCGUGGGAAAGGAGAAAGAUUUUGCAGUUGAAAACCAUGUUUCAGCCUCACAUUGGGAAGGUUCUUGGAAACGGGAAAAGUAUAAAUUUCUGGUACGAAAGUUGGCACUUAGUGGACCAUUUGUACUAGAAAUAUUCCAUGAAACUUUUGCAUUGUUUUGGAAUUUCUUCAGCUGAUCGUGGGGCUAAUUGUAUAUCAAAUGGCAAGUGGAGAUGGCCUGUAGGUAGGAAAUGCACUAGAGAAGUAAAGGAAUUAACGAGAAGCUACUCCUCAGCUAUUAGUGCCUUUAGCUGAUCAGGAAGAUGGCACUUAUUGGGCUGCUCAUGCUUCUGGUAACUUCACCGUUAAAUCUGCUCUCAAGUUGUUGAGACGAUUACAUGGUAUAGUGCCUGGCACCCUUUAAUUUGGGGAAGAAGCAGUAUUCCUCUGCUUUCUUUCAUUUUAUGGCUGUUAUGCAAGCGAUGACUGCAUAUGUUAGUUGAAUAUACCAAAGAUUUUCAUCCAUAUAUAUAUAUAUAUAUAUGAGGUGUUGAGUCACUCCAUUCAUUGCCAAUUGAUUUUGACACAAAAGUCCAACUUAUUUUAACAUAUUAUCAGAGUUGGGCCUUGUGUUUGUUUGUCAUUUCAUGGGUUUGUUUGUUACUCCGUUUAUUUCAUCCGUGACUUGGCUCUUGCUCUAGUUUAAACCCAUUUGUCAAGUCACGUUUGCGAGAGGGUGUUAGUUGAAUAUUCCAGAUUGAUAUUUUAAGAAUUUUCAAUCAUAUAUAUAAGGUGUUGAGCCACUCGACUAUUGCCAAUUGAUUUUGAAAUGAGAGUCCAACUUAUUUUAACGGAAUACAUUUGAUAGGGUGUGAAGACAGGGUAUGGUUCUUCAGGAUAGUAGCUGCGUGUUUUGCUUGGAGGUUGAAGAGCCCAUAGAUCAUAUUUUCUUUCAAUGCAGGGUUGGGACCUGGGCUUUGGGAUGGGGAUUAUCAUUUCAAUGCUUUAGCAGUGUAAAUAGUUAGCUGUUUUUUCCCCCCUAUCUAACUUUCUUGCGGAAAUAAAUAAAACAUCUUUGAUUCUUUUUUUUUUUAAGAAACAAGUGACUCACAUACUUAUUCUAUGAUUAACAACUUAGUUUUAGCAACGUGACACGUGCGAUGACUGUUGGUUCGCCCAAAUAUUAGGAGUGCAUUACUCAUUUUGAUUCAUGUGCUGAAGGAAAUUGUAGAGCAAACGUCUAUCUAAUGAUCCAGCCAUUAAGAUAGGAGCUGCAAGGUAUAAAACGAUCAGAAUGAAUUAAAGUUCUUGACAAAUUUAACAAAAUUAAUGCAAGUGUCCACCAAAACGGCAAGAGCAACUUGAAACUCUUGAUCAUUGAUUGAAUAGCCAAGAAGCCUUGUUGAUGCCUUCGUUAACUCAUUCAACGUCAGGAAUUGGGCAAUUACGACAAUUAUCGCCAGAAAUGCUUCUUUUUUUUUUAUUAUUAUUAUACCUCUGAACCAAUUUCUUUACAAGCGUAGACAGAAGUACAAAAAAUGUCAUAUAUCUCCGUCCAAACAAAUGGAGAAAAUACAUAAAGAAUUUAAUCAAUACUAGUAAUUUCUAAAAAAAGAAUUGGGGCCCAGAAGAAAGAAUGAGCUCAAUGAACCAAGUAUGUAAUAGCCAGCGCAACCACUAGAAGAACAUAGGCAACCCCUUGAUCAAUUGCAGCGCCUGCAUUCAAAACCAUUAAGAAUAGAUUAAGACUUAAUUGACAACAACUACCAGUAGCUGAAAAAUGCUAAAAGUAAAAGGCAAAAAUCGAAUCAGGACUUGAUUAGAACAAGACGAAGAAUAUGGAAAAGGGACUCACCAUCAUUAGAAGGAGGGCCGAUCGGUGCAGGGGAAGGGGCCGUGAUGCUUUGUCCACGGCUCAAUUCAAAAAGCGCCAACAUGAUGAAACCGAUAAUUGGAAGUGCAAACGAUCUGGCGGAGUUCAUCCUGUCUAUAAUUGGAAGAAACAGAGUAGUAUUCCAAAGGGGAGCAAAAAAAAAAAAACAAAACAAAAAAAGGAUUGAAUUGUCUGUGAGGUUGAAGGGAAGAAAAGUUGAAAGAAUUGGCGAAAUGGGAAACUGAGGAUGGGAGGACGAAUGAAGAAAGUGCGGGAGGUCCUAUAUAUAUAUAUAUGUGUGUGUGUGUGUGUGCGUGUGUGUAUGUAUCUAUACUGGGGGUAAGGGACAGGGGGGGGGGAACGUGGGUACGGAGUUGGUUAGAGGGCAAAAACAAGAAAAUGAAGGUUCUGGGAAAUACUAGCUGGAGAGGAGCAGGAGUGAGGUAAAAGGUACGCGCCAAACUAGCACGGUGUCUAUAAUUUGACGACGCGGCUGGCGGCUCCAUUGACCCAAUAUUAUUAUUUCCUGUGGGAACUGGGAAGAAAGGAAGCCAUGAUGGUGGGGCGGGGAAGAGUGGUGGGACGGUAUGAUUGGUAGGACGUGGACGUUAGUUGAAGAAUCGACCACUUCAUUGUUCUAGAAGUCAAAUUAGUCAGCCAAAUGAUAAUACCCCCUCCAACGCCAAAUUUGCCUCGUUAGUUAGUGCAAAGAAAACUAGAAAAGAAAGGUCUUUCUCUGCGACACCACACGGAGAAGAGAAAAGGAAAAGGAAAACAAAAAUAAAGCAGGGGAAAAUGGUCUUGGUACCUAAUUUUCAGUUUUUUGUAACAUCUACCACAUGGCAUAUGCUUGCUUGUUGCUUUCCAGAUGUUAGAUUAUUGGUACGAGUUUUGCAGCAGUCACAGUUAGGCAUCGUCGUUUAGAUCUUUGAGGCUAAGCAAACUUUUCAAAAAUUUUCAGACUUCUUUAAGUCAAGAAAGUUUAGUCCUAUCUACUUGGUGGCUGUUGCCUCUUCUUCUUCUUCUUCUUCUUCGGGUGUUAAAAAUACGAGGGGAACUAGAGAACGGGGCUUCUGUGUCAUAUCGCAAAUGGAAAGCGCCAUCUGAGAACGGGCUGGGAUUCGGGAAUACAGAGCCAUGUGACAGAUGGGGCACCCUGGCGGUUGCCAGUCUCUGCAAGAACCUUGGGCCAGUUUUUAUGUUCACAGUUUCUGGAUUGACUACAAAACUACUAUACAGAUGAUGGGCCGGGGAAGACUUCUAGUGUUGGGCCGAUGAAUAACACAAAUGAGACCCAGCUGAUACAAGGAAGCCACCAAAUUCUGUAAUGUUUAAGGAAGAGUCGGUAGCAGUAAUUCCGUCGAAGGAUUUGCCUUCUACAAUGUUGCAUAAUUGUAACUUGAAAACAAAUUUGAUUACUUAAAUCCUUCUCGACUAAGAUCACCGGAGAGAUUAGAGAUUAUACAUCACCCGUCCAGUCUUACUCGGGCAUAUGCAUCCAAGAACUGUAAAGAUUAGACAGCUACAGGCCUACAAUUCUACCAAAGAGAAGGGGAGGCUAAUAUUUGGCAAAUUGUAGCUAAAAGGUGACCAAAUCCUAGCUUUAGAAGAAACUGAAGUUUGUAUAAUGUGUAUCUCGUUACAGAACUCCUUUUUACAUAGCCAUCCAAAAAAAAAAAAGGAACUGGUGGUUUAUCUGAUAUGAAGAGCAAGAAAGAUAUUGUGCAUGGGCAUCAACAAACCAUCGUAUCCAGAUAAUUUUUGACCCAAAAUGAUGUGAUUUCCUAAUUGCAUUCCAUUGAUUUUCUCUGCUCUACAAGAAGACCUGAACAAUCCUCGACCCAUUACUAGCUUGCACUUGCAGGGGCAACUUCAAAAUGUGAAAUGUGACCUACCAAGAAGUCAAGUGUGCAGGUAAAGAGCAAGUACAUCUUCUCACAUCUUACCUGGAACGGCAUCAGUUCUUCUGUGUCUUUUUAUGGAACCCCUGACUAGGAACUGCAUCAGCAUCACCCCACUCCCUGUCCCCUAAACCAGAAAGGCCGUUUAAACAAAAAGCCGCCCUCGUGUACGUACAUAUGAUCCAACACAAUAUCAGUCCCUGUUACUAUCACACUUGCGAAGGAAACCACCAAAAUAAGACUAUGUCCAAUGCCUUUCCGAAUAUAGAUUUGCUUUCCCCUACAUCAUGCUUUAAUGAGAAAGUAGAAACCUUCCUGGUUUGAUUCGCUGGCAAAUAAUUGGCCCCUCAAAGUUCAGCUCUUCCCUAGACAGUCGCAACAAAACAUAGAAGAAACUUUUUCCUUUCGCUGUAAAAGAAUGUCCAUUCAGGCAAUUAUGAGACUUUUCACUCUUGCAGUUAAAAAGAUUUCCAUGAUAAAUUUGGGAUCAUCAGUUUCAUAUAUACUGAAAUGAAAAAAACCAAGUUUACACAGUGUUAGUAAGUAGCAUUUAUUAUGCAAGAAGUGAUUCUCCAGUCCUAGAAACCACUGAGUUUAGCUCAAUAGCCACCAUGGAGGACUUAAGUCCUUCCUUGGGCUGUAGGUAAGGGUUCAAAUCUCACCUGCAGCAAAAAAAAAUCUAAGGAUAGCGCUAUAGCAUUCCAUUGAUUUAGAUGGGUCCGUAGCCCCUAACACAAGCCUCCUUAGACUCUUCUUUCCCUUAGAUUAGGAUAGAGUAGGUUAUACCCUAACACAAGCCUCCUUAGACUCUCCCUUCCCUUAGAUUAGGAUAGAGCAUGUUAUACAAUGCAUCGUUACUGGUAAAAAAAAAAAAAAAAGAUUGUCCAGUCCUGGAAGCAACUGUGGUAGUGUGUCUGGACAAGUUUAUAACUAUGUUUUAACUUAUCAGGCCAUGGCUCAGCGAGAGUUAGGCAACUGUGACUCAUUUCGUCGGACAAAGACAAAUCAGCUUACUUACUAAGCAAUUACAACAGGACGCCUUGUACCGUUAAGCAAGGCAAUCAUACCCGAAACUUCCUAACAUCCCUCCUAUGCUAUAUACGAUGCCAAAAAUUCACAAAACCGUACAAAUAAGCUACCAGCAUAUUAAUACAAGAGCAAGAACAGAAGAGAAAACGAUAUCAGGCGGAUUCAAGCAAGAAGAUGUGCCAUCAGGACGGGGGAUAUUCAUAUGCAGACUCGAGGAACUUGGAGGCGCAAAGGAGAAGGCGUGGCUUCCUGGAAUCUGGUGAGAUCGAUGACUAUAUACAAAGAACAACGAGAGCGUCUGAAUCUUCAGGACGAGCAAACGUGGCGAAGCUGCAAUGCCUAUGUUCGCCCACCCAUCAUCCAGGCUCCUUUAGGUGCAGACAGCAUCAGGCUAAAUAUGUGUGGGGGGCGAGGUUGUGCAGGAGUUUUGGAAGCUGAGUAGAAGAAAGGAUACAGUUCAGUCCGUGGAUGUUCACAUGUAACAACAUUUCUGUGGUUCACAGGAUGGAGAUUUAUAUCAUCAUGUAUACAAGUUUGCUGCCUCUGUCCAAACACUUCGCUCCUUCAAUCCCCAGGAUCCUCAACCAAAUGCUCGUUGCUGUACUUUCAAAUUAAUUAAUUGUACUGAAUUUUAGUCUCUUGAAUAAAAUUUUUUGCAUCCAGAUACGGGAGGAUACAAAGGCUUGAAAAUUAGUCCAUCAAAUAAGAUCUCAAACAACUAUCCAUACGCUGCAAUUGAGUCCACGGCUUGGAUUGCGAAUGAGUUUGCGUCUACUUUGCAGGUUCCUCAGUGUACUCAGUCAUGUGAUAAUCGUCGGACUACACGUCAGCCGCUAAUAAACCUGCGGCAAUUCGACUCAUUUCCGCCAGACAGUCAUCUUUGCUGAUCUUCCCUUAUCCUUUUACUAGUUGAAAAAGGCCGUCAUUCGUUUUCUUUUCUUUUUUUUUUUUAUAUACUUUUGUCCAGCAAAACAAUUCCCAAAAUGAAAAAAAAAAAAAAAAGUUCCCAAUGACGCACUAGACAUUAAAUACUCUGAAGUGGAGAGCGGUGAUAUGACAAUCCAGAGCAGGGGUGGGCAAAAAAAUCCGAAAAUCCGAAAACCCGAUCGACCCGCCCCGAAAAGUAGGGUAUCCGACCCUAUUUUUAUCAACGGAGCAAAUAGGGUCGGGUACCCAUAAAAUUCGGAUACGAAUACGGAUCACAAAAUCUAAAAUCCGCGGGUACCCGACCCGGGAUAUAUUUUACAAAUAUUAAAAAAUAUAGGGAUAAAUUUAUAAUAUUUUAAAGUUAUUAACCCUAAGUUCCUAACAUAUCCUCACUUCAGUCGACACUCCAGCCUUCAGUCUUCACUUCAGCGCCGCCGCAACUUCUUCACCUUCAGACUUCACUCUUCAGUCCUAGUUUUGGGCUUCUGGACCUUCAAUUUCUCAAGUCCCAAACACUCAAGUUGUACAAGUGCAACGCCAACGCCGACCUAGUCGAUCUGCAAAUCCAUAGCAAAGAAUUUUUGAAUUGUACCAUGUUGUUUAAUACAUCCGUAUAGGUUUUGUUUCUGUAGUUUCGGCAUGGAGUGCUAGAAUUUUGGUAGAGGCAUCAUCAAGGAAGUGAAUUUUGUGUUAAUCUUCGAGGUAGCGUAGUGUAAUUUUAGAGGUAAACUCUUUUCCAAAAAUAUUUCCUCAUUGCGGCAGGAAUUCUCAGCCUAAUAGCUCUUAGCUUUUCUGGACCAACAUGUCUUUGGAAGGCUGAGGUAUACAGCGUUUUGUAGGUUUACAAGAAUUGUGGUGUAUGGAGACCUUCAGAAGAAGUACAGUAGCAUAGCUUUGUCUGGAUAAAGAUUUUUCAGAAGUGCCCUGUUCCUUGGAGAGUUGUUUUUUCCACCUGUGCUUGUAGUAAUUCUUUUACGGUGGAAAGUAGUUGGUGCUUGUACCUUGUUAGUCUAUGAAAUAACAUCUCAAGUCUGCACGUUCCCCCUCCUUUUUUUUUUUUGGCUUUUCUUAUGCUUCAAUGAAAUUGAAAUUCCUUUUCAGUGUGCUAAGAAAUCCUCGCGUGUGUGUGUGUGUGUGUGUGUUCGGCUACUUCAGCAGAGGACUUCCAUUAACCUCAAUUCUGGCAACUAAGGUAUUUGGUUUUGCCAGAAAGAAGACCGUAGUAGCAGCCAGGUUCAUCUUCUAAGAUGAAAUUGCAAAUUUCUUUGUUUUGCUAUUGUCUUUGUCUUUGCAUUCAUACAGGAAUUCGCAUUCUUUAAUAGGGGCGGGUACCCUAUGACCCGCCCCUAUUUUUCGGGUAUCCGAAGAUCGGGUACCCGAGGGCAAGCGGAGCGGAUUAGGGUCAAAAAAAUAGUGACCCGAUAUGUUAGGGUCGGGUCAGUCAUUUGACGUUCGGGGCGAAUACCCGACCCGUGCCCACCCCUAAUCCAGAGUGAUCUCCUUAAAUGCUAAUUCUUUAGGUAAAAUUAGGAAACAAGAAUUUAAUGGAGGUGUCAAGCAAAGAGUUUAUUUGGACGGUAAAAAAAAAAAAAAAAACUUUUCAAUUGCAUCGUAAACAACCAUUCAACUUUGGCUUAGUGACCACAAAAAACAGGACUAAAAAAUUUCUAUUUGAACUGUAGGUAGGUGAGGGAUUAAAUUCUACUUGCAAUAAAAAAAAAUUUAAAAGAAGUGUCAAAGCACCCCUUUAGUCUACUAGCUCCCUAGCUUAAGAUAGAUUACGUUAUAAAAAUAUUUUUUUUCUCUUUAAAUUAGGAAAGAUUACGUUACAAGAAUGUUAUUAGAGCACCCUUUUGGUCUACUAACUCCCCAGAUUCUGAUAGAUUAGAUUAUAAUAAUGUUAUCACCUUUAAAUUAUGAUAGAUUAGAUUAUAAAAAUGUCAUCGUUACUGUAAAAAAAAUUGCGUCUUUUUCAAUCAGCUUUCAUGUUCAAACAAACCCAAUACAGUGAUUGGCUUGUAAGCAAAUGGACGAAAAUGCGGAAGCCAAAUGAGCGAUACGGUUGACGUUAAAUCAUCUCACCUUAUCCUCUCAAGGACCAGUAAGUAUUUGGCGCAUUUUCCCCCAAGGAGGAAAAAAGGAAAACGAGAAAGAAAAAGGUGGGUAUCAAAUGACUAGGAUAUUACGACAUCUCUAUCGGGCAUGAUCUGAGCAUGUACCUAAUUCAAUUGAACUUUAUCCAAUGGAUUAUGACAUCGAAAGAGAUACACAGACAGGCAUCAAUUAAUUACCACAUCCACUCCAAUCGCUUAAGAAACUCGAACCAACCCUGUGGGAUAUCUUUGAAUCAUUAACAUAACAUGGCCAGGGGGAAAAACGUAGAGAUGAAUUAAAAAGUUCCCAGACCUACCGUUACCCUUACCCACCUGAUGGAAGUGGAACCACUCGCUCAAUUCAUUUAUCAAUAAAAAUAGAAUAUUGCCAAGUGAAUUUUAGGUCCAAUAGUUAUUAUUUAUUUGUACCGGCUGCCAUGCCAUCAUUAUCGUUAUCCUGAUCCUGCUCUAGAAAUUUUUUUUUUUUUUUAAUUUUUACCCCGUUGGCCUUUUUCACGGCGCAUUAAUCUCAUCGUUUAGAAGGGGAGCUGGUUAAGUGCUGGAUGGUGGCAUCCAUAUUAUGUGAUGAUGAUAAUACUUACUAGUAGUCUUCUGUGUAUUGAUAAAAAGGUUAUCCUCCUGGAGAUAAUUCUCGUACUAAAGAUAGAAAAGGAGGCAAUUCCAACUUGUAAAGAGGUUUCUUCGUCGAUGGCUCCUUUGCGUUAGAAUUUUCCGUUUUAAAAUAAUCAUCAAAAGUUAGAUGGAAACGAGAAAGACAACUAAUGCAAUUAUGGGUGUGCGAUGACAGCUAAAUAAUGAAAUUUCUCUUCAGCCGAAGCCGAAGGAAGCCGCUUGUCGUCGAGUUAUGGGGGGAGGCACAGCGGAGAGGAUCUGAAUCCAUCGAGGUUAAUAGUAACAUAAAGGACAAAAUCCAAUCCAUCGUGCUUUACACAACCAAACUGGCAGGUGGAUCCCAAGUGCGUGCAUCUAGUACUCUACCUUUAACAUCUGACUCCACGGAGAUUGCAGUCAUGCAGAAAUCCAGGAUCCAUAUUAAAACUGAUUGUGCUAUAUAAUAACCAUGCCUGAGAUUGCGAAAAAUAUAAACUGAAACGAGGAUGUAAAAAGGCAGCCAGGGUAAUAUUUGCCGGUUGAUCAACAAUCUUAGACGUAAGAAUAUACAAGAAAAGUCAUACACACACACACACACACACAUAUAUAUAUAUAUAUAUAUAUGCUGGCUGGCUCCAUGAAAAAGCAGCAGUUAUAUAAUAUUGCCCCUUUUUUUCAUGAAAUUGCCAAGAAGUUUAUGCAAAAACAGAGGCAUCAUCACACAAGGAGGCAAUUAAUUGAUUGAGGACUUAAUACUAGUACAAGGGCUCCCUGAUCAUGUGGAUUCAACCGAUUUGGGAGAAAGAGAAGGGCUGUUGUUAUGGACAGGCAUGGACUUUGAUCUCUUGAAAUAGGCAGUAGAAUUGGAGCGGUGAAACCUGCACCUGAACGAUCCCUGAUGAGUCGUGGGCGAGCAGAGACACUGCUGCUGCUGCUGCUGCUGCUGCCCUUUUGGAGACGAAGAAUUCUGGCCGUUGGCACUCUUGGGGGAUGUUGUGGUUUCCACCGUAAUGCCACCGCCAGCUGGGCCGCGGGGGUGGUGGGAGGAGGCCAUUUAAUUACUACCAGAGAGAGAGAGAGAAUGGAAGAAAACCAUAUGAUAUGGCAAGAGAGUCUUGUUGUGGUGCAUAUGAUAUAAGAAGAGGAGAUCUGAUUCUCAAAUAUAAAAAAGGUUUAUCCCCUUUUGGUUUUGUGGGUGGAGGAAAAAAAAAAAUAGAAUACUAACAAAAAGGAAUUAUCUUCAUCAAGUGUGAGAUCAUCAAGUGUUAUUAUGGUGUGGCCCUUUUCUCCUUACUUUUUCUUCUUUUAUUUAUCAAUUUCUCAUUUUUUUUUCUCUCUUUAGUGGAUUUUCCUUUUAUUUAUCAAUUUCUCAUUUUUUUUUCUCUCUUUAGUGGAUUUUCCACUUUACCUCCUCAAAAUUCGUUAUCGUUUUACUUUCCUUGAUUGGUCUGCAUUUCUAGGGAGGGGCUACUGUUGAUUUCAUUCUUGGCUUUUUGUGCGCAGAACUAGACUACUGGUCUUCAAACGUUCUUCCCAUCCCUGGGAACGGGAAUGGAGCUGCAGCCUACAGUGCAGCCCCUCUCGAAUGGACGCGGGGCUGGAGCGAUUGUCAGAACAACCGCUUCGAAAGGUGUAACAUCAUUUGUACAUGGUAUAACAUUAUCUGUACAAGGUGUAACAAUAGAACAACAGCGAAUAACAUUAGAACAACAUUUUUGUGGGUCCCACACGGCGUGAAAAUCGAGUUACAAGACGUGAUCUGAGCCGCACAAAUUUUUGAAGCCUCAUCCAGGCCGUGAAUUGCCUGGGACGGUUGUCAGAGACAACCGUCCAGGCCCCUCGUCCCUCUCGACUGGGACGAGGGGCCUGGACGGUUGCCUAAUCGUCCCAGGCCGUGAAUGACAACCGUCCAGGCCCCUCGUCCCUCUCGACUGGGACGAGGGGCCUGGACGGUUGCCUAAUCGUCCCAGGCAGUUCACGGCCUGGAUGAGGUCUCAAAAAUUUGUGCGGCUCAAAUCACGUCUUGUAACUCGAUUUUCACGCCGUGUGGAACUCACAAAAAUGUUGUUUUAUUUUACUCGCUAUUGUUCAAUUGUUACAUCUUGUACAGAUGAUGUUACACUAUAUACAAAUGGUGUCACACCUUCCGGAACGAUUGUUCUGACAAUCGCUCCAGCCCCGCGUGCUCUCGACUGGUACUUGUCAGAUGACCCCAUCUCAUCGUAUCGCGAAACUGCCAAUAUUCUUGUCACUCCCUGCAUAAAUUGCCCAAAGAUAGUUGGGACACGGGACGUUGAGUUAAGUGGUCCAUAGAGAUAGAAAGAGUCAUGCUAAUCUCUCAGCCGAGAGGCACUUUUGUGCAUUGAUUAUUAAUUAGGUAAAUUUCUUUGGAGCGAGUGCAUAUUCGAUUUGUUUUUGCCAAAGCAAAGGGUUCGCUGAGUAAAGCACUCUGUGGAUUUUUUUUUAAUUAAUAAAAGAAUUCGCAUUCGAGUGCACUGCAUAAACCCCAGCCUCGUUUGAAAACCCCAGCCCUGUUUGAAAGAUGAAUUUUUUAGGUGUUUAUCUAAAAUUUUACUGUAAUUUAUGUAGAAGUUUUUAAAAAAAUUUUUGAAGUGUGUUUUUUUUUAAAUAUUUUGAAGUGUAUAGUUUAAAGUUUUAAAAAGUUUUUUAAGAUUAUUGUAGUUAAUUUUUAAAAAAAUUAUAACAAAUAAACUUGACAAAAAAUUUGGCUUCCAAACAAGACCCCGUUUCUGCCAAUUAUAUGGAGGGCAUCGGAGUAAUUUGCGAAUUGUGAGUGCAAUGGGUAAUUCUAGCAUAUUUUCCGUUCUACUUCCCAUCGGAUGUGACCCUUUGAAAUACAGGUGACACCUAAUUGUGGUUAGGAUAGGAUAAGACUAACGAACAUUGAAAGUUUAGUGAAGUAAUUUUAAUUUAGCCCACAAACUAGUAGUAUUAGCUACUAACCAUGGUUGGGCUUAAUUAACACACCAGCUGUAACUAUAAGGCACGGAACAAAAUCCAAGCAAGCACGUGGGAAUGCAAUGGGGAGAUGGGUCCAUGAAGAGAUGAUGUUCCGUCUGGGACAUCAUGUUUGGAUCUGCGAACACGUAUUAGAUUCUAUGAUCCUGUCUCUAUCAACAAAGACUAGUACUCUAUUAUCAACUCCAGGGGUAAUAGUUAUUCAAUACUACUCUGUCUAUUACCAGAAUGAGCAACAGUCCACAGUUCGCACUAGUAGAUUGUCCGUCACCUCCACGCGUUUCUUCUAGCAAACAAAUCUGGCCUACGUGAAAAUUCAGAUUUCAGACGAAUUAUGUAGAUAUGGUCAGAGGUGUGAAAGAUGAAUUAAACUCCCUCGUAUUCGAAUUGAAUUUGAUUUGUUUGAAUGAUUUAUCAAUUAGUUAAGUCAAAUUUAAAUAGUAUUUUUUAUUUGAUAAAUUUUGAAAUUUGAUUUUGAACUUAGCUUGUUUAGUAUUAAAAUUUAAUUGUAAUGAUUUUAAAGUAGUCGAAUGCCCCGACGCAAGUUCAAUUGGAUAAAAAUUCGUUUGAGUCUGGCUUGACAAAUAAACAAAUUAAUAAGUUUGAACACAAAAUCAAGUUUGUUACAAUAAUCACACAAUUUUGAAUAGAUGUUUGGUUUUAAUUAAAUUGGUUUCCACCCCUAAAUAUCACGUUAAUCAAUGGAUCAUUGCCAAAUCUUUUCGUUAAAAAGACCACGAGUGUUUAUACAUUCACCAGGGGUUUGUAUAGAGCCAUAAGAGUAGCAGACGAUUUCUUUCUUCUAUUAACGAUUUCUUCAGAUUACAUCUCCCAGCGGGCGACCAUUCGAAAGGAGAUGAUGCUAAACGUAAUUAACGAUUUCAACCCGUAAUUAUCACUUGACUUUGAGGUUCACUCUAACUGUGUGAAAGUGAAACCAUAAUGCAUAUGUUCACUAAUCACACAAGACAACAAAAGAAAUGGGAAAAAAAAAUAAUUUGAAAGAAAGGGAUUUUAGAAACUACUCGAUCCCGUCAUUUUUCGAGGUUGCGGUCAACGUCAUUCAGAUAAUUUUCUCAAUUUGUAGAAUAUUCUUAACAAAUUAAUUCGAGGUUAUGUUACAUCUCUUUCUUUUAAUUAAUGUGAGCCCACACACUAGCUACACUAGUGUGUGUGGUACAACUUUUUUCUUCUUCUUUUUAUAAUCUGCAGUGCACAAGUUAUUGGACAGGUGCAAAACUGAGAAUUUGGUCAUAUGCCAAGUUCUGAACCUCAAAAGUCAAGAAACUUCGGGGGUCUCCACAUGUCGGCAGGUGCCGCAAAGUAAGGCGGUCGGGUUUAUGACCCUUCCUAGCACAAAAAAGUAUAUAUAAAAUACAAAGCUCUUAUGAAACUUCUACCUUGAUUAUUAAAUCAAAAUCUGAUUAACCAAAAUCAAGGAAUUCAUCUUGCACGCUGGCGCAUGAUACAACAAAUCUUGAAUACCACCAUGUCCUUUUGCUACCUACGUGAUAGAGAAGAACAAGGAGCCCUGAUGACGUGGCCUCCAGCUAAGCAAACCAAAAUCAGCAAAACCUACCAGUCAACGACAGAGCUUCAUUACCUAACGUUCUGUCUUUUCAAUUUUACUAAUAGGGACAGGGGUGGUUUUCUAGCGUUGUGCUUCCUUCUGGCUAGCUCGACUACUUAGAUGUUAAGCAAAAUCCGUGGUUUCUUUAACCAAUCUUAGACUUUUGGUUAUCGCCCCCCCAGAAGAAUAUACUGCUGUACAAGGAUUGCUAGUGUAACUCUUCCUCUCCUGAUUGAUUCCUCUGUUCUUUUGUUGUAAACUAAGUUCUUCCGGUGGUGGAAUUAACCGAGUUGAUGGCUCCAACGGGGAACAAGAAUAUACAAUCCAAGCUGGUGGGUAUGUCUUCCCUUUCUCUUUUACUGCUAGUACGGGAUUCUUCUUGCUCUCAUACUUGCAUGCAGUUCAUGUUUCAAAUACAGCGGUAAUCUUAUUAGGUUUCUUUGCUGGAUGUUUCUGGGAUGAUCGCUAAAACUCUUCUUAUACCUACCUCCCGGAGUUUGAAAUUUUCACGAAUUUUAUUCACUGAAGUUCUGAAAUUUCAAUUGCUUUUACUAUGUGUAUUGCGAUCCCUCUGGUUUUCUGCUUUUGAUUAUCUACUGUAAUUUUAGUUCGUCUGGUCAUGAUUUGCCCGAGCAAUUCCCUACUUCAGCAUGGUCUUCUGCAGUGCACAAUAAGAAAACUUGUUGUAUACUUAAUUGACUAGGUAUGCUGCAGAAUUAACCUAUUCAUCCCUUGUUUUAGGUGCUUCUUGGGGACAUGGGGACUGGGAAGACCAGUUUAGCAUUAAGAUUUGUCAAAGGCCAGUUCCAUGAUUUUGAGGUACACUUCAUUCAAUUAUGCUUUAUCUCAUUCUUUAUUUUAACUAUGUCUUUUGACGCCAUUGAGUGAGCUUUUAACCAUGACGUUCAGGAAUCAACCAUUGGAGCAGCCUUCUUUACUCAAGUCUUGUCACUCAACGAAGCUACCAUAAAAUUUGAUAUAUGGGACACAGCAGGACAGGAACGUUAUCAUAGUUUAGCUCCAAUGUACUAUCGAGGUGCAGCUGCUGCUGUUAUAGUUUAUGAUAUCACAAACGCGGUAUUGGCACUCACUUUUUUUUACCCUUUUUCUGUUAUUGAUUGCACUUAUGGAGAAGAACAAGUACUGAUAUUAUCAAAGGUGAUGCAAUUUUAACUAGCACUGACAUUGUCAAAGUUAAUGGGAUUUUCCCUUUUGUUUCCGAAGAGAAGAGGAGGGGAUCAUAAAGUUGAAAAGAACACGAGGGAACCAGUGGGAAUUUAAUCUGAAUAUAAUUGAUAACAUCACUGGCUAGCAAUUACUAUUUAGACUGACGUCUGCUGAAAUUGUGGCUUCAGGAUUCAUUUGAACGGGCCAAAAAGUGGGUUCAACAACUGCAGCGACACGGUAAGAUCAUCUCCAAACCUUUCUCCUGUUGCUUUUAUUCUUUUCUUGACAAGAAAUUGGAACUUAUACCGACGAUGAGUUUCCCUUUUGGCUGAAAGAAAACCCGGGAAAGGAAGAGAGUACAAAACUACUGCGUUUAUUCUGCAUUGGUUGUGGAAGGACUAGGUGCAGGUGUGCAAGUGUUGAGGGAAAUACCUUACCUCUUGAGCUAGCAUUUGGAGUGGGAAGGCUCAGGAACGCCUAACUAUAACUAUUACGUAUCAGCACAAAAUUGCUACUCAUCAAAAGAGAGGACGAUUUAACCCUGAGACAUAGCCCCGUUUGUCAGAAUCAAUCUUUCAUCACUUUUUUAUUUCGUUAAUUUGUCCAGCCUUGUAAACUUAUUUACCUUUACUGACAAUAUGUUUUGCAAAGAAACGAAUCGAACAGUAUUUGAAUUUCGUGAAAGCAGUCUGCAUUACAAAACUGAAUAGUAUAUGAAGCAGUUUGGAAUCUAAUUGCUUUACAUUUGGUAUUAUUGCAUGUUUUUGAUUGUUGAAAGUUCUUUCAUCAUAACUCAUCAUAUACUUUUGUAGGAAAUUCCAAUAUGAUUGUGGCUUUGGUGGCAAACAAGGCCGACUUAAGUUCAGACAGAACGGUGGAAAAUGAGGUACUUGUAGUUGGUUUUCCAAUCAAUAGCUUCACUUCAUUUCAAGUAGACAUGGAUAGCAUCCAAAAGUCCUAUUAUGAUUAUUAUUAUUAUUAUUUCCUUUCUUUCUUUGGUUAGAACAUUUUACUCAAGCUUCAUGAUGAUUGUUGGUAUAGUUAUUUAGACAUUUGUUGUCCGUCUAUUAAGCAUGCUUUUCUAUCUGAUACGUUUUCCUCCCUCUUCUUCACACACCCUCAAAGCCCUUUCCUUGAUUUUAAACUGAAUGAAAGUUCUCCCAUUCGUUAAUAACCUUCAGGAAGGGGAGCAUUAUGCUAGAGAAAAUGGCUUGCUAUUCUUUGAAACUUCAGCAAAAACUGCACAGAAUGUGAAUGAGCUAUUUUAUAGCAUCGUGGUGCAUAACUGCUGUCCAAUACCAUUGUUUCCUGAGGAGAUAAAAGGGACAGAAGAGGAAGAGAGAAGAGGGGGGAGGGGGGGGGGGGUUGUUCCUGCAUCUUCAUGUGUUACUUUUGAAAGCUACAAAUUCUUUGAUUGCUUUGGAUGCUUUGUAUACUUGUGCGCAUAACAUUAAUUUCCAAGUCGAGCACUAAUCUUCGGUGAAUAUGAUGGAUGAUAUUAGAGCCAGGUUUCAAUAAUAAACAAGAGAAUAAAUUGUAACAGAGAAUUGGACAUUUCCUAUGACCUCUCCCAUUUUUCUUAAUUAAUCAAAGUUUUCUGCCUAGUUAUGAUGGCCCUUUUCUCAUCUUGUGAAUGGGCAUUAUUUGCCCUUCCUUGCAACGAUCUUUAGUCUUACAUGUGCAAAGAACAAAACAGGGCCUCUUAUCGAGGAUUACAAGUCACUCCCUGCAGAUUGGGUCAAGCACCCAGUUCGACAAAGAGCAAAACGUACUGAAAGAAAAGGAAAAAUUAAAGAAAAAGGAAACGAAAAGAAAGUAUACCAAUCGAAGCACUAAUUUGAGUUUAGCAGAGCUAGCAACAUGCAUGAAAUUCAUCUAAAAGACAUCUCAUCGCUACAUGGGGAACAAAAUCUUUCGAAUCCAACAGAACAUAGGGCCAAAGUCCCUGCCCUCGGACUCAAAAAAAAAAAUAUAUCAGUUCUCGUGCUCUCAGGCAAUGAAGCUUCUACUUUUCUUGGGGCCUGGUGUGCUAUACCUAGAGAUUAACGGCAAGAGGCAUCCUCAUCAAAGUGGACAAAAGCCCGCAUAUACAACAUUGGCACAAAUUCAUAGGAAUCGGCACACGAUGUUUUAUCAAAAACAGGGAUUUUGUUGCCUGUUCUUUGGUCCACCGAUCAUUUCACGUGCAUCAUUACAAUCCCCACAAGUACAAGAUGAAUUAAGCGCUCGGUGUCUCCUUCCAAAGCCAGUAGAAAUGUACUUGGAUUAUGUAAAACAAAAGAUUGCCUCUUGAAAAUAUACACAAGUAGGCAAGACAAAACAAAAACUGUACUUAUUAGACGAAGAGAUGGACACUCGCAAGGCAACUCUGGAUUAGGAUAUAAGCGUGGCCUCGGCAAAAGAGCCAUGGUCAAGCCUAGAGGCAAAAGCGUUCGCCUGAAUAAGGGCUCAGAUUUCUCUUUUUAAGAGUACCUUUUUCAUCUUUUUCAUUCAAUAACAAGUUUCCAUUAAACAAAGUAAACACUGACGAAAAGAGAAAGAAAGGGACCAAAGCUACAUAGUGAACAGUAGAAAAAACUAACCUGGAAAACUAACGUGGGAAUUCGGAUACCUAAAUUUUUACCACGAAGGAGAAGUACACGGUGACCCUGAAGUUGAUGAAGACGAAAUGCCCUCAUUAUUGGAAUCACUACCGGAGGUGGCAAGGGAACGAGCGUCCCUCAAAGAAAUUGAACAUGCCUGAGCUGGAAGCUUUUUUAUCGGAGAUAAUGGAGGGGUCAUUGGAAGUGAGGAAGGACUAGACGCAGUCGUCGAUUUAGCAUUAUCGUUAUCAUCUUCUCCAGAAGAACAGUUGGUGUCUAGACGAGACGGUGAUGAAUCAGGCGUCUCAAAUGGGGUAGCCACCCUGCUAGGCCUGUUGCCAACAUUGUCAUAAAUCGGAUUGCUUAUGUAUAUAUAAGUUUCCUUGCUGCUCCCACCACAAAAUUCAUCGUUGCGAGUGCUUGUACUGUCAAGAGGUGCCUCAUGAAUGAGUCUUGGUGGUGCCAGGGGUACAAAGGAAGGCGAUGAUGGUAGAGAAAAGACAUGCCGGUGUAGUUCAUUAGGGCUAGAGGUCGGUUGUUGAUUAGGAAUCUGAGAAUCACGUUGCUUCUCGAGGUCCUCAUUGCUUUCGUUGCCAUAAACUGCGGGGAAGAGGAAGUUUCUUGGAGCAUGCAGAACGCCAUGAGCAUAGAAGGCACUGAGAGAUGGAGUUCCCGAAAGGUCCUGAUCAUGUUCCGGGGAGCCAUCAUUAGAGGUGGCGGCAGCUCUGGAGUUGGGAAUGUUGGAAGUGGAAGCUCGCAGUGGCCGUCUGCGGCGGAGUAAAAGAGAGCAGUAGAGCUGAGCCAACAGGACCAAGACCAGUCCUAGUACUAUGCCAAUGCUCACAACCACAAUUAGUGUUGCUCCCAUUAUUACCUGGGAAGUACCCUUCAUCUCUUUUCCCCGAGUGUCUGUGUGCGUUCAAGUCUGUGACUCUGUGUCUGUGUGCGCGUAAGUUAGGAAAUGAGAAUGGCACUGUAAUAAUUAAUAAAUGGGCUGUUGGAACCAUUGACGGUGACAAAAGAUUUUGGCGGGCAAAGCUGUCUUCGGUCUUUAACUUAUUUUACUCCAUUCACCUUUUUGAGCAUAUUUUAGUCUUGACCUGUGGCCUUUGGGCUCGUGACAAGGAAUUGGGAAUCUUUGCUGGGAAUUUUGAAUAGGAUUUUCAUUUUUUUUCUGUAGAAGUAGUGGUGAUAUGACAUAUGUGAGAUAAAAAAAUUAUUAUAAACAUAAAAAUGUGUAUUAGAAGAUGGAUUUAUGAUGCAAGAAAAUAACUUUUGAACAAGUGCGUGCUAUCCAAACACACUAAAUUGUCCAUUAAUACAAUUUUCACUUUCAAAUUCUGGUAUAAUCAGGUUAACUGAAGCAGUAUGUUAUUAAAAAAUGGGCCUCAGGCAAAUCCCACUUAUGGAAUCCAAAUAUCUUAUGAAAUGGCUUACGAGCGCAGAUCCAUAACAAAACCUAUUCAUUUUCCAUGCGAGAAUCACCCUACCAUGCCAGCCUUGCUGCACUUGGAAGUUCUAGCUCGUCAUCAUGGUCAGCUAGGGAACGUGACAAAAGAACGGCGUACAACUUCCCAGCAAAAAGAACUAAUUUCCUACCAACCAAUUAAGAGAUCUAUUUGGGGCAACGAACAUUUUUCCUUCUUUGUGAACAUCCCUCUUUCUACAGCCCACUCGCACUACACCUCCGGAACAAAGUAUUGGAUAUGUAAACAACUGUACUAGACAGUGACUAUAUUAAACAUAUCAAUUAUGCGGUAUAAGUUGAAACACCAAGGAUCAGUAGAUGCCUAAAAGAAGGAAUUAACUAAUAAGCUCCAUCUUAGUCUCCGUCCAACACAUCAUAUCGGGAAAAUCAGAUGGAUACAAUCUUACAACCAGGCACAGCACCAACUUUAGACACAAAUCUGUAUAACAUCUCAUGCGAUGAACUAAUAGAAAAAUGAGGCAGCACCAAGAAUGAGCAAGUACUUGUACCUUUAGUAUAAGUAAGAGGAAUCAAUCAGGGUUGAGCAAUGAAUUCGGUUUCUCCAACUAUUGCAGCUAACGAGCCUGGAAGUAAGCCAGUUGUAGGCAGCGGGAAGAUGGAUAUAAAAGAUAGAGAUGUAAACACAAACAAUUUCGCGUGUUUCAAAAGCCGUUGCUCUUUAUCGGCCUUUCAGUGCAGCAAAGCGAGCAGCCAAAUCAUCAUAAUCAGGUAACUUGGGAUGCACAUGCCGAGCCUGGCCAUCUGGAUGAAAGGACUUUGCACGGGUAAAAACCUUUUUGGCCUCUGAUUGAGUCGUUUCUUGACGAGGCAAAGAUAUAGAUCUAGUGGUGGUUGGUAUGACAUCUGCGUUCGAAUCAUGCCCAUCUCUCAUUCGAUCAUGAGAAGAUUCACCACUACCAUUACUUAUCUGAUGAGAUGGAUGUGCUUGAGAGCCUUUUCUCAUAUUUCCACCGCCAUAGGUUGAUGGUUUCUUACUGUAAUGUAGCAAAAGUUUAUCAAUCAUUCUCUCUUCUUCAUCUUUUUGAGAAUGCUCAUCAUCAAACAAAAUCUGCAAGCCCUUUCGCGAACUGUCCCUUCUCCUGCUACUGGAACUUCUUUUUACAGCUACAGCAUCUUCAACAUGAGCCAUGUCAUCAUGAUUGGAAGAUGAUUUGUGUUGCUUCCUCCUAAUUGAUCUUGGUUUUGGCAAGGCUAUUUUAUCAUCCUGAUAAUAUUGAUCUUCGCGAUGACGUUGACUUCUUACUCUGCCAGGCCCAAUAUUUUGUCCCUCAUGGCCAGGAUUAUAUGGCCCCAUCUGAAUCCUGUUAGAUCCAUUCUCUGAAGGUUCUGUAGAAUGCCCAUCACUGCAAGGACCUGCUAGCUCAGACUUUCUACUAGGUCUGUUUUUAUGGUCUUUAGGUUUAACAUAUGGAGGGAUGAGGUUGCUCUUUGAUUUUAUGUACGGUGGAGGAAGUAGAGCAUUCUGGUAGGAUUUUGAACUGUCUACAUCUUCCUGUUGAACUUUUCUCUUUGAGUUUGCCAUAUUCUUCUCCCUGACUUGCUCAUGGGCAACUGACAUAUCCUCAUUCCUUCCUGGAAAUCCCCCACAACUUGAACGCAUUUCUGAUUUUCCAUGAGAUGGAGCAUCCGAGCUCUCCCCAUCAUGCAUACUAGUGGAACCAUCAUCCUGACCUGAAUAUCCACCACUGAAAUCGUCUAGCCCUUUCCUACGUGAUGAAGUGCCUGCUUUUACAGCUUUGAACAAAGUUUCAUCCUUUUUCCAUGAUAAUUCAUGUUUGUCCACCAUCACUUCUUGCCUUCGCUCAAAUAAAAGGUCAUUUCUGACUUGUCUUGGAGUACUCUCUCCUUUCUUGGUUGGUGAUAUGUGUCUAUCAGUGCCACUUCCCAACCUUCCUCUGAAAUGGAGGUUCAACUGUUCUCUUGAAUCCUUAUCCUCUCUACCAUUGCGCAUUCCGUGCCCAUCAUUAAUUAGACCACGUGGGUCUUUAGGUGAAACAUCAUACCCAUCAGAUGUUGCAACAGCAACAGCAACACCUUCUCUUCUUGAAUCUGUAUCCUCUCUGUAUUUAUGAAUUCUAUGGCUACCAUGACUAAGAGCACGUGUUUUUUCAGGUAAAACAUCAUACCUAUCAUAUUUUGCUACAACUCCAUGUCCAUCUCCCCUUUCUGAUUCCUUAGUACCCCUGCGGUUGUGCAUUCUCUGGCCAUCAUUACUUAGACCACAUUUUUCUUCAGGUGAAACAUCAUAUUUUGCAACAUUAGUACUUCCAUCUUCUCUUCUUGAACGCUUACCCUCUCCAGCACUCUGCAUUUUCUGGCCACCAUUAGUAUGAUCAUGUGUUUCUUUAAGUGAAACAUCAUGUCCAUCAGAUUUUGCAACAUUUCCAUUGCCAUUAAGAAGAUUAAGUUCUUCAGCAGCAACAGGGAAGUUUCCAUGUUUAUUUGGUUUGGCCUGGAAGACAUCAGCCACAGAAAACACAAUCAGUUUAUAUAUAAUUGUCUUUCUUUCAUCCUUCUUUGGAAGAUGUAGCGGGAUACCAAAUUUUGUGGAAAACAAAAAUAAAGAAAGAAAGCCCAUUCAUUUAGUUUUCCCUGCUAGGUAGGAUGCUGCUUUUAAAAGAAUUAACAUUUUAAGUCUUUCUUCCCCAUCUCAUUUCAAUGAGUGACAUACCUGUACUAGUGUAGGUGGAUCAGCCAUCCUCUGCUCAAAGCCCCCAGAAUUCCAAUUUAUUGAAAACUCUGAUGCUAUAUCUUUCAGUAACUGGAGUCUCUUCUCCAUGGCAGGAGGCUUUGAAGACAAUAUCUCAACAAACUAUAUCAUUCAGAAAUCAAGCUGUCAGGCACAAAACUAGAGCUCUGAAACUAAAACGUCCCAACUAAUUGCCGAGAAUAACCUUUUGAUUAACAAAACAUUCUAGAGUACUUCCAUAUCUCUCCUGAAAUAGAUUCCUGAGAUCUCGCAAUUCAGGCAAAUCAGAAAAUCUUGCUGCUGCAAACAUCAGAGAAGCCACAGGCUCCCUGCACUCUUCUGGGCACUCUCUGGGAAGAAAACAAUUCGGAAGAAGAUUGUAAAUACUUGAGAUUUAUUAUAUUAAAAAAAUAAGAAGACGAAGAAAAAGAAGAGUAGAACUUCAUAAGAUAAAAGCCUGAAAACGUUGUCUCUUUAUUACAUGAUACCCUUCAGAUUGAACUUCCCCGACACGAGGAUUGAGACAUCUGAUGCUCAUGCACACAACAUUAAUUGUUCAAAAUCGCCAAUAUUGACAGUUUAGAAGCAUUCAAUUCUUUGGACCACUGGUCUUGUCAAUUACAUUGGUUCUAAAAAAAAUAGUACAUACAAAUAUACCUGAAAACAAGUUCUUAUACGGGUAUUUAAAAGUGAAUAUCUAUAUAUCCAAUGAAUCAUCUCCAUCAAAUGGUCCGUAUCAAACAAAUGCUACUGUGUUCAGGUAUCUCAAUGGGAAGAAUGUAUAGAGAAUUUUAAGCUUGACCAGGACACAAAGCUAGGAUGUUUUGACCUUGAAUAAGAUGUAAUAAAUGCAGAAGCUCCAGGAAAAGACAUAUCACCACAUACGACAUUUUUACUAACAAACUACAUUUCUGAAGGUGAUCCUGAAAUUAUGAUUUUAACGUUUAACAAAAAAGUAGUAUGGAGUUUUCACCAAGUCACUGACCUUUUUUGUACCAAAUGAGUAUACAUGCACUAUUGUUUUUAUUUUGAAACUCUGCCUUAAUCCAUCUGGCACUUAAAAUUGGUCUGUGCUCAAUUGGCUAGGAUGUUUUGUUUAGCUAAUCAAGUACAUAUAUAGUCCUCCUAAAUACUGUGAAUUGGUUCAAUGACUGCUGCAACCACGUUAUAUCAACUUAAAUGAGAAGCCCAUUAAGGUGAUAAUGCAUCUUUCUUCUGCCAAAAUAUUGCCUAUGGGCCAUUGCCUCAUUAUGUACUUUCAACUUUCUUUUCUUCUCCUCACUGUAAAGUAUAAAACCAUCUAUUUGUGUCAUUCAAAUUAUAAAGCUUUAACCAAACUAAAGAUUGGUCCCACUAGUGAGCUUCAGAAGCAAUCAAAUGAGUCAUCCGGUGAUUAGGAAAUGAGAACAAUUCACAGCAUUAGCAAAUUACAAAGCAUUAAAAAGAAGCAUCUUCCAAGAAUAGGAGACCAGAGAUCCUAAUCAUUCCUGGUAACUUCCUAUCAAAGAGAGAAAAAGCAAUAUUCCUCUUAAUCCUAAUACAAGAAAAGGACACUUCUGUACCACCUAAGUACCAGUUAAAUGACACGAGAUGAUACCAUUAAAGUAAGUGCGCAUGAAGUGCAAAUCAUGUAUCAACGAAAGCGCAUUGGCAUGUUUGUUUCUUUUGCGUAACUCUAAUCUAUGCAAAGUUGCAGCAGGAAAGUUUUGCCAGAACAUUGAUGAGUGCAUAUACAGCCUGAUCAAAAUCAAAUCCUAGCACUAAAUUAUAAAAUCUCUGCUGCUGCACUUUAUAGCUGCCCAUAAUAUUCUAGCCUGUGAUCAUAUAUCCCCAACACAAUGGAUUUUUCUUUUAAAUUUAAGAUGUAAGCUACAAAACCAAGCAAAUGCACAUACUAUAUCAAAGACAACAUCCAAUUUGUAAAGACAGCAGGAACUGCAAUAAAUUCUAGUGAAUUUCAAGCUCUCGUUCAUAUGACAAAAACUGCAGAUUGUAGCACAGUUUCUUUUGCAUGCUUAGGGCAGAGAAGUUUAGCUGAUACCUUUGCUUUUGCAUGCUCAAAAGCUGCUUCAGAAUAUAUUCGCACGUGUAUUCAAUGAAAUCAUAACAGGACAAAAGGUUGAGUCCAGCAAGAAAUUCUUCUGUCUGUAUCAUCUCAUCAAAAGGAAAACACUUGUGUCAACUCAUUUUAAGUAACUGGGAAAUAUCUGAUGAUACAUCAGACCCAUAACCAACUGAUUUUACUAUAUACUCUGCAUGGUAUAAGAAAAGAUCAGUUGUUUGUAAGAGAUAUGCUUAGAAGUUCACUAAUUCAUGCAAUAACAAAUGGAUUCACUGUGCCCAAGUUGCAAGAAAGACAGCAAUCAGAUCAACCCAUUAGAUACAAAUGCAAUCUCUAACUCUAAUUUACCAGAUAACCAUAAUUAAAGGAUUAUUGGAAGAGUUGUGACAUGAAAUUCAGAUGAGAAACUUGGAUUGUUGCUCUAGAAAAUUGAACUACUGGAUAACGGGGAUAAAUAUCUGUUACUCCUUACUUCAUUUCACCAUAAUCUCACAUGCAAAAAUUCAUUAUACAUCAAUCCUUGGUAGAGGCACUGCUUGUUGAAGUAAUAAACUCUGACAAAAACCACUUCAAGAAGUAACAAUAUCCCUUUCUAAAUUUGAACACAAUACUUAAGCAUGCAGUGUGACUUUUAGAAUGGGACAGUAUCCACCAAAAAAAUUUCAAGUUGAAUGCCAGUGUACUUGCGUCAUAUAAUUAACCGAUCCAUCUCCUUUCAGAUUAUGCAGUAAAGCAUGAAUUAAUAUGGUAAGCAGCAACACAAUUGAAAUUCUUGAAUAUCAUGAAAAACUUGCAAGAAGUACAAGUUUUGAAUGUACAGAUGGAUAAACCAUUUGCUAGAUUUCCCAAUUCAUGCAUAGGUCUACCCUUGUGGGCAAAAACAAACAAUGUUGGAUUGUAUGCAAUGCUGACAUGUAUAGCUAAGUAGUUUCAAGAUCUUGGUCCACUUGUUUGCAUAACUUUGGCAACAUUGAGCUACUAAAUAACUGGUUAUCAUUAGUCUAUUGCAUUGAUUGCAUUGUAAAUGAGGUAUGCCCCCCAUGUUAGCUUGUUGGCAGAGCAAAGCAUCUGCACAUCAUCCCUUUAAAUCUCAAAAUUGACAUAUUUUAUGAGCAGUACUUAAUUUCACAGCUUCGUCCUUGGAGCAGCAGAAUCAUCCUCAUUAGAUCAGGACUCGCAUUAUGCGGCUAAGGAAACCAUACAAGAGGCAUGCUUUCCAGUAAGCAACUAAACUGUACCUAUUUAGCCACGACUUGGCAACUUCAUCUGAUUACAUCACACAAGUCAAGUGUUUACUUCGAUUAGCAGCCUUCAUAUUGUGUUUUAGAUACAAUUUAUCACACACAAUCAAUUUAACUGAACCUAAUACAGAAACAAUCCACCAAAAGAAAAGAAACCACAAAUUGCAUGUUUUUCUAAGAAAGGUGAAACAAAAUUGAAUCCUGAUAUCCUAAUUUCGUUCUUCAAAAACAAGGAUGCGGCCAAAACAAUAGACACUGCACAAAUUUUACAACGUAACCGCAAGAAAUUCAAAUUUUUUAAUUGACUCCAAGAGAACCAAAAAAAAAAAAUUUACAAGUCAAUCUGAAUAUACCCUGAUAAUAAACAAAGAGCAAUUUCAGAUUUCCAACAUCAACUAAUCCCUCCUCCAAAUUCAUAAAUCAUCUUUCAAACUAAUGCUUGAUCAAACAACAAAUGAAGUUCCAAUGAAAGAAAAAAUAAUCAACCAAAUUUAUGCUAUUACGAAAAUAAGUAAACAUGAGAAUAAAAGGUACAAAAAAGUAUUACCCGUCCAUAGGCAUUGAUAUCGAGACCGUUAGCAAGCAGGUUGGCAAGAUCCUCCUUCAAAAACCUCUGCUUCGCCUCCGCUCUCUUCCUCACCACUUCGAUCCUCGUCCGAGUUGCCUUCAUUAGCGAUUUACUUCACACACAAAAAGAAAAAAAAAACAAAUAAAAAAUACUUAACUAAAACGCGCAUUAAUAAAAAAUCGAUAAACGUCACCUAUAAAAACAUAUAACAUUUUCUGAAACCUCAGCUCAUUGCUAUGAAUACUGAUAGAGAUCGGAUUGAAGGUAAGGGAACACAUACCAUUUGGAGCUGAAGCCACGGUUUAGUAAACCGUCAAGCAUCUUCAAAUCGAUUAUAAGAUUAAUUUCAACUUUUUUUUUCUGAGAAUGGGAAAUGAGAAGUGAUUUAGCAAUUGGCAGCAGUAUUUAAACUGAAUAGGUGCAAUAGAAGAACCAGCGGUUUUUGAGUUUUAACGUAUAAGGAAAAUCAAGUAGUAAUAGUAGUAAGCAGAUCCGCCAUUAUCGUUCAGUAGUCAGUAGUAUUAGUAGCUGUAUGAAAAAGUGAACUUUUUUUUAAAAAAAAUUCCUCUCCGUCGUUCUUCGUUUUGUGUUUUUUACCUCAACAGAGAGCAUAAGAAAAGAGUAAUGGUAGUGAGUCGGGUGGGGCAGGACAGCGAGGGAAAGUCACAUGGAUGCUGGAUGAUGGACGGAUGGCUUUUUCCGCAUGACAACGUGGUCAAGAGAGUCAACCCAUUUCAAAUUCUCAUGUUUCCGUUAUUAUUCUAUUUCUGUUUCUCUUUUUUUUAAGAAGAAAAUUCAUAUAGAGAGAGUUUGGAUGCACAUUUCUCAAUCAACUCUUUUUAUCUCAAAAAAUGUUAUGGUAUAUUUUUCUACAAAAAUUUUUAAAAUAGCAAUUCAAACCGAGUCUGAAUCUAUUUCACAUUUCCUUAUAUCAUUUUCAUAGAGAUAUUUUUAAGGGUGGCAAUGAAACAGAGUUGAGGUGGAAGAAAAAUCCCCUACCCCCGUUCCAUUGUCAAAUAAUUUCUCUUAUCCCUUAUCACAUCCCCGCCUUGUCUCAUCCCACGACUCGUUGUCAAAUAAAUAUAGUAGAAUUCUUUUCGAAAAGUAAAAUAUAAAGGGAGAAGAUUUCAAUAAAUAUCCUAGUUUGAACUUUAAACAAUUGAACUUGAUAAAGACGAAAAUGUAUAAAAUCGUGAAAUGUGUUGGUUAUCUUAGAUUUAUGACAAAGGAAAAAAACAGAGAAUUGACAAACUAAUUUGAUUUUUUUUAAUACUAUAGGAAAUUGUUUUGCUUGUGAAAGUUGAUGUAACUUUUUUUUCCCUAAGCUGACAUAAUUUUUUUUUUUUAACUCAAACCAUAAAAACACUGUAAAGGGAUAGUGGCAAUACAAAGAAUUUGAACAUAAUGAGAAAAAGGAGGGCCACUAGAGCAAACAAAAUGCACCAUACUCGAAUACAACUGUUUGGGUGCUUCGUCUUUUUGCCAAGUCCAAAAUUUCAUUCUUGAUUGUCCAGGGGAGAUUAUUUGGGAAAAAAUGAUUUAAAAUGACAUUAUAGCAUUUUUUUUUUGCGAUGUAAUAUAUAUAAAAUAAAAAUUACAUUAAUAAUACGAACAUAAUAACAUUUGAAAUUCUUUUUUUUUUUUUUUCAAAUUAUAGCAUCCAAACGGAAUAUUACCACAUCCGAAUUGUUUGUGAAGUGUUGUUCAUUUUAUGUUCCAUGCUCAAAGUAGAAUAAUUCCCUUUCAACCAGACCGAAAAGACAAAAAUUUCUUAAACAAAUGGUUUUAUUUUUGACUGAACCACUAACUGAAAUGGAAUGGUUCAAUAAUGGAUAUUACUAGCAACUGACUUCAGUUGGGAAGCGUCCAGUUAGGUAUACCUUCUCACCCUUUGUCCCAAAACUUUGGCUAUGCUUAUGAUUAGAUGCGAAGACUCUGACAAAACUGGUUGGUUGGUUAGGUAAUAAUCUAACACCAAUGUGUAUGCGGAACUCAAUCCACUUAUCAUAAAUUAAUCUACAUACAUUUACCCGCUGCUGUUCCAUUGGCGUUGAGCCCGCUACAGGCUGAUAGGAGUAGACAGAGAAAUGAGAAGCAUUGACAUAAAUAGAACGCGUGCCAUUUUUUCUUCGUUCGAAAGAAUGAAGUUCGUGCAAGUGCUAAGGGUUCUUGAUCCAAAAACCUUGCGGGAAAAUCAGGAAUUCUUGACCCCUACUUGAUUCAUUAGAAGGACAGUAGUAUUGUUACACGAGGACGUGGAUCAUUAACCUCUAGCUAAAAUUAAACCUAAUAAUUAAUUUACCAUCUUCGCAUUUGAAUCCGUACAGCAGCAUUUGCAUUUGCAUUUGCAUUUGAAUCCAGGAGGCUCAAAAGAGUGUGAAUGCACAAACGAACUAGAAAACGGAGGUCCUAGCAGAACUAACAGAAUGCAGAGUAGUUAAAACUUUUUCUGAAAUAAACACAGAGAACCUGCUUUCCUUCGUCUUCUGCUGGCAAAUAGACGGAUGAAAUUCGGGAAGCACUCGAAAUUAUCAGAUGGAGCUUUACAGUUUACACGCUACUAAUUAGAAGAAUACAUUGUGGGCUCAAAAUAUCUCAAAAAGAUAAAAAUAUAAUUAUGAACUAACAAAAUAGAUGCAACCUAAGUAACCAAUUUUCACAUUGAACCCCCAGGAAAGCGGCGGGCAGAAUAACUGAUGCGACUUGUAAAAUCAGUAGUGUCCCAGUUCCCUUCCCGGGAUUUAUUUUAUUCUCACAAAGCAUGAGAGACUAAAAGCAAAAAAGAAGGAUUUGUGAAGCUAGAGAAGGUGGAAAUACUACUACCAUCGACAAUCCGGUUACGCCAAACAUCUCAAGAAAUUAAUUAGUACAUUAAACAGAAGAUUGUCACGGUCAAACAACUCUUGCCUAACCAAUCUAUUCAGCGAGUCGUUCUCAGGAAGAAGAUCGCCGUAAUAGAGCAUGGUUGUAAUUGAAGCGGCCGGCUGCGCCACCAAUGAUUUCACGAGUCUAACCAGCGACCGGAACAUCAGCGCUGCAAGAAACUGCAGUAAGGAGCAAAAAAGUUUCAAAUUAGAAAUUUUAAAAGCACAAACUUUUAUCCGUCAGGAGAGCAGAUACUAAUCUACAGGAAAAGGACGACUAGACGUUAAUUCUGAUGAUUGAGGAGUAGAGUGAAAAAGCAAGCAUACCAUAGUAAGGAACAGCGCCAAAACUAAGUAUAGAGUUUGGUGUUUGAUGGAUUUUAUUCUGUUCAAAUGGGUUUUCAGCGGACAUUCAGACCUACCGGUCCAUGCUUUGCCUUAGUAAAUGCUGACAGAUGAAGCUAUUCAAGGCAUUGGAAAAGUAAUGCUGUAAUACCGCGAAAAGCAUAUUAAGGCCAGUAAAUGCGAAUUACAAAUGGUAGUUGCCCUUGAACAAGGGAACUGGCAGGAAGUACGAAUGUCAGUUAUGCUGUGGAUGGCUCCAAGAUGGAAGUGCACAGGAUUUUCCCACAAGUGCUGAAAGUCAGAGUAAGUUAGCUGAGAUAUAUUACCGAUUGGGAAUCAUGGCAAGAGAAAAUUUGAAAAACUUUAAUAGGCAUUACAAGCUAGAAGGUGCAAGGCAACAUGAGCAAUUACACCAGCUAAAAUAGGAACAGCAAUCGUUUGUCAGCCUUUGGACUUAUGGUUUUGACUUCCCUAAAAAGCGCCUCCGUGCUAUUGAUAGCCUAGAUUUAGCAACUCUGCCCUGCUCCUCAUCACUAUCCUCGCUAUCUAACACAAUCACUGAAUAUGCGUUACAUGAUGGAGAAGUUUCUUCCUGUUUAUUCAUCUCCCCCAAGAACAUUGCUCUACAAUCUUGCUUGGGUCGCUCAAGCUGCUGCUUCUCAUCAUAGCAGCUCUCAGGUUGCUCAGAAGGAAUCUUAGAUGGUCUCAAAGACUGCAUUUCAAACUGGUUAUUGAUAUUAAUGCUCGAGUCACCAAGAGGUUUCAAUGGCUGUCCCUGCACUGUCCUGGACAACUUGUUAGGUAAGUAUGUGGUGUGGUUCUCCAUGCCCCUCUCAUUACAAUGACCAGUUUCUGAUGCCUCUGACAAACUGGAGGAUAUUGUACGAUUCUUGCUCUCCCAUGCAAUGUUGAAGCUUGAAUUUGGGUCCAGGUUCUCUAUGUUAUCCUUUUGCUGACCUUGAUACGAACUUAACUUCCAGAGAGCAGACUUCCUGCCGGCCAAACCUAGCUUCCUUUGUUUUAUCCUGGUGAAGUCAUUAGCAUCUCCAUUAACAAUUUGACCAUGUUGUUCUCUGCCAUCAUGUUUAAUCGUUUGGGCCAAUCCAAAGUUUUUGUGCAACUCACGAGAGUGAAACUGAAUGUCAGACUGCUGAGGAACAGAAAGUAGCUUCUCAUCAUCAUCCCCAGUUCCUUGGUUUGAGUCAAGAGACUCUAGGAAUGGCUUCUUCUCCAACUUGGUUUCUGUGCUGUUACUUUUUGAAAUACCAUCACCAUCUUUAUUUUUAUUCUGAGAAUACAAAUCAGGCUGCUCCAAGGGCCCAGAUUUCGAAGAAGAUGUUAUCAAGCUUUUGCAUUCUGAAGUGGCUGAACACUCAUUUGACACCACACGGAUCACGUGAUUAUCAUGCUUCACAACAGAAGGUUCGAGUGACAGUUUCUUCCUCGUUCUAGGUGGCUCUUGAUGAGUUUGGUUAUGAUCAUUGGAUGUUAUCAUUGAAUCUUUUUUCAAUCCUUUAAGUUCCAGCAGUUUUUCAUGGAGAUGGCUACUUGGGGCCUGAUUUACACCCUUUCCUUCAUUACUUCUUUGAUCUAACUCUGAAGACUCCAAUGACAACUUCCUGCUGAUUCCACAUAAUCUCUUGUGCCCGACUUCAUACUCGUCAACUCUUUUUUCCUUGACUGAUGUAUCCAUUCCUUCAUUAACUUCUGCCUGCAUAAAGCGUGUAUGAGUACCUAAUCAGAAACUCACAGAUAUGGAGAUGCUAGAGCAGAAAACUUACUAGUUGGAUGCUUGGCUUCAGGACAGCCUGAGAACCUUGCCCUCUACCAGCAAUUUCACUUUCACCAAUCCUGGUAUACUUUUCAGUCAAGGAUCUUGCCUUCUGAUCAAAAGCUUGUCUAUUAUAUUUGUACUCCUGGCUCUGUACGUUAAUCAGAACAAAUUACAGAACUAGGUAACCUGCUCACAACGAGCAUUUUCCACAGCAAUUGAAAGUGUGAUUACUCACAGCUUCAUGCAUCAGGCCAUCAUCAGGAUUUGGUUCACUCAAUAACAACCCGAUGCUUGUUAAGACAGUUGAGAUGUUCAGAGAUGGUUGCCAUGCACCCUGCAAAAUUGAAAGCCACAUCACCAGCCAAGCAAAUUAAACUAUAAUGCUUUUCAAUAAUCUGCCUGUAGGAGAGAAAACUAAGGGCACAUGGUCCACCAAAGUCAGCAAACAGAGGGCAGGGUCUAAGAAGCAUCUAGUAUCAUCAAUUAGGCCGCUAACAAAGAUCCCUCCCGAAGAGCCAGAUAAUACAUAUUGCCUUUUUUUAAGAUGCUAUUCCUCAAGUUGUAGUUAAAAUGAUGUGAGGAAACAUGAGAAUAUUGUCAACUGGUGAUAAUACACAAAAAGUCAGGUGCUAUAAUUUGGACAUCUCCAUGAUUGUGCCUGAGGAACCUUUGGAUGCAAACAUUGAUCAACCUAAUGAAACAAUACGUUUGAGUGCUUUUUGAGGAAAUGAAUUAUUCCGACAUAGAACGAGAAAAUUAAGCAUUAAGAAAUGAAUAGGGCUAUAAAAUUGGUGUCCAGUUUUUGUGACCCACGCAUUCUGGCAUCAUUUCAAUUUUUAGAACUCUAUGCAGAAGUCGAGAAUUGAGAUAUCUUUAAAGAACUGAGGGAUGCAAAUAAAACUGGAAAAACCUUGGGAGGAAGAUUGAGGAUAUCCAGGCAAAUGCGGCCUCCGUUGUCAAUGUUGGGAUGAUAUAUUGGGGUGGCAAAGGUCACCAUAGGAGGCUGAAAUGGGUACCUAGGCACGACAAGGAAUAGUCUCAAUCUAAAUUAUCGCCGGUGACGGAAUUUAUCCAUAUAUAAAAGAGAAAGAAUAUCACAAUCCACCAAAAAGAAGGGGGAUAAAAGUAAGAAAAGUAAUACCUAUCAGGUAUUUGAAUCUUUAACCUAAAGACCCCUUUAGCAUAAACAGUCCCUUCUGGGCCUUCAAUCUCUGUACAAAUACACCAUGUUAAGUGGAUCAAUGCAAACGUAGAUGCAAGUGAAAGUAGCAAUGAUAGUAUGCAUAAAGACAUAAUUGCGGAAGACUUACGGGCAUCGAUGGAUGUAAGAGAAGGGGCGGAGGAGGAGGAGAGGGAAGGGAAAGAGGCGCCGGGAGGUGGGUCGGUGAGGAGUAACUUGAGCUCUUUCUGCAUCCGGAGAUUGAGUCUUGCUGCUUGUACCUGUGCCAUUCCUUUUCUCGAUUUUUUUUUUGGAAUGAGUCCUUCCCUGCUUAUUGUUUCCUAUGGGUAAGGUUUGAUCUUUCUGGCAAUUACCAAUGCCAUAGAAGAUGAUUGAAGAGGAAAGGGUGUAAAAGUAAAACCGCAAACUGCUGAGAGGGGAAUGCGAAGGUGAAAAGCGCGCGGUUUGCCCGAAAUUUAAACCCAAAAAGAGCGACACGGUGCAUUUGGACCCAAACGAAAAUGAGAGCCAAAUGUCCAGUCCAAUCCAAUCCAAUCCAAGGGGAAAAAGAAAACAACAUUAAUAUAUGUUUUGUUGAGAGUGGGAUUUGAACCCACGCCCUUUCGGACCAGAACCUUAAUCUGGCGCCUUAGACCAACUCGGCCAUCUCACCUAUGCAUGUGGACCCAAACGAAAAUGAAGGUCAGAUGUCCAGUCCAAUCCAAUCCAAGGAGAAAAAGAAAGCAACUGCUAUAAAAAGUUUGUUGAGAGUGGGAUUUGAACCCACGCCCUUUCGGACCAGAACCUUAAUCUGGCGCCUUAGACCAACUCGGCCAUCUCAACUAUGCAUGUGGACCCAAACGAAAAUGAAGGUCAGAACUCAGAUGUCCAGUCCAAUCCAAUCCAAUCCAAGGAGAAAAAGAAAGCAACUGCUAUAAAAAGUUUGUUGAGAGUGGGAUUUGAACCCACGCCCUUUCGGACCAGAACCUUAAUCUGGCGCCUUAGACCAACUCGGCCAUCUCAACUCUGUUGUUGCAAGAGAAUAAAUAUAACUAAUAAAUAAUUUGCUUAUUUCGGGUUUCCAAUCAAAAAUAUUAUGUGCCAGGUAAUCCCUAAUUUUUAUACGAUAAUGUGCUUAAUCUGACUAUAAAUCUGGUCGAAGUCCGUUGAGAAUUUUGAAAACAAAGUAGUAAUUGCAAUACUUGGGGCAAAAUCGAGCCCAUGAUGAUAUUUUUGAGGCCAGCCGAAAUUUGGAACUAACCUUCAAAAAAGAAAAUUCGAACUUCAACUGUUCUAAAAUUGUUUUUUACCGGCAUCAAGUAGGAAACUUCGACGAAAAAAUGGGUAGUAAAAGAUUACAUGCUAUUCGUUUUCAAUGAUUGUAUCUGUAUGUAUUUCAAAUUUUUUGACAAAAAAAAAAUAAGAAAAAAAUAUUUCAAUUGUAUGAGCCACAUAUUUUUUAUGCGAUUCACAUCUGCCAGAAAUCACUACCGUGCCUCAAAAUCAUUCCAUUGCCUCCAUAAUGGAGCUUUUAUAACUUGGUUUUCCCACAUUUGAUCAAUUGAAUGGCAGCCAAAAAAAAAAAAGAAAAGAAAAGAAGAUUAAAAACAUUUGAACUUUAAAAUACAAGUUCAGCAUUUGACGAGCAACAUUUCAAUAAUUUAAUUGCAAUGCAGUCCAGUUCAAUGCCAAUAAAAAGUAAAAACACUCUCUCUGUCAACUUAUUCAUUUAACUAGUAGAUCACACAAAGGUGAAGUGGGGAGGGGGUCAUCAUUUCAAACUUAUAUACUAUGUUAAAGGCUCGCUUUUUUAGAAAUUUUAACCGCUCAUGCACAAAAUUUUUACUGUAUAGCCUGUGCUUUGGUCUCUUAAUCUGUACGCAGCAAGAAAUAAAUAAAUGAAUCUCCGUUGAUAAUUAAUGGUUGAGACUUGGGGCACAAGUCCACGCGGUAGAGGCAAGAAGUGUAUCAUCCAGUAUUAGUUAAAACGUCCAUGUGAUGUAGGUUGAAUGUCAAUUGGUCAUUUCGAUUGUGUAUGUGUGGAUUAAAGUUUAAGCGUGCUUCAACGCGUACUCUGAACCAUCUCUUUUAAUUUCCACUUCGUGCACUGUGUUUUGUAGUUUUUUUUUUUUUCGCUUCUAUCUUUUUCUUUUCCGUUUUCCUCUUGCUUCAUCUUUAUUCUUCAAAAGAAGAAGAAAAAAACUCAUCGAUGUGAGGAGAAAGAAACAAAAUUGGCAUUUCAUUCACUUCGGGUGAAGCACUUGCUGUGCAAUUAAAAUAUGGUGCACUUUCUCUGCAAUUAGCAUGAAUUAGUUGUUGGUUAAAGUCUAUUGACUCUUGAAUGCAUAUUGUGUAUGAUCUACAUCUCUUUGACUUACUUAUUUUAGCGCUAUACGAUACUUUCACUACUCCAGUGCUAUAAAAUAUAAUCUCGAAAGAUUAGAGGGAAAAAAUGGUAACAGUGGCGGCGAUUAAGAAAGCAGAGUAACGUGUUAAAAUUGACCGAUCUUCGGGCAAGUAAAUGAAAUUAUAACAUAUUUUUACUUUACAUAUAUUAAAUCGUUGUCGUAUAUUUUUAUACAAAAAUUCCUAAUCAAACGGGAAUUGUUGUCAAGUGUAUUUAUUCCAAUCUCCUGCAAGACCUGAUUACUAGAAUUUGCUCCUCAGAAUUUUGAGAAAUAAUUAAAAAAAAAAAUCGUUGGACUUUGAUGUACAACCCACUGCACCACCGUCGGGAAUAGAAUAAGCAUUAGGCAUAAUUUCAAAAACUUCCCUUGAGAUUUUUAACAAUUUUACCUAGUUCUCUUGAGGUUUGAAAAAUUACUUAUACCUCUCCCGAGUUUAUCGUUUCCGUAACAAAAACUAUUUAAUGAUCAAAAUUUUGAACGAAUAACCCAAAAUGCCCUCAUAAAAUUGUGAAGUUUAUUUUAUCUUUUUUUUUUUAUAAAAUUAUUCAAAAGCUAUGCAGUUGUAAAACCUCAACAAUUUCUAAAUUCUAAAACCUCAAUCGAAAUUUAAAAAAUUUGUAAUGUUAAACUAAAAUUUUUUUAAUAACCACAUCAAUAUAGCAUCCUAUCCCUCAACUAUUUGAGUAUCAAUACCAGUUCUAUCCUUUUUAAACUCAAUUUACAUAAUUUUCUAUGCAUCUUCAGAUCCUCCAAGUAAAGCUAAAAUUAAUUUUAAUAUAUUAUUAUUGUGUUUAGAACAUGAUCAAUUAUUCCACGAGGGGAUUUUAUUUUUAUUUCUAUUAAAUGCCUAUUUGUGUGAUGCAUUCAUAUGAACAAGAUUAGGAGUGAAUUGUUUAAUUGCAUGAAAAGAUUGUUAACACCACGAGGGGAUUAUAUAUGUUAAGAUUGUUAUGGUCAUUUUGUACGAUCAAAAGAGAUAUGUAUAAUAUUGAAAAUCUCGAGGGUACUAGGUAAAAUUGUCAGAAACUUUGAGGGAGGUUUCUGAAAUUAACCCUAAGCAAUAUGAUGAGCAAUUUGUUUUUUUUUUUAAGAAAAAAAAUUUUGUUUUGGCGAAGGUCAAGUGUAGAUACGUAAGAUAGUCUAUAUAUGUUUUUUUGUAUGGGUUGGAGAGAGAGCGAGGGGGGCGGGGGUGUGUUGUGCAGGCGCGCGAAUUGCUAUGGUCUUCCAUUUGCUUUAAAGUCAAAUUAGACGCUCCUCCUACCACCAGUAAGUGUCAUAGUACAAGUGUACAACCAAAUUUACGUACCAGAUACCACUGCUACUAUUACAACCUCGCUUGGAAGGGGAUUUUUCAUUAAAAAAAAAUUUUUUUUUCUUCCUUUUUUUAAUUAUUUUUUAUUUCAUAUAUAUUGUUAGAUCGUUAGUAUAUAUUCUUCAAAAUUUUCAGAAAAUUAUAAUCCAAACACGUUAGCAUCCAAACUGACUGGAAAAAGAAAAAAGAAAAAAGAAGCGAUUUCUCGAUACAUGGCCAGGGUCCCAGGUGUCCCCAGUCUCCUCCAUUGAAAGAGAGAGAGAGGGAGAGAAGCGCCCGGUCUUUGUUUUCAAAAGUUUCAAAGCUACUCAAUUUCAAUGAUGAUACCUUCCUUUCAAAAAAGCCUCCAAACUGAAUUGUGAACCCCCUCUUGGCCUUAACACCUCCAUCCCAGCACGCCUAACCAGUAACCUCCUCUCUUCCAUCUUUGAUUCCACCUGUUCUUUCUUUCACGCUUUCACAUGAGUAGCCAGGCUGCUCUUGAACAAAUUUUCUGUCUUUUCAACUACCACCGCCAUCUCCAAUCUCCAAUUUGUUUCUCCUUUUUCAUCCAAAGCUCUCUCUCUGUCUUCCACCCUGCCCCCCUCCCCUCGGCCCCUCCUUUGCUUUGCAGGACCGACAUUAACGCUUCUGUUCUCCACUUCUCUUGAAAAUCAGUUUUCCUGCCUCACCUUACCGUUUUCUUAUUGCAGUCAAAGCCCAAUAGAGAAAUACUCAAGCAAAGAAAACCAUUCUAAUCGACUCGAUCAGUGAAGAAGCAGCAGCUGAGAAUCCGCAAGAAGAUGAACGUGGUGGGGAGGCAAAUGCAGAGAUCUAGUUCAACCGGAGGUCACCACCAGCGUCAGUACUCCGACAACUUCAUUGAUACUGCCUUCAACAACAAAUGGCUUCGGUCAGUUGGUCUUCAUCAUCUUCACUCCUCCAAUUCCUCCAUUCCUCCUCUUCAGGUUAAACAUUGUUCCUUUUUUUUUUUUUUUAUCGACGUCGAUACCAUACUCCUUUUCCUUUUCCUUAAGGUUGAUGAUUGCAAUUAUACUUGCAUUUGUUUUUCAUAUGCAUAAAUUGCCGCACUCUGAGCAGUUUUUACUCAAGCCGACUAUCAUCACUUAUUUAUAUAGUUAUGUUUGUGUCAUGCAACUCCCUCAUCUCGAGAAUCUGACUAUAGCCCUGUAGUUCGGGGUCUCUUUUCAUCAUCUUGCGACUGGCGUUUGAUUCUUCCUGUCACCAUCCCCUUCUGACCCCUCCCCUUGUUAAUUGGUAAUUCCUAAAUGCUGGCAUUUGAAUUGGUAAUGUUGCAGGAUUUUGGGUUUUUUGGCGCUAAUGGGGGAGGCCAGGGUUCAAAAUGGGGAAAGAAUGGGCAGAGAGGUGUAAGUGGUGGAGGAGGAGAUGAGGACCCAUCCUCUCCCACGGCUUCUUCCAGGUCAUCUAGCAUGAGGAAGAAUGGAAAUGGAGUUGAAGUGUUGCCAGGUGAACUCAGCCCUGGAUUGCUUGAUUUGCAUUCAUUCGAUACAGAACUUAUACCUGAGGUUUGUAAACUUUUCUUCUUUCAAGCCCCUCAUGUUCUUAUCUUGCCUGUCAUUUAUGAAUGAACUUGUCCAGUGGAUGAAGUCUAUGUGAACUGAUGCGGGCUGUUUUUUGUCUAUGCUGCUGAGAAGCAUAAAUUAGGAAUUCUACCUUUUGGAAUCCUAAAAGUUAUUGUGUUCUUGAGAGCUAUUACAAGUUCUGUAUGACAUAAUGGUAGACGAAUGUGACAAGUUCUAUGUCGGAAAUUAAAUUUGCAUCAGAGCCAUGGCUUACUUGUAAUUUGACAUUUCGUGGGUUUUAACAUAUUAGCAAUCUCUACUUUGCAGUUUCCUUCCCAGAAUGAUGGAUCUUUACUCAAUCAACCCCUUUGUGGUAGAAGUUUUGAUGAUUCUAGGCCGUGCAUCUCAGCUAAAUAUAGUAAGAAUCCUCGAGGUUUAUCUGAUAAUGAUCUUCUCAAAAGCUUCUCCGCAGAUAAAGAGAAAGCUAAUAAUGUUGCUAAGAUCAAAGUUGUGGUAUGCCCUUCUUCUUUUUCUUUCUUUGAAAGAAGCUCGUAACCUGGUCUUUUCUAGUUGAGAGAUUACAUUUAGAGGACUUUAUGUAAUUGUGGCUAAGUUUACAAUAUAGCUUUAUUUGGGUCCCAUACUUUGACUUAUAGUACCAGUGAAAAAUUGCAACUGCAAAUGCAGGUGCGUAAGAGGCCGCUCAAUAAAAAAGAAAUUGCAAAGAAAGAAGAAGACAUCAUAACAAUAGAUCCAAAUGCUAAUUCACUCACUGUCUAUGAGACAAAGCUCAAAGUAAGUUUCUGUUGGCUCGUCUUUGCUACAGCUAUUUUCUUGCACAAGUUUACCUGUUCAGAUGUUAGCCUUCCUCUCGUAAAUGCUGCUGUCUUCUCGAUCUUAGUUCCUGGAAUUCUCGUUACCUCAUUUGGCAGGUUGACCUGACUGAGUAUGUUGAGAAGCAUGAAUUUCUUUUUGACGCUGUGAUGAAUGAGGAAGUCUCUAAUGAUGAGGUGAGUACUUCACAGGACUUAUUAUCUCUUCUAAAAAGUAAAUCUGUUAAUGACCUUUCUUAAUGUGACAGGUUUAUGCUGAAACUGUUGAGCCCAUAGUCCCAAUUAUAUUUCAAAGAACAAAAGCAACUUGCUUUGCGUACGGCCAAACAGGCAAGUAGUUGACUCUUUUUUUUUUUCCAAAUUUUUUGGAAGUGCAGUUCCUUGGCUUGUGUCUAUAACAUGACUUAACAUAGAAAGUUAUUUUGACGCAUAUAUCAUUAACUAGACUCCACAGGAGAUCCUUAAAUUUUAAAAUGUCCCGCAGAUUCUGAAGAACGAUUUUUGAUCUCCCUCUAACAAGUUAUCAUUCUAUAUAUUGAAACUAAAACAGCGUUGCACUUUUCAAAGUGAAGAUUAACUGUUUCUUGUUUUAAUGACCUCAGCUUUUUAUUCUUAAGAUAAUUAUGCCUUUGAUAAUUAUAUCUUUGGCAAUAUUGGAUAAGUUUGUCUUGAAGAUAUUAAAAAUUUACUCCGGUUGCCAGCAUGGAAUGUUCCUCAAUGUUUUGCCAAAGCCUUUUCUCAUCAAGCAGAAGAGUAAGAACCAAAGCCUGAUAUUUGGUGUUCAGAGAUCUGAUGUAUUGAUAUUGUAGCUACUCUUACAUGAACUCUUUGUUCUGUUAAACAUGUAAGUUUAGCUGAAUAUAUUGUACUUACAUAAACUCUUUGUUCAGUUAAACGUGAUAGUUUAUGCUGCUGUGUUGGCUAAGGAUGCUGAUUCAGCUCUUUAUUUGGUCAACCUUGGUUUCUUAGAUAAGCAUAUAUUUUAUCAAACCGUCCUGUUUUUGGGUCUUUUCAAUCUUUCAGCUCAUUGGUCAUGUUUAAUUGCUGAGGUUAAGUUGUUCAUGAGCUUUUCUCAGGCAGUGGGAAGACUUACACUAUGCAGCCAUUGCCGCUGAAAGCUUCUCAGGAUAUACUGAAGUCAAUGCAAAACAAUUAUCGAAAUCAAGGAUUUCAACUUUUUGUCAGUUUCUUUGAGAUAUAUGGAGGCAAGGUUUUUGACCUGCUAAAUGAUAGAAAGUGAGCCUCUGACUUUGUAUAACAUUUUGACUAGGCAGAGGUUUUACUAAAUUUGCUUUUCAUUAAAGAGAAACUUUCUUUGUGUCAGCAAGCUAUGCAUGAGGGAGGACGGGAAGCAGCAGGUCUGUAUUGUAGGUUUGCAAGAAUACAAGGUAUCCACUGUGGAGACAGUCAGGGAGUUGAUUGAGAAAGGAAAUGCAACAAGGAGUACUGGAACCACUGGUGCAAAUGAGGAAUCCUCCCGUUCGCAUGCCAUACUUCAGCUCGCCAUCAAAAGAAAGGUUGAUGACAAUGAUUCAAAACCAGCUCGACUAGUUGGCAAGCUAUCUUUCAUUGAUCUUGCUGGAAGCGAACGUGGGGCUGAUACAACUGAUAAUGACAAACAAACUAGGUAGCAUUAGAUUAGAUAGAUCUGCUAUGUGUAUGAGUAAGAAUUGCAAGAAAUUGUCAACUUAUUUGAGGAUCACUGAAUCUUACCUUCUUUUGCAGAAUGGAAGGUGCUGAAAUUAACAAGAGCUUACUUGCUCUAAAAGAAUGCAUUAGAGCUCUUGACAAUGACCAGGGUCACAUUCCAUUCAGGGGGAGUAAACUGACUGAAGUUCUGAGAGAUUCAUUUGUUGGUGACUCCCGUACAGUGAUGAUAUCCUGCGUUUCACCAAAUUCAGGGUCAUGUGAACAUACUCUGAACACUCUAAGAUAUGCUGACAGGUAAAGCCAUCAUGUAAGAGAAGUUUCAUGAAGUUAAAAUGUACUUUGCUUUAGAAAGGUCUAAGGUUCAAUUGCAUAUCAGGGUUAAGAGUCUAUCUAAGGGGAACAGCUCAAAGAGGGAACCGCUGUCCACAUUAAAUCUUCGUAGUUCAACUCCAGUGCCUUUGUCCUCAAUCAGUCAAGUUGUGUCAGGCCCUGAGGAUAAUGUAUUUGGUGGGCUGCAGAACCAAGAGCUCAGCAAACUUGGAUGGCCUAAACAACAAGAAAGGGAAUCCUCACUAUCUUCCAACAUUGAGCGUGUUCCUAGUGGUCAAGCACAGAGCAAUUUGGCUGCCACAGUGCAUAUAGAGAAUCACAAGCAAUUUGGUCCAAGUAUUGAUCGUGUUCCUAGUGGACGAGCCCAAUGGAGUAGUCUGGUUCACACAAAUGAAGAUAAUUUUGAUGGCUCUAAAGGGAUCUCUGACCAUGCAUCUUGGUCUAUAAAUCCAAAAUUGGAUAGCCAUCAGCUACGAAAUAUAGAUGAUAAGACUGGAAACGUAAAGUAUGGGGACCCAUCUGAACUUGAGCCAAGUAGCUUGAUCGCAGAAGAUGAUCUUACUGCUUUGUUAAAGGUAAAAGCAAUAUUUGAUCUUGGUUUACUUGUCAAAAGAUAAAAUAACAACUGCUAAGUUAAAAUUCUACUUGUUUGAUGUCAGGAAGAGGGAGAUCUUAUCAAUGCUCAUAGAAAACAAGUUGAGGAAACUAUGGAAAUUGUCAAGGAGGUUGGUUAUUCAGUGCUUUUUGCCUAUCUGCGUACAAUAAGUUUUAAAAUACAGUUAAGUAUUAAGCUGCAUCUCUUGUUUACUGUGUUUCUCUAUGCAGGAGAUGAGUCUAUUAGUUGAAGUUCAUGAACCCGGUAAUCAGCUUGAUGACUAUAUUUCUAGACUGAAUGCCAUUCUAUCCCAGAAGGCUGCUGGAAUUCUGCAAUUGCAAAAUCGCUUGGUAGAAUUUCAAAAGCAUCUUAAAGACCACGAGGUUUUCUUAUUUCCUUCUGGUCAUUGAGUCAACUGUUGAGAUUCGACAGAAACUACCACUUAUACAGAGUUAGCCUCAAAUUGGUGAUACUAUGACUUCUUGGUCCUACCUGGUCUGCAAAUUUUAGGUUGGUUGCUUUGAGAUCUACUUCCGGGGGACAAUACUACUAGAUGUACAGACUUACCGAGCGGAUUAUGGAAGGCUCAUCAAACGAUGCAGAAAUGCAGUAAUUAGAUGUUCAAUCGAAAUGCUGCCAAUAGCUAUAUGGGACGGGUUAUGCAACUAUUGGCAGUGUAUCUUGGAGCCUCAGAAGUCUCAGCAUGUUGAAAGAUAUUGUAAGAAACUUUGGAUUGGGCUUGUGCUGGUGAAAAUUUUCACCCCAAUUGUUGGUUAUGUUGUAUGGGUGACGGUACGAGAAUGCCUGUCAUCUGCUUUGUGUGCAUAUAAUGGGUACCGUUCCUUGGAGUUUGCCAUGUUAUUACAUCCCGACUCCUAAGAUAAAACUACAACUCAACCUAAAGUGUAUUUUCAUUUGAGUGCAUGAGGUAAUCGCUAGAUAUCCGUAUGUUAUUUCUAGACUCACAGAAGUAACGAACUUUGACCGCAAGCACCGUAUCUCACUUGUCCCUAUGGAUAGCAAAAGUAGUUUUUCAGAAGAGAGAUUAUGGCAACUUGUUUUCAUCCCUCAUGAUGAAUCUACAGGGAAAUAUUUACACAAAUAUUGAAGUUCUUUAAGGAGACCAUUAAUUCGGCAAAACACAAAUCUAUAAAUCAACGGGUUAUAUAUAACAAAAAGAUGAGGAAUCAGCUAGAUCAAAUUGCAAGGAGGCCACAGGGUUCGAUCUCCAUCCGACCCAUCAUCCAAACACUUGGGAUCCUCGGUUACAUUACACUUGGGAUCCUCGGUUACAUUUUUUUUAGUGCCAACCCAAUGCCACCACUAGAAUUGUGUCAAGUGUCUUGUUGUCAUUAGCAUUUUAAUUUUUUAUUAACUCAAAUUGGUUCAAAAUUAACACAAAUUUUCUUAUUCUCUAAAACUCUAAACCAAAAGGCACCCGGCCGGUCUAACUCCUGCAUCGAUAAUUUUAUACCGCUGCUGCUUUGGGGAAAAAGAAUAAGAAAACCCUCUGUUUCCGAUGAUUGCCUUCAUUUGUGGCUUGAUCGAUGGUGUUCCAGUAAACCAUUAGCCCAAGAGCUUUGUGUCGUGGAUCCGCCGCAUCAGUUGGUUUCAGAUUUCUUUGGUCCAAGAAUUUGAUGGGGCAAGGAGUUAGCAUUGGGAUUCGGAGUUCAACCAAUGAAUGCGUCUGCAAGGUUGAUAUUAAGCCUUGGUUAUUUACUCCAAGAAAAGGGUUCAGAAGUUCAGAGGCCAAUUCCACUGCAAUUGACAUAUAUUGGGAUUUUUCAUCCGCAAAAUUUGGUUUUGGCCCGGAACCGCUAGAGGGGUUCUAUUUAGCUGUUGCAUUUAACCAAGAACUUGUCCUGCUCCUCGGGGAUUUGCAAAAGGAAGUGUAUAAGAAAAUAGGUCCUAGCCCUGUUGAAUCUAAUACGGUGUUUAUUGCCAAAAGAGAGCACAUCUUUGGGAAGAGAGUAUACACUACAAAGGCUCAAUUCUGUGACCACGGGCCGAUACAUGACAUCGAAAUUGAGUGCGAUACUGGGGGGAUUAACGAUCCAUCUCUGGCCAUCAGCGUGGAUAGCAGAGCGGUGUUGCAGGUGAAGCGGCUGCGGUGGAAGUUCAGGGGGAACCAGACUAUUUUGGUGGAUGGACUGCCGGUGGAAGUGUACUGGGAUGUUCACAGGUGGUUCUUAGGGAAUGUUAUGGGCAAUGCUGUUUUCCUGUUUCAAACCUGUCUCUCGGCCGAGAUGCUGCGAAACAGAGGGUUUUCUUAUUCUUUUUCCCCAAAACAGCAGCUGUACAAAAUUAUUGAUGCUGGAGUUAGACCGGCCGGGUGCCUUUUGGUUCCGAAUUUUAGAGAAUAAGAAAAUUUGUGUUAACUUUGAACCAAUUUGAGUUAAUAAAAAACUAAAGUGCUAAUGACAACAAGACACUUGGCGCAAUUCUAACGAUGGCGUUGCAUUGGCACUAAAAAAAAUGUAACCGAGGAUCCAAGUGUCAUCCAAAGCACUAAACAGGGGUGCUACGAACGAAAAAACAACUUGAUUCAAGUGUGGGACUAAACCAUUAAUGGUGUAGAGUCAAAUGCUAGAAAAUUCAAAAUGGUGGAGAAGAUUUUGAAUGAGAGAACAAUCUGAUUGAAUAGGCAUCGACUUGAGUUUGGAAUUUGUUGUUUGCACGCUGAGGUGCUUGGAAAACUUGCGGAUUCACCAGCCAGGAUAGUAUAAAUCAAUGGCUGGAAACCGUGCAAUAAGAUUUCCAGCAAUCCUGUUUGUGUUAAAAUUUGGCAAACAGCUCCCUUGGUGAAGCCCAGAAACUAAGGUUUUCCGUUUCCCACAGAAGAAAAAUAGAUUUUUGUUGUCCCAUUUUCUGUUUUUUGGUUUUUUUUUUUUUUUUUUUUGCAAAGAAAUGCAAGUCGCCAUGCUAAAAGAAAAGACUUGUGUUUUGAACAAAUUGUAUGCUAGACUGACCAGUAGUAAAGAAAAGAUUUGUCCAAGUACAAAAGAACUAAAACUUGUUGAACGGUCAUUUUCUGGCCUCACAGCCUCAUUUUUGUCUGCGCGUGUCGUGGAGGGUCAGCUGGGGACAGCGAAAGGGAAAGUAAUCCUCAGGAAGAAGACGACGUCUGUAAAACUUGAUGAAUGACUCCAAGAGUUUGAAGGGAGAGCCAGACGACCGCCAUAGGGCAAUUGGUAAACGACAGAAAAUGGCAAAGACCCAUACCGUCUCAUUACCAUCCAAGAUGAGAAGAAGAUAUAUACAACACAACUGAGUGGAGAAAAAAAAAAAACAGCACCCACGCCACGCACAAACCCACACCCGUCCCUUGACAAAUGCUGUGUUAUAUACAACGCAUCACAAAACCUCCCGCUGGCUGCUGCAGAUAGGUGGACGCAUCAAUGCGGAUUAGAUUUAGAUCCAGAACUAGAAGGGCACUGCUGGUUCCUCAUAGGUCACAAUUCACAAGUGAUGUGUCACUGGAUUUUCAAUACAAAUUUGGAAACGUAUAAUUUCUUCAUCAACUUUGCAAUGCAUAUAUUCAGGGUGAUCUUGACCAUUCAAUGAUUCCCCAUCCCUUUUUUGUCCGAAAGGUGCUUUGUCAUCAUUCUCUACUACUUCUUUGGGUUGAAAUUUAACGUCUCCCUGCUCCCACCAUAACUGCACUUUAAUUUACAGUCAAUGUUGCCCUGUUUGUUUAUAUUUUACGUCUUUUCUUUGAUUCCUCUCUUUCAUCCAACUGAGAAUCUCUUAUCUCUAGUUUAACCAAUUGUUGCUCUGUGGAUGCUCUUCGUUUCAUCCCCCAUUGGGUACUUGAAGAAAGCUGAGAAUUUACCGAGUGCCAUACAUAAGUUUACGACACUACCCAAGACGUAGGUGAUAAAUACUAGGUGGUUUUACCACGUAUGUAUGUUGAUUGGGAAGGGAAAAAAUUCUAGAGGAAAUUGUGGAGCUGCUCUCGCUUCUAAUCCAAGGGCUGCUUUAUGUUACCUCGUAUUCUAUCACAUCCACAAUUAUCCUUCUUAUCCAAAUACUUGUUUUUGAUUAUUUGCCUUUAGCAAAGUCGUUACCAUGAAACUGUGAAAGGAGCAUUUGCGAUAAAGGUUGGACUAAAAGUUGUAGCUCUAAAAGUUCAAAUAGAAAUUUUGUUUUCACGUAUAUGUAUGAUCUUGUCACCUUGUGAAUUUCUUUCUGCAGACAAUUAAUGUGUCUUUUCUUCUAAUUUGAUGGAAGACUUUAAUUAACUUUAAUGGUUAUGUGGUAGUGGCUACCAAAGGGGUCUUGAUCAAGUUGUUAAUAUUAAAGUUUCCAAAUUAGAGGUCGUGAAUUCUAAUUCUUCAUCUAUUUCUUUCAUCUCAUGACCUAUAAUAAUAAUGAUGAUGACUAAGUCUUUGGAUCCUCUACUACAAUUUUUGUGUUAAACUCCCUAUUUUAACGUGUGGCGAGGUCUACAAGAAAGUGUUGAGAGCCUCUUGUUUGGAUUGCUAUUUUUCUUCAAAAAAUUUGAACAUUUUUCGUAAAUAUAUUUCUCAAUCAUCUUUUUAUAUUAUAUACAUGAAAUCGUUUUAGUACAUUUUUCUAUGAAUUUUUUUUUUACCUCACAUACAUAAAAUCGUUACAAUAUAUUUUUUUUUAAAAAAAAACUAAAAAAAUGGCAAUCCAGAUGGACUCCUAUACAUUUCUCAAUCAUUUUUUCAUCUUAUAUAUAUGAAAUUAUUAUAAUACAUUUUUCUACAAAAAUUCUUUUUGCCUCGUACACAUAAAAUCGCUACAAUAAAUCUUUUAUAAAAAUUUAAAAAAUAGCAAUCUAGAUGGACUCUUAGUAAUUGAAAUUCUACAAAACAACAAAAUAUGCCGUCGUUGCUAUGGGACCGAAAAGACAACGUAAUCUUGUGUUUAUUGUACAAAUCUGGUUUCCCUUGCGUCCCUUUCAUGAAACGGCCACUUUUCUCAUCGCAAAUUUUAGGCUUUUCAUCGUAUCUCUGACCUUUCCUCAAAUUCGCUGUCAAUGUGCGUCUCUGUGGAGCACAUAAUUUAUCAGCUCUUAAAGUAAUGAACUUCAUCGAUUGAUUUACCAUUUGAAUAAAGAUACUAUUGGUAUUUCAAUUAACAACGUUAUAUAGGUUAUUUUCUAUCAAGUUUUCACUCUACAUGAGAUGAUAAGGGGUGAAGUGAAUAUAUUGAAACGUUAGGGAGGGUCACGUGGCAAUAGAUGAAAAUACAAAAGAAUUAUAUGUAAUUUAACCUAUACUUUGCUUACUCCAAUAUACUAAAAUUAAUGGCAUGAGAAGAAAGUUUUAAACAAGAAUUUGUGCUUUGAAUAGUACGACAAGAAUUUUGGAUUUGUUCUCUGUUCGACAAUUUGUCUAGGGGUUUUAAACAAUUAGCAACUGAACUCAAUUUUAAUGAUUGCCCGUUAUUCUUCAUGUGUAAAUGACGUUCAUGGAUAUCCGAUAUGUUAUCCAAAAAAAAAAGAAACAAUAACACAAAGUUGAUGUCAUUUAGGGGUGGGUGAUGGGUUGAAUAGUACUUAAAAAAGGAAGUGCAAGUGCAAGUAAGAAAUUUGAUUUCGAGACCUCCUCCACCCCACCACCGGCACCAAGAAGUGUAUAUAUAUUAAAUCCACUUUAAAGGUAGUACCUAAAUUAAGACGAUUACAUGUGUAAGGACGGUUUUGGCUAACGACACAACUAAUUAAAUAGCUUCGUCCGCGAUAAUCUACCAACCAAAACAGGAGAAACGUUUCCUUAAUAAUAAUUUUUAACUUAUCUGACAUCGUUGUCCCAUAUAUUAGGUGAAUCAGCUCAUGGGCCGGUUGCCAAUCCUGCAUUUCCACACAUACACAAAGCCACAACCUUUCGCUGUCACAGUCGAAAUGCUCUGCCCACCAGAUCGUACGGUUGGACAUAUAAAACCAAUAUUAGGACACAUCAUUGGCCUCCGCAACGUCACGCUCCAUGGAAUUAUAGGAUCCCACUAAAUCCCCUAUUUUAAGCAAAACAUAUCUCUAUUUAGUAUGCAGAGAUUAUUUUAAUGGUUGUGUUCGUUGUUUAGCAUAAGACAAGCAUAGGUUAUUAGAUUUGGACUUUGGAGCGCACUUUAAAUUUAGAGAUAUGUUUCCCAGGACUCAAACACCCACUAAGAACAGAAACGCCCCAAAUUAUAUAUGGAGAACAAAGCGGACAGGUGUCCGGUGGAUAUUGUGCCACAUACUAAUAUGUCACUUUAGCCGCCGGUGCACGAGUGGGAGCGCUGUGUUUACCGGCCCAAAAGAGAAACAAUAAUAAAAAAAAAAAAAAAAAAAAAUGAAAAGCGGAAAGCAAAUCGGAUGCCUGCCCAGCGGCUGUUUGGCCCCCCGCUCUGAAUUUCUGUUUUCUUACCCAAAAAGGCUCGUCAACUCGUGCCUCCCUGCUUCGGCGCGUCUCUCCUGGUUCUGUUGUUAGGCUUUGGGUAACUUGGAUCGGAGGCCUCUACACAGAUAAUUCCACCGUGUAAGUUUUAGUGUACACGCUGAAAUACCAAAUAAUGAAAAAUAUGAACUGUUUCGUAUCUCAUAUAUUGGAAAAAAAAUAUUUAUUUUUGUCCAUCGCUUCUAAAAUAAAACAAACGAGUCCCUCCACAUUUGAAAGAUGAAGCAAAUUAGUCUUGGUAUGACUACCUGGUUUAGAUUUUAGGAGUAGAAUUUGAACAUCACUUUAGUUUCUUCCAAAUCCGAUAUGCCCAUGAUAUUAACUCAACAUAAGAAAGAAAGAAAAAAUUUUAAAUUAUAACAUCAAAGACAAACCCUCCUGUAUAAAAAUAUUUUUUGAGCAAAUAAUAUUAAGUCAACAUUAAAAGAAAAACCAAAAAAAAUGUAGCAUCAACGAGGUUCUUAAUCUGAAUAAAAAGUUGUAUUACUUACAUUACAAAGAAAAGCAAAUAGUAAAGUCACGUGCGCUGAUGCACAUCUCUCAAUUAUUAGUUGUACUUUUAUAUAAUUUAACACCUCCAAUCUUAAUGUAAUUUUUUAUUUUCUAUCUUAAAUUUUUGAGUGUAUCUAUUUCUUAUGGAAAUUUAUACUCACACAAAUUUUAAUUAUUUCUUAAAUUGCCAAAACUUCAUGAAUUUGUGUAUAAUUUUUAAGAUUAUAGCAUUUGCAAUACUAGCAUGACUCUAUUAGAAGUUUAUUCUGUGAAAUUCAUUUGGCAUAUCGUGUUUUAAUGAUCCAUUAUAAAGAAGUUUAUCCCUCUUAAGUUGACUUGGCAAGUGCACACGGGUGUUGGCCAAUGGAGGGCUUUUUAGCGUCUUUCCCACGGUUAAAUUUAGGGUUCAAAUUCCGUCUUUACGGUUGAUGGUGGAAAGAGUGUAGAGAAGGGUGGAAGGGUUAAAAAAAAAAAUGCAUAAGGUGUUAAAAAAAAAAUGCAAAUUCAUAUUUUUCAAGCUAAUAAGUUCCAAAUUGUUAUUUUUAUGUUGCAUUUGUACCUUGCUUCACAUUUCGUUUGAGUUCUACAUUACUUAGGAAAUAAUUGAGAUUUUUAAGAUAUUUUUUUGCUACAUGUUUAUUUUUACAAUCACCAUUUUAUCUGACAUAAAUUAUAAAUAUAUGUUAUAAUUAAAAAAUUCCAAUGCAAUCGUUAAUUUUGUAAGUAAAUAUAAGUACUGCCACCAGUAUUACGAUAAACACUUUCAAUUGCUUAGAGUAUAUAUUUUUUUGUAAAUUUUUACGCUUUUUAUUGCUAAAAGUUUUAGUGCACGUAUAGUUGUAUUUAAAUCAAUUUAGCAAUUGUUAAAGAAAUAGUUAUUUAUUAGGUUGCAAUUGUUAUGUAUUCGAGAAUUAGUCAAGAGUAUUUUGGUCUUGUAAAAUAUAACCUCGCCUUAAUCAUUAUAAUAAUAUUAAAGCGUAAAGUGUAUAUAUUUGCGGUUUAUGGGACAAAGUGUUAACCCCAUUUAAAACUUAUCUCUUUCUUAUGUAGUAUGACCUCAACCAAAAAAAAAAAUUUUUUUUUUUGACCAUAUCAUCGCGGAUUUUUUUUUUAAAAAAAAAAACUUUCUUUUUUUAUAUUCGCAGAAACACAACAUGGAGUUACUGUGGUCCCUGAUGUAUGUACCCAAGAACCUAUUGGCCAACCUUUUUUUUGAAGCAAGCCUAUUGGCUAAUCUUAAACCUUGAAAUUAAUACCCCAUUCAAAGAAUUAAAUUAAGAAAAUGUCAGAAAAAAAGAAUUAAAUUAAGAUGAUGAAGGUGAUUCAGCUAGGUGUUCUUUCCAGGUUAGCAAUUUUGGCAUCACGCCAUGUGCUUAGGACACGUUGCAUAUUCUGUAAGGGACCACGCCAAUUUUUUCAAAAAGUCCACCACCUUCACUCCCCGCGCGUGACCUUAGAACAGAAGUCAUAAAAGCUUGGAAAAUAUCUAAACGGCCGGGACUCUGACGUGUAUCAAAAGAUGAUACCCCAAGUGGGCCCCCUUCUCUUGAGCCCAAGAAAUAUCGUCGUCAAACCCAAAUGACCUCCACGUUACCACUUGUUCACUGUUUUGCCACCUUCCCCACUUAUAUACCCUCCACCAUUCACCUCUCUCAAAUUCAAUGCAAAUUUUGCAUCCUCACUCGUCACCGCCACCGCUAUCAACCUCCUCCGUCACCGGCGACCGCCUCUUUUUUCUUUUUUAACCCCUUCUGGAGGGGUAACAGUUAAAAUAUCGGUAUAUGGGAUGGAGGCUGCUAACAACAAUAUAAUUGCCCCGUUUGUUAUGAAGACGUAUCAAAUGGUGAACGAUCCUUCCAGUGAUGGACUUAUUGCCUGGGGUAAAGCUAACAAUAGUUUCAUUGUUAUCGACCCUUUGGACUUCUCUCAAAAAAUUCUUCCUGCUUACUUCAAGCACAACAAUUUCUCCAGCUUUGUUCGUCAGCUCAAUACUUAUGUAAGUAAAUAUUUAGAUGUCGUCAUAGUUAAUUUAGAUUUUUGUUGAUGCGGUCAAAGUCCUACAUAAUUUCAAGAAUCUUUAUUUCUAUUCGUAAAAAUGAACAUUCUUGGCUUAAGAGUAGAGUAAAGAGAGUUUAGUUUAGUGGAUAAAGAGGGUUCAAGUUUCUCCUUCUACUUUCCUACUCAUUAAAUCCCACUCUUUCUCUGUUUUGAAGAGUGGGUUGGGGGGGGGGGGGGGGCGGAAGAAAGUUCUUUGUUUUGUACUUGUAUAUCCUCGUCUCUAUAAUUGAGGGUCGUGUUAUGUUGUUAAACAGUUACGUGCCAUGAGGAUCUGGUGUGGCUUAGUAGUUAGUAGUUAAGGGUCCUUUUGUUUUUUUUGGUCACAGUACAAGUGGAUUCCAUUUUUAUCCUGGCUGCUUUUACCUUUCCACAAAGUUAAAAAGAAAAGUGCUACUAAUAUAUGUGUGUAAACUUGAUUAUGGAAAUUUCAGGGUUUCAGAAAAGUGGAUCCAGAUAGAUGGGCUUUCGCCAAUGAAUGGUUUUUGAGAGGGCAAACGCAUUUGCUCAAGAAUAUUUCUAGGAGGAAGCACUGUAGUAGAAACUCAAGUAACAGUAGAGCUGAAGAUGAUGAAGAUGAUGAGGGAAUAAUAAUGGAGUUAGCUAGGUUAAAGCAAGAGCAAAAGGAAUUAGAUCUACAGCUCUCAAGGAUGAACAAGAGACUUGAAGCAACCGAGAGGAGACCCCAACAAAUGAUGGCUUUCUUGAGUAAAGUUGCUCAAGACCCUGAAAUAUUACCCCGUAUGAUGCUUGAAAAAGAAAGAACUAAAAGGUUAAAUAUUGCUAGUGGGGACAAAAAGAGAAGCAUAAUGAUGAUUUCCUCAACUUCGCCUUCGGCUUCUGUUUCUUCUCCUCCCUCCUCAUCAGGAAUGCCUUUGACAAGCUCUUCAGUAAAGAGCGAGGAGGAAGAGGAUGAUGCCAAUCUCGACGUUGAUAACUAUUGUCACUUUUCCUCUUCGCCGGAGACACCUUCCUCUGCAUGGUUCAGCCAAAGACCAGUCCUGGGUCGGUCCGUGAUUGCCCAAGAAUCUAGUAACAGUGGCGGCAAUAUUUCAAGCUCUCUGUCAUCGGGUUCCUCCGCCGGUAGUAGUGGUUCUACUGUUGCUCCGCCAUUGGAUGGUGUUCCGGCAAGUGAUGCUACGUUUGGUGGUGAUAUAAGUUAUGUAGGACGAGCUGCGGUCGGGGAGGCUGUUAGUCCACAACCGCCUUAUCCAUUCUCACUUUUAGGAGGCGGUUUCUAGUUAAACACUUUCAUAGAUUUUAAGGCUUUUUUUUUUUUUAGGUGGCAAAAUUACUAUUAUCGAGCUAUUUUGAUCAUGUAAUUCUUCAAACAUGUGCCUUACAUCAGAGCCUUAUAGGAUUAGGACCCGAUACCAUUCUUUAUAAGAUGGUAAAAUGGUGAUCCCAAGAAAAGCCAAAAAAAAAAAAAAAAAAAAAAAUUUGCAAACAUAGGGUCAGUUGUGUACAUUUCGUAUUUGAUCCUUAGCUUACUUAAUUUAUCGGGUGCAUUCUUACAUACAUAUUCUCCGACAGUGCUGGUAUUAUAAUGAUAAUGCAAGUUUCAAAGGAGUGCAAAGCGCAAGGAUGAAACUUAAGUUGUGUACCUACGGUUCUUUGCUUUUGGUCGUUUUUGUGGCCGAAGUAUCCAAUUGGCGACUAUUGUAUUUAUGCACAUAUAUCAUAGAAUAUGUUAAAAUACUCUUACCACCCUUUUUUAUUCCAAAAGACUAAAAUUUAUUUUUUGUCUACAAAAUUUAUUUGAAUGUAUUUUUCAAUCAUCUUUUUACUUUACAUAUAUCACAUUAUUAUAAUAUAUUUUUUUAAUAAAAAUUUUAAAAAAUAACAAUCCAAACAGGCUGUUACAACAGCGGCUUUUCUCCUCAAUAAACUUGGUAGGCAUGAUGAUGAAUUCGGAGAUGGGCAAGACUUGCUUAGUCACUUGGGUUGGGUAACUGAGGAAAAGAAAAAGUUACAUAGUUUCUUAUAUGAGUUAAAAUUAGAACAUAUUAGUUUCUUAUGUUGGAACAAUAUGCUGCUAAUUUUUACUGUGGUUGAUUAAGCCUUCAUGUUUGGUUAGCUGUCAAGAUUGGAAAGAAAAUCUAGAAAAUACGGAGGGAAGGGUUGGAUUGGAUGGUAAAGUGGGAGGGGUUGUAAGUAGAUUGGAAAGAAAAUCUAGAAAGAUAAGGAGGGAAGGGUUGGAUUGGGGUGGUAAAGUGAGAGGGGUUGUAAGUAGGAAAUCCAUUUUGAAAAAAAAGUAGAUAAGUUUAAUAUUGUGAAAGAAAUGCAAUUUUGGUCUCCAAAUUUUUUUUUUUUUAUAUUUGUGCAAUUUUAUUCCUAAAAUUUAGGCAAAAACAAAUCAAACCCCUAAUGUUUGACACUUGAUGCGAUUUUAGUAUUUAAAAUUUUGGUAAAAACAAAUUUAAUGACCAUUGUUAUCAAUUCAAAAUAGAUUUGGGACAAUUCAGUGGAUUUUUCAAUUAUUGACCAAAUCAGAGUAUAAUUUCAGAAACCACCCUUGAGGUUUUAAUAAUUUCAUUUAGCUCUCUCAAGGUUUUAAAAAUUACACAUAUUUCCCAUUGAAAAUUAUUGUUUUUAAAUAAUUUAAUGAAAUUCCCUUGUUUGGUGUGCUUAUUCUUAGAAUAACUUUUAAAAUUAUUUUUUCAUUAUUUUUUCCUUCGUAUUCCUUUUUUUAAUUAUUUGCUAAUAAAAUUGUAGAGCUACCACUAUUACAUCUAGUUUCUAUUAUAACUAAAUGUCAAACUAGUGAUUUUUUUUAUCAGUUAACUUAUAUGUAAUCCAAUGUUUUUUGUUGAUCUUUAUUUUCUAUUUUGUGCUAUUAAAAUUAGAAAUAAAUCAAAAAGAAAUGGCCCAAAAUCAUUACUAAAUUAUGAUAAUUCCACUGCUCAAAAAAUUCACAAAUUCUAAAUAAAUUAUUUCAACAUUUUCUUUUAUAUCAUAUAAAUCUAAAUACAUUAUAAAAUACCAUUAAAAGUAUCCUAUCAUAGUAAUAAAAUUAUUGUUAUAGUUGUAUAUCAAAUAGUAGGUAUGGACAUGAAAAAAUUUGACACUUUUUCCUUAUAAUUAUACUAGAUAAUUUUAUAAUUGCAUAGAAAAAUAAAUUAAAACUCAUUAUCCAAGGGCAUUUUUGGGUAUUCAUUUAAAAGUUUGAUCAAGUCAAUAUUAUUUUAAAGUUUUGUUGCUAAAACUAUCAAAUCAAGAAAGGUAGGUGUAAUUUUUCAAAUCUCAGAAGAGUUCAUUGAAAAUGUUAGAAACCGUAGGAGAGGUUUCUGAAAUUAUCCCCCAAAUCAGUCACGUAUAGUCUCAUGUUUGUUACAUUAAACAUCUAAAAAAAUAAGCAGAAUAAUGACUAACUUUGAACAACAAGAAUAACUAGUGCAAUUAUCAGAUGACUAACUAAUUAACCAAGAAACAAAAAUAAAAUUGUUAAACCAUACGCAAAAUGUAAGUGUCAAGGUUUUUUGUUCGGAAUGGAUUGUAAAUCGAUGAAUUAGGUACUGCGACUAGUUUCAGUUUUGUUGUUUAACAAAUUCAUUUUAAACUAGUUAAUUAGUUAGUACAUGAGUUGUUUUUGUCCUUAAUCUUGUUGUUUAAAAUCAAUUGCUAUUUUGCUUAUUUAUUUUGAAAUUCAAUUUACAUGACACACAACUAUACGUGACUAACUUCUAUCACUAAUUGAAAAAUAUUUUCAAAUAACCUAAAUAUGCUUUAAAUUGGAUACGCUAGGGACCAAAUUUGAUCUUGCCGAAAUUUAGAACCUAAAACUACAUAUGUACUAAACAUUGAGGACUAUUUAUUUUGGUCGAAAUUCUAAAGACUAAAUUGCACAAGCACUUCAUAUUGAGAACUAAAAUUGCGUUUUGUCCUUAAUGCUAGACUUCAAUUUAAGUGGUAAAAGAAAGGAAUAAGGUUUUGAAAUAGAAUGUUUUGAACGUCAUGACCAAAAUUUCAACAAAUCGCGACUUCAAGUAACCGAUCUUUCCGUUCCCUCUCAUUUUCCAAUUACUGUGCGAGUACUAUCUGUUUACACCACAAAGUAUAGCUCAAAGUCAAAUGCCAAACUUGACAAUGCCAGGGGUGCUUACGUUAGGACCGACUGCAGUUGCAUGAUUAGCAGGAGACAUUCACCCAAACUAUAUCUACCACAAAUUAUGCAUUUAAAGUUUAGUGAUAAUACAUUCAUUUUUCUUUUUGCUUCUAAAUCAAGCGUGCAAAUAUAAAAAAUUACCAGUCCACGUUGCCUAAGCGGAAUGGCAGAGGAGUUUGCUCAUUUCUGGCAUUGUAGGGUUGGAAAAGUAAAGAGACGAUGAGCCCACAAAUGAAUUGGAAUGGAGGCAAGCAAGGGGUGAUUUGUUAGCCAAUGAAUUAAAGCCAUAAAUGGAUUUGCCCACUUUCCCAUUCUGGUUCAAAAUGCUAUGACGAUGCCCGUUGCAAUUUGGCAGGUUAUGAUAGCUCCCGACAAGGUCCAGCUGAAGAGAGUCCCCACUCCCAGUCUCCUACUC